rnacentral:lncRNA from 1 species
UUUUUUUUUUUUUUUUGAAGUUUUUUUUUUUGAAAAAAAAAAAAAGGAAAAAAGAAAUUGACACAUUUUCUUGGAUGUUUCAGAAAAAUGACAACUGAAUCCGAUAACGUUGUUGUAACUGAAUUAGCCCCAGUGGCAACCCCUACUGUGGCCCAAGUGCCAGCGAUGCCUACUGCUGUACCAAUCUCUGCCUCACCAGGAGAAAAACCAGAGAAGUUCAGUGGACUAAAUUUUAAAAGGUGGCAACAAAAGAUGUUAUUCUAUUUGACCACGUUGAAUCUUGCAAGAUUCUUGACUGAGGAUGCUCCUAAGCUCAAAGAAGACGAGCACGAUAUCCAAGUCAUCAGUGCUAUAGAUGCUUGGAAACAUUCUGACUUCUUGUGUAGAAAUUAUGUCAUGAAUGGUUUAGCUGAUUCGUGGUACAAUGUUUAUUCUGACAAGAAAACAACUAAGGAGCUAUGGGAAUCUCUAGACCGGAAAUAUAAAACUGAGGAUGUCGGGGCUAAGAAAUUUGUUGUGGGUCGCUUCCUCGACUAUAAGAUGGUAGAUUCCAAGACUGUGGUAAGUCAAGUCCAAGAACUUCAAGUAAUCUUGCAUGAGAUACAUGCUGAGGGAAUGAUGUUGAGUGAAACUUUCCAAGUAGCAACUAUUAUUGAGAAACUACCCCCUGCUUGGAAAGAUUUUAAGAAUUACCUCAAGCACAAAAGAAAGGAAAUGAGCAUCGAGGAUCUAAUUAUUAGACUUCGCAUUGAAGAAGAUAAUAGAAGAUCUAAAAAGAAAGGGGCGCACACUCUAAAUGAGGCCAAGGCUAACUUUGUGGAACAUGGUCAAAGUUCCAAGACAAAGACGAACAACAACAAAGGGAAAUGAUCUAAGUUGGGACCUAAAGGAGGGAUCUCAAAGAAGCCGAAAUUUCAAGGGAAAUGCUUCAAUUGUGGUAAGCAAGGUCACAAGUCUGUUGAUUGUAGACUGCCCAAAAAGAAUAAACCUAAGGAAGCUAAUGUGAUUGACGACAUCACUAAAAAUGUUUCUGACAUUGACCUCACAGCAGUAGUCUCUGAGGUGAACUUGGUGGGUUCUAACCCAAAGGAAUGGUGGAUUGAUACUGGUGCUACUCGCCAUGUAUGCUCUGAUAAGAAAAUGUUCUCCACUUUUGAACCAAUUGAGAAUGGGGAAAAAGUGUUCAUGGGGAACUCUGCCACCUCUGAGAUCAAGGGUCAAGGUAAAGUAAUCUUGAAGAUGACUUCUGGGAAAGAGUUGACUCUGACCAAUGUUUUAUAUGUACCGGAAAUUCGCAAGAACUUGGUGUCUGGUUCAUUGCUGAAUAAUCAUGGAUUUCGGUUGGUCUUUGAGUCAAACAAAUUUGUUUUGUUCAAGAGUGGAAUGUAUGUUGGGAAAGGGUAUAUGAGUGAUGGAAUGUGGAAACUCAAUGUAAUGACUAUUAUUAAGUCAAAUAUGAAUAAAGCUAGUACUUCUACUUACAUGCUUGAGUCUUCUAAUCUAUGGCAUGGUAGAUUAGGACAUGUUAAUUAUGAUACAUUACGUAGAUUAAUUAACUUAAAUCAUAUACCAACAUUCCAAAUUAAUUCCAACCAUAAAUGUGAAACUUGUGUUGAGGCAAAACUAACAAGGUCAUCUUUUCAAAGUGUUGAAAGAAACACUGAACCCCUUGAUUUGAUCCAUAAUGAUAUCUGUGAUUUGAAAUUUGUACAAACAAGAGGUGGUAAUAAAUAUUUUAUUACUUUUGUUGACGAUAGCACCAAAUAUUGUUAUGUGUAUUUACUAAAAAGCAAGGAUGAAGCUAUAGAGAAAUUUGUUCUCUAUAAAAACGAAGUUGAGAAUCAACUCAACAUGAAAAUUAAGGUACUAAGAAGUGAUCGAGGUGGUGAGUAUGAAUCGCCAUUUGUUGACAUUUGUGCUCAACAUGGGAUUAUACACGAAACAACAGCACCUUAUUCGCCUCAAUCCAAUGGAGUGGCUGAGCGAAAGAAUCGUACCUUAAAGGAAAUGAUGAAUGCAAUGUUAAUAAGUUCUAGUUUGCCACAAAACAUGUGGGGAGAAGCCAUUUUAACUACUAAUUACCUUUUGAAUAAGGUACCCAAAAAGAAAGCAGAAAAGACUCCAUAUGAGUUAUGGAAAGGAAGAAAGCCAUCCUACACAUACUUACGAAUGUGGGGAUGUCUUGCUAAAGUGGCAGUUCCUCCACCUAAAAAGGUGAAAAUAGGACCUAAGACUAUUGAUUGCAUUUUCAUUGGCUAUGCACAUAAUAGUAAUGCUUAUCGGUUUCUUGUUUAUGAAUCAAAUAUCCCAGAUAUUCAUAAGAACACGAUAAUGGAAUCAAGGAAUGCAUCAUUCUUUGAAGGUGUAUUUCCAUGUAAAUCCAAAGAAGAGCCAAGUUCAUCAAAAAGAAUGCUUGAGAGUUAUGAUCAAAAUGAAGAAGUUGAGUAGAACCUAGACGUAGCNNNNNNNNNNNNNNNNNNNNNNNNNNNNNNNNNNNNNNNNNNNNNNNNNNNNNNNNNNNNNNNNNNNNNNNNNNNNNNNNNNNNNNNNNNNNNNNNNNNNUCAAGGAUACAGAACAUGGAUAUGUCAUUGUAUGUUUGUAUGUAGAUGACAUGCUUAUUGUUGGUAGUGAUGAUAAGAUGAUCACAUCUACAAAGAACAUGUUGAAUUCAAGGUUUGACAUGAAAGACAUGGGACUUGCUGAUGUUUUAUUGGGAAUAAAAAUCAAAAGAACAUCAGAUGAACUCAUAUUAAGUCAGUCACAUUAUGUAGACAAAAUUCUUGGAAAGUUUGAUAAAGAUAAUUCUGGAGUUGCUAGAACAUCGGUGGAUGUAACUCUACAUUUGUCCAAGAAUAAAGGUGAGAGUGUUUCUCAAGUAGAAUACUCUAGAGUAAUAGGCAGUCUAAUGUACUUAAUGAGUUGUACAAGACCAGACAUAGCCUAUGCGGUUAGUAAACUGAGUAGAUAUACGAGUAAUCCCGGAGCCAAGCAUUGGCAAGGAAUUAUAAGAGUACUAAAGUACUUACGGUUUACUCGUGAUUAUGGGCUGCACUAUACGAGAUAUCCUGCUGUACUUGAAGGAUAUAGUGAUGCGAAUUGGAUAUCUAAUGUUAAAGACUCAAAAUCCCAUAGUGGUUAUGUGUUUACACUAGGAGGUGCAGCAGUGUCGUGGAAAUCCUCAAAACAAACGGUUAUUGCCAGAUCCACAAUGGAAUCUGAAUUUAUAGCACUAGAUAAAUGUGGGGAAGAGGCUGAAUGGUUACGCCACUUCCUAGAGGAUAUUCCAAGGUGGUCAAAGCCUGUGCCUCCAAUUUGCAUACAUUGUGAUAGUCAAUCUGCAAUUGGUAGAGCACAGAGUAAUAUGUAUAAUGGUAAGUCUAGACACAUUCGUCGUAGACACAAUACCAUUAGACAACUACUCUCAACUGGGGUUAUCUCUGUGGACUAUGUGAAAUCCAAAGAUAACAUUGCGGAUCCACUAACCAAAGGGUUAAAUAGAGAGUUAGUUGAAAAGUCAUCAAGGGGAAUGGGACUAAAGCCCAUAAAAGAAUAAGUCAAUACAGUGGAUACCCAACCUAGUUGACUGGAGAUCCCGAGAUCUAGGUUCAAAAGGGACAACUAAACUGUAAAGACUUUGUUAAAUCACUGUGGGGAUCUUCCCUAGUCCAUUCCUAUGAUAAAAUAGUGAUGCCCGUAAGAGGAAAGGGUAAGCUAUGCUUUUAAUGAUCCUUAUGCUUCGGAAAUCCGAACAGAGUAAUGCGGGUUACUCGUGAUUAAGAGAUCACCUAUGUAAGAGUGAAGUGGGGCCGCUUCUAAGGGAAUUGAAUAGGGCACAAUUCUUAUUAAACUCUUACAGAACCAAGCGUGUAUGUUCAUGGCCAAAAUGAACAUAAAAGUGAGAACUGAAAUUUGUUAGGAAGAUUCCUGUGUGAGAUAUGUCAUCAUCUACAUAAAUGGCAGAACAGUUCAAGGACAUCGUGUCUACUGUUUAGCUAGUAGAGUAAACAUAUUUCUACAAGGGAAGGUUCAAAGGGUAACACCUACCUCUCCUAUGCAGGUUUCAACCGUUGUACUCUAUCACAAAGUUCAUCGUGUCUUAAUUUCUUUCAUGUGGGGAAUUGUUGGAAAAAGGGGAUGAAUGAAAUUAAGAAAUCCAUUGAAUUAAGUAAAUUCAUUCAUUUUUCCAGAAUUCUAAGAGUCUCAAGAAGCCAAAUUCAUUUGGCUUUCUGAACCUGUCUGUGUUCUUCCCUCCUUGAAGUCUAUAAAUAGUGGUAGACUUUCUUUUCUAAAAAGAACAGAAAAACUUUGGAGUAUUGUCAGAGUGUUGAAGAGUUCCUUCCUUCCGUGUCCGUGAUAGAGUUGAACAAAUUCCAGUUCGCCGGAGUGGCUGUAGAGUGUUGUUGCUGCCAUUCGAAGAUCGUUUUAUCCUGGGAGACAGACGCCUUGCGAUUCUCAAAGCACCUGUGGAGAAGGCGAAUCUGUUUUAAGGAGAUUGUGUUUUCCACAAGACUCGGUCUAAUCCUGUUUUUUUUUUUUUUUUCCAGUUUUCUUUUAUUUUCUUAUGAACUAACCAGUGUGUGCAGUGUGGUUGUCUAACACUCUCUUCAGGAAAUACCAAAUUGCAUCCUAUUGGCUAGCCUCCUCAUACCCGUUAUGGCAUACCUCUCCUUCAUCUUUCUUAGCCGAUGACCACCUCUCUUCUCUUUAGGCUUGGGAUCAGAAACUGGAAAAGGUUUAGGUUGUUUUGCAGGAGGUGGCUCCUGCCAUUUCUCAAGCUUCUUAAGGAUCUCUAUUCAAUGGAGUUCAAAAACUUAAACAAUAUGGUCUGAAGGCAUGACAUGGACGAUUUCUGAUUAAAGUUCCGAUGAUUCAAGUAGGAGACGUUCUCAUGGGGGAGAAUCCGAAACAGCGUCUAUGCCCUGAGUCACAAAUUUGUCUAGGAAUUUCAGAUAUAGCAGAUGCUCAGAGGAGAGUGCUUCUUCUUCAACCACAUCUUUCAUUGCUUGAACAUCCUUCUCAAUUGCAUAAUUUGCAUAGAGCUGAUUGGAUACAUCGGGUCAUGCCCUCACCAAUGUCACUCUUCAUUAAACGAGACAGUGAUGGGAGGACAUUGAUUGGUGGGUGGAGCUGUUUGUCAAUGUAAAUCUGGUCUUCAGUGGGAGCGGGAUGUGUUAUAUCAUCAUAGGGCAUAGUUAAAAUCGGGAUUUGUGUAAUGGGACCCUUCCUUCUUUCAAUACGUCCAGGCUCCAGCACGUUCGUAAAUUGUCGCCAGAUCAGCACACAUAUACCCAGGAUACCCACGCCUUCCGGGAACUUCUUCUCGGGCAGCAGAUACCUCAUAAAGGGCAUGUACAUCAGAACUCAUAUCUGCUAGUAUGACAAGAACAUGUUUGCCACAUUCAUAUGCUAAAUAUUCAGCAGUGGUGAGAGCAAUGCGAAGAGUGAUGAUGUGUUCAAUGGUGGGGUCGUUGACCAGGUUGAGGAAUGGAGUCACUCUCUCCAUUGAUCUAUUUUCCUCGAAAUCACGUUUUUGAAGAAAAAAAAGUUGUGCAGUCUCCAUGUUUCCUCCCAUAGCUGCAAAAAAAAACAAUGGCAAAGUCGUCCUCUUCCACGUCCUGUAGGAGACUUCCAGACUUCACAUUAUAUCCGAAUGUGGAAACGCCAACACAUCUUCAGCAUGUACUCAACCAACCCGAACGUGAAGCUCGACAGUCCCCUCAUCAUCCAUUGAUGUCACAGUACCUAGAGGGGAAGAACCAUCCAGAACAAUUGCAAAUCUUGAUGGUGAGAGAGCCACGAAGCUGGGAUCCUCGCUGAUCAUCACCGCAUGCAUUGACGCGCGUGGACGAUAAGGGAGCCAGGUGUGUCUGCUCAUGUCAAAGAUUCGACUUCCUGUAGGUUUGCCACAUCCUGAACAGACCUGAAUUUUCUCUUCUUUCGGACCCUUGUCUCAGAAAAUGGUUCCAUAGCUGUCACGUGUUUCAGAGGCAAAUUGAUGCCUUGGAUUAAGAGGGUCUGAUGAUAGAGUCUUCUGAUUGAAACAGAACUCUUCCAAUAAAUGCUUCUGAAAUGAAUAACAAAACUAGGCCAAAAUAAGGGUGUACACUUCUACAAUAAAUAAGGUAUACCUAAUUAUGAAGCUCUUUAAUUUGAAGAUGCUUGAGAACAAAAAUUUUAAGCAACAUUUGAAUGAAUUUGCGAGUGAGAUAGAUUGCAAGAGGAGCACUACAAAGUAUGUCUAAGGAUACUUAUAACCAUUAGUUGGAUUUCACACUUUAGGCCUACAACUGAAGCCGAGUACAUGGUUAUGAUAAAAGUUAGCAAAAAGAUGAUUUGGUUGCAGCAAUAUUCAUUAGCAAAUUUAUGAGUCAAACAUAUGAUGAAUGUAUUAAAGUGAAAGACAUAUGGCUAAUUCAAUAUUUCAUUUAAUGACUAAAUAUAUUGUACUUUGUUAUCACUUCAUCAAGUCUUUACUUGAAGAUGGAGUGUCAACAUUUGUGGAGAUACAAGGUAGCAAGAAUCCAACUAACAUGUUGACCAAAAUAGUGAUAAUAGAGAAACUGGAGUUGUGCAUAGCUUUAAUGGGUCAUGGGUGAGGAUGGGUUGUUUAAGUGCGCACCAUAUUCAUUAAUCAUUAAAGGAAGAUAUUUACUUGUACUUUAGUUUUUAAGUGGGAGAUUGUUGGAUUAUAAAGUUUGAAUCAUUCUUAUCAUGCUACAUAGGAGAUGUCGAGGAUUGAAUGACAAGUUUGCCCCUAUUGUAUUUAACCCUUUAUGAUUCAAGGUUUAGUUAGAGAGUGGAAAGAAAAUAGCAUGGCCACAAUUGAAAGGAGGAGAGUUUUCACCAUUGUAACUUUUGUAUUUUCAUUUCAUUAGUAGAUUUUUGAGUGUUAGUGCAUUCGUGGAUGUAUGAUUCACAAUAAUCGUUGAACCAUGUUAAUUUUUUUUUCUCUCUUGUUUUUGCUUAUGUAUAUGUGCUUAUGUUAAUCGGUUGUGAUUAGAUUAAUUGACUACUUGACUCGAACCAACCCGACUUGCAUGAGUUGCAUCCUUAUGAGGUUAGGGUUUUUGUGGAUAGGGGAUGGGAUGAAGAGGAUGAGGGCAUUUUUUGCCCUUUCACAUUCAAGUUUUAUUUGAAAGUUAAAUACAAUUGUAUGCAUACAUUUCAUGUUGUAUGAUCUAAGAAAGAUGGGAAAAAAGAUAAAACAAAUUUAUAUAAAUAUAUAAGAAAAAUAAAUGUCAAUAAUAUGACCAUGUGCUUUAAUUUGAUCUUGUAGUUGAUCUUAGUUCAAGAUGACACAAAUUCUUGAAUAAAAAAUGUGGUCUAAGGCUCAACUAGACUUGAUCUUGACUUUGUUACCUAAAAUGUGGUCUUCAUCUUUAAAAGAAUGAAAGAAAACUACUUAUUUUUUGCUUUAAUUAAUUUUUUUUCAUGGGCUUGCCAAGAAAUGUCGAACUAGUAAAGGAUGUUCAAACUUGUUGAAGAUUCGUUCACUAUUCAAGCUCAUUUGUUACUCAAACUUCCAUCAAAAGGAUACAUGAGCUACUCUUGUUUAAAAAAACCUCAUGAAUUUUUGUCCACUCUUCAAUUUUUUUUUUCCUUAAAGAAAAUGUUAUAAUGGUUUCAUUUUAAAUGUUCAUGCCAGAACUUCAACUUCUCUACUUGCACUCCUUCCCUUUGAAAUCAAAGAUAGUUUGUCUAUGUUUUAGAAAGUUUAAAUAAUGAGACCAUUAUAUUUGACACUUCAAUUCAAAUUUGAAAUAUUGCCAACAUAUGAAUCUAAAGUUUAAAUUUAGACAACACUUAAAAGUUGAUUUGUCAAUUAAAUUCACUUUUAAACUUUUCAUUAAUUCUUAACUUAAAAAUAAAGUAUAUUACCUACAUUUUAUGCAAUUUAUAAAUUAGUAAAUUUUUUCUUAUUUUUUAAGUAAAUUUAGAUAUAAAUUUUUUUUUGAAGAAUAUAUAUUAAAAACAACACAAAUUAUAUUUUGAUCGGAUAAACCAAACAUAAUUAUCUUACUUUAAACAAAUAUUAAAUACAUCGGUAUAAGAGUGAAAGACUAGGGAUCUGUUUAGUAAUUGUUUUCGAGAAUAGUUUUCUAUUUUUCAUAAUAUAAUAAUAAGAAAAUAUGUUUGAUAAUCAGAAACUAUUUUCUUUUUUCUUUUCUUAAGAUAAGAAAAUAUGAUAUUUUUAGAUAACAUCUUUAAUUAUUUUAUAUUGUUUUCCGUUGUUUUCUAAAAGUUAUCUCAUAAAAUAAUUAUAAAAUGAUUAAAAAUAAAACACAUGAUAUAAGAAUUAUUUUUGAAACAUAUUUUAAAAUAUUAAAAACGAGUUAAAAACAAAAUCAGAAAACAUGUUCUCAAAAAUAGUUUUUCAGAACUAUUUUCGAAAACAGCUAUCAAAUAGUGUCUAAUUAACUAGGUAAAAGGAAAACAUCUAUUUAUUCUAAACAAAUAUAAUUGAAUACAUUAACACGACAGUACUGUUAACUAAAAAUAUAUCCGAUAAUUAUUACUUCUCUUUCAAAGCAAAUACUACAUAUCACCGUCCAAUAAUUGUACAAGAAAUAAAAAUAUAUAUUUUCUAAUUUAUAGAAUAAAUAAUAAUAAAGUAGUAAAUAUUUUAAAUAUCAAACAAGAUUGAUGAUUCUAUCCAUGGUAUGGAAAACCACUUUAUUUAGUCACAUGUGAUCGUCAUCUCUGCAACCUGAAACAUUUCCUGUAUUCAUCAUGCAGACUUUCCAGGAGUUCCUAGACCUGGAGAACCUUUACCGCGACAAUCGGUGAUGGGUGAGCAACCCCUUUGCCAUCGAUGGGCUUCUUGAGGCGGAGCCUUGGGAUUCUGGCGACAACCCACUGGUGGACUCGGUCCAUGGCAUGGGUUUAGGAACUUAUCAAUGUCAACCUCACCAUGUACGUGCAUGACCAAAAUCAUGCUGACAAGAGUCAGACAUAUGAGCCAUUUCUUCAUGAUGGAGAGUCCCAUGAUCUCUAUGUUAAAUUCCUUUUUCUUUAGCUUCCAAUGCGUGGCUAGUCAUGUGAAGGGAGUUUAUAUAGAUUUUGGAUAUGGAGACCUUUGGGGAGUCGAAUGUCUUAAUAUAGAAGAAGUGCUUAAAAUAAAGAAGGGCAAAACCCUUUUAUUUGGAUGGUUGGAAAAUGAUUUAGAAAAAUAAUUUUUGACAACUAUUUUAACUAUUUAAGGAAAAUUGUUCGUUAUUGUUCUGUAACGUAAAUAAAAGUUUCUUUUAACCUAUUUUUUAACUACGACAAAUGUCAUUUAUUUGACCAAAUUUUUAGUGUCAAUGACUUCAAAAUAUUUCCUUGGAGUAAAAAAUAAAAAAUAAUUUGGUAUAUGAUUGUUAGGUAUUUUUGGGCAUAAAAUAUAUAUGUCACAUUUCACAGUGAUAAAUGUCAAAUAUUUCAUUAAUUCUUUCAAAUCAAUGACUCCAAAAUUUCAAUUUACAAAGUUUUUGCCCAAACUUUUGUUUUCUUUGUUCAGUUCAACACAUAGUCUUAGAACAUGCCCAAAUUUUGAUAGUGACCCUAAAAUGUUUUUGAAAUGAAGAUGAUAAAAAAUGUUAAAUAAUAAUAAUAAUAAUAAUAAUAAUAAUAAUAAUAACUAUUGUUUUUGUUUUGUGGUUAUGAGAGCUCUAUGUUUUUGCUAAACUAUUAUGAUGCUUUCAAUGCUUAAUUAUGUUAUAUGCAUGACACUAAAAAUUUCAUUUAUAGAAUAUUAAUUAAAUUUAAUUUAAGUUUUAUAAAAAAAUGAAAACAAUUUCAUGAUUAAAAAUAAAUAGCUUUGAAUAAAAUAUGAAUAGUAAUAUUAUAAUAAAAUAAAAAAUUAUUGUUAUUUUUUGAGAAAAAUAAUAUUUUGGAAGAUGUUAGAAAAAUAUGAAUAUUAACAUCUUCAUAAAAAAAAGUAUAAUUGAUUUAAUCUGUAAUUAGUUGGAUUAGUUUUUAAAAUUCUAAAUUAUUUUUAAAAAUUAGAAGAUUUAUUAAAUAAUUUAUAUUAUUAAUUAUGUAUCACUUAAUUUAGAACCUAUUUAUAUAGUUAGAAAAUUACAAAAAAAAUGGUAUUUCAUAGGAGAAACAGUAAAGUCAUAAUUUAUAAUGUAUCGAUUUUGGUCUAUUAUUUUUUGUAGUGAUUAGAUUUAUUUUUAAUUUUGAGAAUUAUUGACCUCAUUAUCAACAUAAAGUGUCACUUAAUUUGAAAUUCAUUUCUCAGGUAAGAUAAUUUAUAAUAAUAUAAUUAUAUGCAAAAAAGAAAUAAAAAAAGUCAUUGUAAAAUAUUUUUUAUCCAUAAUUUUGUUUUUUAUUAAUUGGAUCAUUGUUUAAGUUUUAAGUUAUUUCUAAAAAUUAUUAGGCUUGUUAAAAAUUCAAUGCAUUCAAUCUUGUUUAAGUUGUAGUUUAUUUGUGUGGUAAGGAAAAAGAAAAAGAAAAAUAUGGUUCUAUAUAAAGGACAAACAAUACAUUCAUUUUAAACUAAUUUUUAUCCACAAUGUUUUUAUAUUAAUUAAAUCAAUAUUUAAGUUUCAAGUUAUUUAUGAAAAUUCCUAAACUCGUUAUGAAUUCAAAGCAUUAAGUCUUGCUUAAUUUGCUUAAAUCAAUUAAGUGCCAAAAUAAGAUAGUAUUUGGAAAAAUGACCUUUGCCUUUUAAAAACCUGAAGAAUGCACCAUUUUGGACUAAAUUACCCCUGAAAAAAAAAAAGAAACCUUUGAAAUUCAAAAGAGUAGAAAGGAAGAGAAAGAGAACAAACCAAGGAUUCUCUCUUGAAUGGUAGACUACAACACACUCUAUGGUCUUCUGAUAUAUAUAUAUAUAUAUAUAUAUAUAUGAAAUGAAAAUAAAACUUAAUUAAAAACCAUCCAUAUAGGAGGUAAUCAAAACAUACUUAUAUUAUAUAUAAGGAGAAAUAUCUUACAAUGAACAAAGGUAGGAAAGCUUGAAGAAAGCUUGAAAGCUUGAAGAGGUUACAUGAUGAGAGAGAAAGAAGAGAGAAGGGAGAGCAUAGGAGCCUAAAAUUGAACGUGCUCGGAAGCCUUAAUUAUGUGUCAGAUUUCAUACAAGAUUUAAGCCAAUUAUGUGCCCCUUUAAGACAAAGACUUAAGAAAAAUCCAGUCCCUUGGAAUGAGGAUCAUACCAAGAUUGUUAAAAUAGUAAAGUCUAGAGUCAAAACCUUACCAUGUCUCGCCUUAGCUGAUCAUAAAGCCUUUAAGAUUGUUGAGACUGAUGCUUCUGACAUAGGUUUUGGUGGAAUUCUUAAGCAAAGAGGUAAUAAUCAAGAAUUCUUGGUUAGAUUCACUUCUGGAACUUGGAAUCAUGCCCAACUCAACUACAACACUAUCAAAAAGGAAAUUUUAAGCAUCGUUUUAUGCAUUUCAAAAUUUCAAGAUGAUCUUUUAAAUCAGGAAUUUUUAUUAAGAGUAGAUUGCAAAUCUGCAAAAUCAGUUUUACAAAAGGAUGUUAAAAAUAUAGCUUCUAAACAUAUUUUUGCUAGAUGGCAAGCUAUUUUAAGCAAUUUUGAUUUUCAAAUUGAGUAUAUUAAAGGAGAAAAUAACUCAAUCCCUGAUUUCCUAACUCGUGAAUUUUUGCAGGAUUCACAAGACCAUGGCCCCCAAGAAAGACAAACAACCUUUUAGGUCCAUUAAACCUACAGAUUCUAAGAAUUCCCAUUCAGCUCUUUCUGAAAAAUUCAUGCCACUUUAUUAUGACCAUUUUGAAGUAGCAGGUCUGAUAUUAGCCUGUCAUCUGUCCUCUCAGCCGAAAGCAAGAUUCCGGGUCAAAAGUCAAUAGUGUUACAGUUCCCUCUUACUGUUCACUGUUACUAUUCAAGCACUAUUCAAGCACGGGUCUACUAUUCAUAGUUACUAUUCAAGAUUCCUUUUUGUUCUUCCAGCCAUUUCAAUCAUCACAUUCCUUCAGCAUCCCCUAGUAGGGAUAUAGAUUCAAGCUCGGAAUCUCUACCUUUUGUGGAAGAUUCUUUCCCCACAAAUCCAUCUUUUAACAAUACUAACACUUCAUCUGAUUAUAUCAAUUGCAUUUUUGAAUGGCAGGGAAGGUAUGAGAUUCUUGAAAGGAAACUUGAAUUAGUUGACUUUCAUAAGCUCAUGUUAAAAGCUCAAGCCUCAUUUUCCCCACUGGAAAAUGGUGAGAAUAAGCAUUCUACCCCACUGGUGAAUGAUAAAUUGAGUGAGGAAGAGUUGGGUUACCGUAUGCUACGAAUGUAUCAUCGUAAGACAGAGAAUCUAUACUCUCUUAAGCCAGAUCUACGUCUUCUAAUUUUGGAAAAGGCUAAGUCCUCAGCAGAAGAAAGACAAAUCUUCAUCUCUUCAUACCUCCAGGAUCUUCAUCUUUAUCUUUCUACCAAUAUUGGUCUUAAGGUCCCAGGAUUAAGCUUGGUUACUGAUAAGGAAGUUGAUGAUUCAAAAAUUUGCAGAAUGAUUGAAGAACCUUUCCAGUACCAACAAGGCAUCAAGAAAAUGAUUUGCAACUGCAACAGAAAUUUCACAAUCAGUCGUGUUUGCUUGGACUUACAAUACUAUUUGCCAAUUAGCAUCAAAUUCAAGGGUGAAGAUUUAUUAUUAACUCUAGAAAAGCUUCUGGACCAUGGUUUGGUUCAUCAAAUCAUCUGUUCUGAUCCCAACCAAGUUUCCCAGUUUGGAAGAAAAAUUGCUCUUGGUCUAACCCAAGGUUUUAAAAUGAAUAAGAAAUUCGCGGACGCCAUCAUCAUCAGCAAAGCUCCUGAGUGGGUUUCUAGUGGCAAGCUUAUUCCAGCUCAACACAUUGUUUCUCUUCACUAUCAGAAUAGGAGACCUACUCGUCUAUCUUACCCUCUGCUAUUUUCUGAUAUUUGUGCUGAACCCAUUAUUAAGCAAAUCAAACACUGGAGAGCUAGAACUAUUUGCAGGGAUUUUGAGGCUUUUCCAGGAAAUAUGGGACAUCUUAUUGCUGCAGAUUCCUGUCAUCAAAUUUUUUGUGGCAAAAAGUUAGACCCUCUUCCAGCCUUGACUAUUACUGAAGAUAUCAAGCUUCUUGAUGAACAUCGUAAGGAUUACUCUUGAUGGCCUGUCAACAAGAAUAUUUUCUAGCCAAGCAGUUUUCAGCAACAAAAGCAGCCUGUCAUCUGUCUUCUCAGCCGAAAGCAAGAUUCCGGGUCAAAAGUCAAUAGUGUUACAGUUCCCUCUUACUGUUCACUGUUACUAUUCAAGCACUAUUCAAGCACGGGUCUACUAUUCAUAGUUACUAUUCAAGAUUCCUUUUUGCCUAUUUAAGGAGGCUCGGUCCUCAUUUGUGAGCACAUUCAAUUUUAGGCUCCUAUGCUCUCCCUUCUCUCUUCUUUCUCUCUCAUCAUGUAACCUCUUCAAGCUUUUAAGCUUUCCUACCUUUGUUGAUUGUAAGAUAUUUCUCCUUAUAUAUAAUAUAAGUAUGUUUUGAUUACCUCCUAUAUGGAUGGUUUUUAAUUAAGCUUUAUUUUUAAGUUUUUUAUUUUGUACCGCCUACAUGGUCGGUUUUAUGUUUUUAUUUUGUAUCGCCUACAUGGUCGGUUUUAAGCUUAUUAUGAACUAACAAGUUUUUGGUUCCUUCUCUUUAAAUUUCAUUGUAGGAUAUCUUUUGUAUUUUCUAACCCUUUUCUUUGUUUUGAAUCAUGGCAUAAUUCCUAUUUUCAUUGCACAUGACCUUGUCCUGGGUGUCUAUGGUAUCAGAGCCAUGUGGGAGGGAAGUUGGGUCUUGUUUUGGGUGUUCUUGGCCUAUCCUAGGAUAGGUAGCAGUGUGCUUAGGAGCGCGAGCCCUGCCGGUUGAGCCGUUGUUAGCCGUGGAUAGGCGUUUGUUAGGCUGUAAGAGGGUUGGGGUGACGUCUCAUAAGGUUUGUCAAUCUGCUAUUAGGCUCUAGAUCAAAAACCCUAAAAUGAGUUCAAUUUUCAGAACCAUGUCUAGGAGAUCCAGUGAUUCUCAAGAUACUGUUGUAAACAGUGAAGAGAUCAAUUAUCCUAAGAUCCAAAAUGAUUUAGAUGAUUGGAAGUUACCCAAGGUGUCUAAUCAAGAAAUUUAUAAGAAAGGAACCUUUAAGUUCUUCACAGAUUAUACCAUUAAGACCUCUAAAAUGACAGUCAGUUUAGAACAAGACAACCAAGUCAUAAGACUUCUAGAUAACAGAUCCGUUGAAAAGCAUAAGAAAGAUGGCUAUAAUUUCAUACACUUUGGUAUGAUUCAAGUAGCAGCUAAGCCUUUGACAAGAUUAGGUUUAAACACCGCUAUUGUCAUGUGUUUAAGAGAUAAUAGGCAUCUCGAAUAUCGAGAUUCUAUUAUAGGCGCAGUCCAAGCUGGACUGAAUGAUGGCCCAGUUUAUUUCCAGUGCUAUCCUAACUUCACAGUUAGAUUAAAAGAUGCAGACAUCUUAGAUUCAGUUGUCCUGCACAUUAAGACCCAUGGCUUUAAGAUCAAACCAGGAAACAGUCCUGUUUCAAUCAUAACCAGGUUUGCCUAUAAGAGCAUGAACACAAGCGUUGGAUCUGGGUCUCUUUGCACCAGUCCUAAAGGAGAGACCACUUACUUUCACUCAUAUAUGCUAGAUAAGUCAGAUUUCAUCAUCCCCAAGAAGAUCUUGUGGAAAGAUGUUGAUUUCCUUGAAAAAUUGGCAUUUUGCUAAUGCUGUUCCAGCCAUAGCACAACGUUCUGAAAGUAUUGAACAAAUAGUUCAAUAUCCAGAUGGAGGAGGAGAACUCAUUUUUUCCAAAUCUUUCAGACAUUCUAACAGCCCUAGAGUUUCUGUUUAUGAAUCCUCUAGAGCUUCAAGCUCUUCCAUCCCAGUUAGAACCACUAGGGAAGAAGAAGGAUCCAGCUCAGGAAAUCCUAAUAAUGUUAAGCUAACAGGUGUCAGAAGUUACACCAAUGCGGCUAGACCAUUUUACUCUGAGGAAAAUGAGUCUACUCAGGAAUCCCAACAGGAUGAGUCCCCUGUUAUGUCUCCUACCUAUUCCCAGAUGAUUAACACAAUAAGCCUAAGUGAUGAGGACUUUGAGAUCAACAAGGAUCUCUUAAGAAAGGACUUCUAUUCUGAAGUCAAUAAGCAAAGAAAUGAUUGGUUCUUUAGCACUGUCCCUAAGGUCAUUAGAACCAUUUACCAAAAAGAAUUCUAUGCCUACUUAAGACAAGAAAAGAAAAACAUUAAGUUUUGGAUUUGGUUUGAACUCUUCAAACAACAGGAAUAUCCAGAUUAUCCUUGUAAGCGUGUAGAUAACACUAAGAGCACUAAUAAAACUAAGCCCUUUGAAUUUUCUAAGGAAUUCGAAGAAAAUCCCCAAAUCAACCAGGCUUUUGUUGAUAGAAUUAAUCAGAAGAUUAAGGAUAAUCUUGUUGCCCCUUUGACUGUUCAGCCUGAUAAGAGAAUCAAUAUGGUUAAAGGUGAAAUUAGUUCAGAAGAAGAAGCUGAUGAACUAAUUAAGAUGUUUGAGGGACCCCAUAAUCAAAUUAUUAACAACUUGGAAACCUUUAAGACUAGGAAUUACUAUCCUAGGCCUACUUUUCCUGACAUGCAGUUUGAGGAAAGAAAUCAGUAUACUCAAGCCUCUUACACCAGUGGUACUAUCUAUGAAUGGAACAUAGAUGGUAUGACCGAGUAUAACAUACUCACUAAGCUUCAAGAAAUGACCAUGGUAAGUACAUCCUAUAAAUUAAACAAUAGACUGCCAGAUCAUGCUGUAGCUCAGACCAUUGUUGCUGGGUUUAUAGGUCAGCUUAAGGGUUGGUGGGAUAAUUAUCUCACUUUUGAUGAUAGGAAUAGUAUCCUUAAAGCCUAUAGGAUUAAUGAGAGUAAUGAAGUUGUUAAGGACGAAGAUGGCCAAGAUAUUGAGGAUGCAGUGGCUACUCUAAUCUACUCAAUAUCCAAGCACUUCAUUGGAGAUCUUGCAAAAAUUAAGGAUAAAACUGCAGAUCUCUUAACCAACCUUAAGUGUCCCAAGCUUCAUGAUUUUAGGUGGUAUAGGGAAGUCUUCCUAACCAAAGUCAUGCUAAGAUCAUAUUGUAACCAGUCUUUUUGGAAAGAAAAAUUCAUCUCAGGAUUACCCAAGCUUUUCUCUGAGAGAAUUAGGAUCAAGAUAAGGGAACAGUAUAAUGGUCAAAUCCCUUAUGAUAAGCUAACCUAUGGUGAGAUUAUAAACAUUGUCACAGCUGAAGGGAUUAAGUUGUGCAAUGACUUUAAGCUUAAGCAACAAAUGAAGAAUGAACAAAAAAUCUACAAGAAUGAAUUUGGAUCAUUCUGUAGCCAGUUUGGUUUCAGCCAAAAAGAAACUAUGCCUCCCUCUAAGCAAAAGCCAAGCAGGAAGCCUAGCAAAGAUAAGUUUUACCACAGUAAGAGAGGUACCCAUGACAACUAUAGGAUGAAUGAUACUAAGCAUUCAAGGCACGUCCAAAGAAGGGUCAACAAAGAUACCCAUAAAAAGAUAGAAACUCCUUUAGACGUCAAGCCAAUUAUCUGUUUUAAAUGUGGCAAAGUUGGCCAUUAUAAGAAAGAUUGUAGAGUUAAGCAAAAGAUUAACAACUUAAGUGUCUCAGAUGACCUAAAAAAUAUGCUUUGUAAGGUAAUGUUAAACUCCUCAGAUUCUGAAUCAAGGACUGAUUCAGAUAAUGAAGAUGAUAUUAAUCAACUAGAUAGCAGUGGCGAUGUUUCUAGCCAAACUUCUAGUGACCAAGAUGUUUGUAUUAAGGGUAAUUGUAAUUUCCGUCCUAAAACCAUAAAUGUCAUAAGCCAGGAUCAGGAGUUCAUCCUAGAUACUUUAAGAAAAGUUGAAGAUGAAAAGACUAAGCAAAAUCUUUAUGAAGUUUUUAAGAAAUCUGUGGUUAAGGUAGAAGCCAAGAAGACUGUUAAUCCUUAUAACCUUAACGAUAUCUUAAACAGGUUUGACCAGCAGUUUCCCAAGGAUGUCAGCUUUAAGGAACUUCAUGAAGAAGUUAAGCAGCAUAAAAAGAAGAUUAAGGAGUUAAGACAAUUCAUAAGUCUAGGUCUCUCUGAUCUCCAAGAUCAAAUCAAUAGAAUUGGCAACCAAGAAAACCAUAUGGAUAUUCCAGAAUCUUCUCAUGUUAAUGAUAAUGAGACAGAUACUUUUUUUAAUACUGUGAGUAGGGUUAUCUUCCAGAGGUGGGAAGUCUCCCUUACUAUAGUAGUCAAAGAUAAAUUUGUCUUUGAUAUUAUUGCUUUGAUUGAUUCAGGAGCAGCUGAAAAUUGCCUUCAAGAAAGUCUUGUACCUAUUUCUUUAUGCGAAGAGACUAGUCAGUCUCUAUUUGGAGCCAAUGGCAAAAGACUUGUCAUUAAGUAUAAAUUAACAGAUGUUCAUAUCCGUAACCAUGACAUCAGUAUUAAGCAAACCUUUAUCCUUGUUAAGGAUCUUAAGGAAAAAACCCUUCUAGGAAUACCCUUCUUAAGCUCUAUUUAUCCCUUGUGGGUAGAUAACCAAGGUAUAAGAACAAAGCUUUUUGAUAAGGAAAUUCUUUUUGAAUUUGCUAAUCCUAUUGAAAACAUCACUCCUUGUGAUCAAGGAAUUAAUCUUGUUAAGAUUAAUGAGCCACCUGAGAUACUAGGAACCCAUUUCAUUCAUAAUAUCAUUAUAAAUGAUAUUUUAAGCAUUUCUUUAUGCAUUUCAAAAUUUCAAAUUGGGAUUUUGAAUCAAGAAUUUUUACUAAAAAUUAUUUUCAAAGAUUUUGAAAAAAUUAAAUAUAUAACUUUUAAGUAUGAUUUAAUUAACUGGUAUAUUAUUUUAAAAUCUAAGUUUCAAAGUUACUUUAUUAAAGGAGAUUAUUUCAACCCUAAUCAGCUAUCUCGUGAAUUUUGCAGGGUUCAUGAGAUCAUGGCCCCUAAAAAGAAUAACCAAGCUUCUAGCUCUCAAAAACCCCAAUCCAGUCAAGCUAACCAAUCUCCUUCUACCCAUAAAAUGUUUUGGAGUCAACAAGUUGAAGAAGAAGAAGCACAACUUUUGGCAAAGCUUCAUUCUUCUAAACCUAUGCAUGAAUCCAGUCAUAUGCCUAACAAAAUGUUAACCUUAUACUAUGAUCCUUCUGAUCAUUCUAAACCAAUUAAGGCAACACAAUAUCCAGCUACCUCAGGGUCUCAGACCUUUAAGCAGGUUACUAUGGCUAAUCCCUCUCAAAAGGAAUUAGCAACAAGCUCUUCUUUCUCAAGUAAACAAAUUGUGGUGGCUGCCAACCCCACACCUCUUUCAACAAAAUCAAGAUAUUGGCAAAAUGAUUUAAAUCAAUCUCUUUUAGUUAUUGAAAGAGAAUUUUUCUCUGAAAACCCCAGAGAGAUUGCUGCAAAAUCAUUUCAAGAAAAUUUUCAUUAUCCCUCUGGUGAUAUUUUAAAAACAAGAGAGUUUUAUGAAGCAGUCCUUAUAGAAACUGGUUCUGUUAAGAUUAAGCAUAACGCUGAUAAAUUCAGCAAUAUGGGCUUGGCAUUCUUCACCUGCCAUAUCUAUAAGAUCCUUACAGUCAAGCAAUGGGGUGGAAAUCCUAAUCUUUCAAGGGAAUUUUCUGAACCAUCUAAGCCAAGGUUUUUUAAUUAUUGGGAUUAUCAGAGAGCAUGGUUUAAUGCUUUUCUGAUCCAGAAUAGGGACUUCCAUCAUUCAUGGAUGUUCUAUUUUCCAUCUAAGAACCAGCUUUCCUCUUUCCCAUUUUGGUUCUACAGUUGGUGGACUUAUUACGGUCCAACUAUUAAGAUUCUUCCUAAGCCCAUUCUGGAUGGCUUUGAGCUAUUCAGAAGUUCUUUUAAUAUUCCCAGAGAACUUUCAGCUUUUCCUCCUUUACUAUUCUUUUUUAGCAAUUUUGGCCUGGCUUGGAUAGUCCAGUGGGACUAUAUUAUUAUUACAGACGAAUCAGCAGCCUUUCCAUAUCUGGGAAGGACUUUUAAAACUAAAUGGUGGGAUGCAUUGAAAAAUGAUGCAUCUAUUGAUGCGGUCAAGCAGUAUUUCCUCAAGAAUCCCUCACAAGUCUCAACCAGUGAUGAUAUGUCUCAGUUUCUCCUCAAAAAGCAACAGUUACAAGCCAUGCUUGCAGUAGCUAAGACCCCUCAAGAGUUUCAGAAAAUCCUUGAUGAAGGAAGCUCAAGCUUCUCCCAAGAAAAUUCUUAUGCAGAGUCUGACGAUUCAACAAGCUACCUUCCAGACAAUGGUGAUGACUGUGAAUGAAUCCUUCCUCCAAUAAGAAGAUCUAAGUAAUCAUCAGCCUUUUGUCUUCCAUCAAGAGUAUUUUACAAGCUUUGCAGUAUCUGUUCCAAAAGCAGCAAGUAUGUGUCUACACAGUAUAAAGUAGCUUGCCAGAAGUCUUCUCAGCCGAAAAAAGGGUGUUUCGGGGAUUUUCAGUAUAAAAGUGAAUCUUACUAUUCACUAUUCACUAUUCACUAUUCAAGCACGGGUCCACUAUUCAUGGUUACUAUUCAAGAUUCCUUUUUUGCCUAUUUAAGGAGGCUCGGGCCUCAUUUGUAAGCACGUUCAAUUUUAGGCUCCUAUGCUCUCCCUUCUCUCUUCUUUCUCUCUCAUCAUGUAACCUCUUCAAGCUUUCAAUCUUUCUUCAAGCUUUCCUACCUUUGUUCAUUGUAAGAUAUUUCUCCUUAUAUAUAAUAUAAGUAUGUUUUGAUUACCUCCUAUAUGGAUGGUUUUUAAUUAAGUUUUAUUUUCAUUUCAUUUUAUGUUCUUAUACCUCCUACAUGGAUGGUUUUAAUUAAGCUUUAUUUUUAAGUUUUUUAUUUUGUACCGCCUACAUGGUCGGUUUUAUGUUUUUAUUUUGUAUCGCCUACAUGGUCGGUUUUAAGCUUAUUAUGAACUAACAAGUUUUUGGUUCCUUCUCUUUAAAUUUCAUUGUAGGAUAUCUUUUGUAUUUUCUAACCCUCUUCUUUGUUUAUAUAUAUAUAUAUUGUAGAUUUGCGUAUUGUUAUUGAUUAUUUGUGUAAAAGGAUUCUAAAAGGUUAUUCAUUUGAUUGAAGUGUUAAUUUUUUUUUCUCCAGUUUCUGAAAAAACGCGGGAAUGGGAGAGAACGAAACAAAAUAGAAGAAAACUGAAAAGGAUCUUGAAAAGUAUGUUUAUUACUUUGAAAUAGUUUGUUUUUUUUGGAUUCUCUCUUUGUUGAUUUCAUACAUUUGCUUGAGGUGUGUGUUUUCUUUCUGCAUGGUUUUAGAAAAAAUGCGAGAAAAAGUAAUGGGUUUAUACGUUCACUUUUUAUUAAGCAUAAAUAUAAGGGUUUUUCUUUAAUUUGUUAGCAUAUUCCUCUUUGAUUUUGAACUCUGAAAACACAUUAGUCUACCAAAGAAGAUAUCUAGUUAAAUUGAAAAAAAAAUGUCUUUAAUUAGAUUUCUUGGCUAUUUUAUUUUGAUGUUUUGGUCUAGUUGUUAAGAUUUUGAAGCAUGAUGUUGUGGCAAAUGCUUUGUUUCUAUAGUGUAGAAAUCUAGUAGAAAAGUGACAAAUGUGUUGACCAAUUUGGUUUUCUAAAGAGUUGAAUCAUAAUAAGAGAAAUAGAAUUUGUCCCCAUUUUGAUAUCUCCUCCUUGGUGAUUGGAAGAAACAUUUCAUUCGUCCCAUAGGAAAAUGAAUUUGUUUCCUUAAACCCUCCAGGUGGAGAUAUUGAAAGUGUUGUUGAAGUCUUUUUCCAUGAGCAGUGUUGGAAGAAUGGUUUUGAUUUCUUUUCCAAAAUUCAAAGCCCUUUUUUUAGAGUAGUUUUGGCUUAUAUCAUAAAGUAAAAACAAUACUUCUUCUAUGAGCAUUCAUGUCAAUUAUUCUCCUUUUGUGUUGCUUAACUUUUAAGUAAUUGAACCAAUAUGAUAUACAUGAAUAGUCAUUCUUUUCUAGUAAUGACAAAAUUGGAGAUCAUUGUAGUCUUUGCCAGUUGGGUGUCUAGUUUUUUAGUAGUGUGGGAAUUUUUUUUUCCUAUUUGUAGUUCUUUUCCCAAGGGAUAGGAAGUUGGUUUAAUUGAAAACCUCAAUUUUCAUCAAGCAAUUUGCAUCCUUUGCCUAUCUAUAAUUUCCAUUUCGCUUGUAUGGAUUGAGAAUUAAAUCCCUGCUCUCCCUUGGAUGUGAACCAACUUUAAGAAGCACCCCAUCAAGGUCUAAACCCAGUUUGCUUUUACUAGAUCAUAAGUGACAUUUGUUAAAUUUGGGACCUAGUUGGUCCUACAAUGCAAACCACAACAUUGAAAUAGUAAUCUCUAACAAAAGUCAUGACAAAGAAUGAUCCCAACUAAGGAUUGAAAUAUUACUCACAACUAAGAUAUUGAGUGAGAUGAUGCAUAUGCAUAGCCAAAAUACUUCUACCAUAUGCUUUCUAUUAGUAAGUAUGGUCUUUUAGAACUUCAUUUAUAUCUAGAUAUAGAUGCAAGGAAAAGUAAUAUGACAUGGACUCAUGAUUAGUUCUUAAAAUUUAGGCAUGAAUAACCAAAGUGUUUGAACUUAUUAGAAAAUCAUGUGCAUCGUGCAAUCUCUUUCAUCAAUAAAAGAUUUAAAAGAAUUCAAUGAAAAAUGUAGUGUAAGUUUUAUGAAAAUGUAAAUUUCUAAAAAUUGUUUCUUAGGUGAUGUAAAAGAAUGUUAUACAAUGGUCUCUAUUUCUCUCUCUCUCUCUCUCUUUAUAUAUAUACAUAUACUUAGUAUAAACUUAUGGAUUUUAAUAAGUAAAUGGAUGAUUGUUAUUUGAAUUUUUUUAUAUUUAUUUUUUAGGGACAAGGAAAAAAAAAUAGAUUUUCAAUCUAGUAUAACUCCAAAAGUGAUCAUCCUAGAAAGUGAACUACUCAUCUUUAAUGGCAAAUACUGAAGAAUCUAAUGAGAAGGUUUGUAUUUUUUGUAUAUUUGGGAUGUUAAUGUGUUGAUGAUUCUUGUAUAUGAGAUCAAUCCUUCAAUAGAAAAAUAUAUAUCUAUUGCAUUUCAUAUGCUAAAAAUAUACCAAAUAAGUUAAGCCUAGAUAUUAAGUCUAUGGAUGAUAUUAUAUCUCAAGUUUGCCAUAAAUAAUGAACUAAUCAAGUUAAGUUUUUUAUAUGUUAAUCAAAAUAUUCAUUUAAACUAAACUAUAGUUAAGUUUUAUAUAGAAAGAAUUUAACCGAGGUUAAGUUAUUAAAAAAUAAAAAUUCACCUGAACUUAGCCAAGGUUAAGUCUCAUUAACAAAUAACAUAGCUAUAGUUAAGUUCUCAAUUAAAAUAUUUGAAACUUGCUUACAAUAUAAUUAAUUGAAUCGGUAUUUUGAUUUUAGUAGAAGUAGUUAAAUUUUUUGUAAUUUAUUUUAGUUCAUGCAGAAUGUUUGUAACUCUUAAUAUAUUUUCUUAAUGUGAAGCACAAUGUAUGUGACUUUGUCGGCUACCACUUCUUCAACAAUCUUCAUACAGAAAAUACGUAAUGAAGAUCACUUCCCAUCUAAGGUGGCUUGAUUAUCCCACAUUAUUGCCAUUGACAACAUAAAUAAGAACUUGAAUGAAACCCAACUAUAGAUGUUUAAAACAUCUUGUUUUGCCCACUUCUUGGGUAUGGCUGAUUUGAAAUUUUCUGCUCAAAUUGUUCAUAACAUGUUGUUAUGCCAAUGUGACAUUAAAAAAAAAAAAAAAAAAAAAAAAAGAUGAUACGUGGAUACUUGUUCACUCUAAAGGUUUGAGAUUUAGUGCGUUGGAGUUUGCAUUGAUAACCAGAUUGAAAUUUGGGAAAAUUUCACAAUUUGACAUAACAUCUUUGAUGAUAAGAGAUCGGUAUUUUAAUAGAGAGAAUAAGAUUUGUAGUGAUCGAUUGGAAGAGGUUUUCAUUGCAUUAUGUAAGAAAAGAAAGAGAAUGAGCACAAAGAAGACAAAAAACAAGGCAAAGUUAAAUGGGAAAUCAAAUCUUGAUGAAGACAUUGUGAAGUUAGCAUUGUUGUACUUUGUUGAGCAUGUUCUACUAAGAAAAGAAUGGAAGAAUUUGAUAGAGUUACAAUGAGUUCAACUUGUUGAUAAUUUAGAGGAGUUCAACAAGUAUUCCUGUAGGAAAAAUUUUCGUGAAAGAACAUUAUUUGGGUUGAAAAGGGCUUUGGACAAAAGACAAUCAAAAUAUGUAGAGAAAAAAAGAAAAAAAGAAAAAGAAAAAGAGAAUGCAUCAUAUGAAGCAUGCACUUGUGAGAUUUCCAUAUGCCUUUCAAAUUUGGGCAUGUGAAGUCAUUCCAUUGCUUGGAAUGAAAUAUGCAAGUCGCAUUGGUAGAAGUUUUUCCAGAAUUUUAAAUUGGAUAGGGAUUGCAACUACAAAGUACACUGAGAUUCAAUCAUUAUUUUUAGAGUCAAAUGUGAGUGAUAUCUUAAUUUUUGCUAAUACUUGCUUUCUUAUUUACAUAACCGUAUUCUUAUUAUUAAUUGUUUUCUUUCUAUCUUGAAUUAUUAGUUAUCUUUGCAUUCCAUACUCACUUUGACAUUGGAAGAGGGUGAACAAGAGUAUGUGAAAUGUUUUGAAUUUGAAGCUUAGUCGGAUGAUGCCUUACAAGAUAAUGUGAAUGAUUGGGAGAAAGAUAAAUAUCAUGAAGAAGCUGAGGCUUAUACUGCAACAGUAGUAGCAACAAUGAAAGGUGAAAAAGAAGGUGAUAGUUCUAAAUUACCUUCAUUCAAGGUAACUAAAGUGAAAGUUAUUAAUAUUAUUUCACUAUACAUGUUUAAGAAUGUUUGACUAAUGUUAUAAUGUUUUUUCUUAUGUAAAGGAAUUGCUUAUGAUGUUCAUCAACAUAUUGAUGCCACUUUAUACUUUUUUUCGAAAAAAGAGGAUACUAAACUCUGAUGUGUUUACACAAAAAUUCACCACCACUGACACAUUAUUUUGGGUAUGCAUAUUAGUGCAUUUUAACUUUGUUUCAUUUUGUUUUUAAAGUUAUAUUCACCACUUUUGAUUAUUUUUUCCUUAUGUAGCAAAAAGUAGAUGGUUGUUGAAGGAUGAAUCAAAAGACAUGGAACAAAUACCUUUUACCGGAAGAUGACAUCCUCAUCGAUUAUGCCAUGGGUCUUUAUCUUAGGCCUUUUUUGAAAUGGUCUGAGGUUGAUGUCAUAUAUGUUCCUAUCAAUCUAAGGAACACACAUUGGGUACUGGGAGUUGUCCACCUUUGUAGUAGGAGAAUUAACAUUUGACUCCUUAAAGUCAAUUAACAAACCCAAUGGAUUGAAAACACUUGUCACACUGAUAGCAAUGUUGUUACCACGUAUCUUAAGUGCUACAAAAUGCUAUGGGGAGAAUGGUGACCCCAAGGGUGAACAUGCGUGGGACAUUGAGAGAUUGAACAACAUUCCACAACAAACAAAGGAGUAAGUACAAUAUUUUCCAUGCCAACACACAUAUUUCAUUAUAUAUACAAUAAUAUUUAACAUUGCUAACAUCACUUUUUAUGUGUUCAUUCAGUGGUGAUUGUGGUAUUUUUUUUAAUCAAAUUUGCAGAAGACCUGAUGAACAACCAUCCAAUGGAUACACUAAUAGGCGAGCGAAUGGAUUGGUUUCGUGAGAAGAUGGCAGCGGAGUUAUUUUUCCAUAAAGAAAUUCCUAUGGGAUCCUACUAUUGUAAAUGGAUUGAAAUUGGAUAAUGGACGAUGUUUCUAUGUAAUGACAUUGAAUUUUUUUGUUUAGCAAAUUCCUAUGUUAUAGCACGCAUUUAAAUAGUUACAUGUUUUUCAUAUAUCUAGAGAAAUGAAUGGUUGCAAAUUUAUUUACUUUUAUAAAUGUGACUGUGUUAUGAUUGUUAACAUGUUUGAAUUUAUUGUAGUAAGCAUCAUAAUAGAAACUUAUAUUUCAAUGUAGCACUCAUAUUUUUUUUGCUCAAACUUAAGGAGUGUUAAGUUACUUGUAAAAGAAACUUAACCCUAGUGCAGUUUAGGUGAAUAUCCUCAAUUAAAACUUAACUCCUACUAAAAUAUUUAUUAAAAAAACUCAACUUCAGUUUAGUUCAGGACAUUUGUUUUAAUUCAAACUUAACAAGUGUUAAUUUACUCGUAACUUACACUUAACCCUAGUGUAGUUCAGGUGAGUAUCCUCAAUUAAAACUUAACUCCUACUAUGUUCUUUAUUAAAAAAACUUAACUUUAGUUAAGUUCAGGACAUUUGUUUUAAUUCAAACUUAAUUGUUAAGUUACUUGUAAAUUAGACUUAACCCUAGUGCAGUUCAAGUGUAUAUCCUCAAUUAAAACUUAACUCCUAUUAAGUUCUUUAUUAAAAAAACUUAACUUUAGUUUCGUUGAAGUCAUUUUUUUUUUAACUGAAACUUAACUACUAUUAAGUUCUUUGGAAAAUGAACUUAACCCUAGUACAGUUCAGUUGAAUAUCCUCAAUUAAAACUUAACUCUUACUAAGUUCUUUAAUUAAAAAAAACUUAACUUCACUUUCGUUUAGGUAAGUUUUUAUAACUUAAACUUAACCAUUGUUAAAUUCUUUGUAAAAGAAAUUUAACCCUAGUGUAGUUUAGGUGAAUGUCCUCAAUUAAAGUUGUAUAUAUGAAUGAUCUCAGCAUACAUAAUGUGUUUGAUCUUAAUAUCAAUAAAAGAUUAAAACAUCUCCAAAUAUGUAUGAUCAAAUACUAACGAGACUAGUAUUCAAAAAAAUAAAAUAAAAAGUUCACUUGUCAUUUCAAAUGAGUUGGUAUUGAGGGAUGAACUUAAACUUCAUUUUUAAGCUUUAAGUUCAUCAUUUAAUUAAAAGAGACUAAAUCAAAGUACAAUUAUACGUUUUGUGCCCCUAUUCACAAUAUACAAAAAAAAUUACAAUAUCAAAUAUUUUAUAUGCCCAAUCAUCAUCUACAAAAAAUUCACCAUAAAAUUGGCUUAGUGACAGUUUCAUUCAUUCUCUGAUUGUAAGGAGCAAUCUUGCAUGCCUAUUUUAGUGUGUCCAUUAUUAUCGUUCUGAUAAUGCAGAGGGAUUGGUCGUUUGCAUGACUUUCGAUUAUGACCAUAAUCACCACAUCGACCACACCGCCAUCUGUGCUUACCCUCUCCACCCGAAAGGAUUCUUUCAUUCCUUGGUAUUCCUACUAGCCACCUUGUUUUCGGUGGUAAUACAACUCUACUGCUUAUAUCAUCAGGUAUCAUCCAAUCCCUUUGAUGUCCAGGAAGAUAGAUGGACUCGACAUAUGAAGAUAAUAAUGAGUUCACUGUGUAAUAUUUGGAGCAUAAAGGAUAGCAUGACAUAUGUGCAUAUCUACAAGCAACAAUAGCAUGUGAACACGAUAUGUGAUCAAGAUCAAACCGUUGACAUGUGCAUGAAUGAUUAUGUAAAUUCACAUGAUCACUAAAACCAUUAUAUUUAACAUUAUACUUCAUCGAGUUGAUUGCUUCAACUUCAUAUGUUGAUGAUGUAUUGUACCUUACACGAAGCUCUCCAUCAACCCAUGUUGUUAGCUCAGUUGUCAUUGACAAUGCUUGUUGUUUACGAUUUGCAAACCGUUUUUAAAGUAAAUUUCUUAACUCUUCAAUUUAUUGCAAAAUAGGAAGAUCUCUUGCAUCUUUUAACACAACAUUCAAACUUUCAGCAAUCCUUGUGGUCAAAAUGUUAUAUCUUUUUUUGGUAGAAUGUGAAUAUGCCCAUCGCUUAACACCUGCGUCUAUUAUAUAUGUUGCUGCUCUCAGAGAAAUCAUUUGUAGUUGCCCAAAUAUAAUAUUGAAUUUUGACAAGCGGUAUGUAUAAGCAACAUCAUGAACAACUUAUAGACUUCAACAUUUUUAAACUUUGUUUUGAGGUUUUUCUUCAUGUGAUAAGUGCACACACCAUGGCUUGCAUGAGGAAAAGCUUUUCGCAUAACUUUUUUAAUGUUGUUGUGACGAUCUAAAACCACCACGAGAUCAUCAACAUGGCCAAUUACUCCAUGCAAUUUUUUUAGGAACCAUUCCUAAGAAGCAUCAUUUUCAGAAUCACCAAUUCUGAAACAUAAAGGGUAUAUCUAAUUGUUUCCAUCCUUACAUGCAGCAACAAACAAAGUUCCUAAGUACUUUGCCUUCAAAAAUGUUCCAUCGAUUGUAAUGACAGGUCUUAUUGAUGUACGAAACCCAUAAAUACAUGCACCAAGAGCCAUAAAAAAAUACUUAAAUUGAUUGUCGUGGUCAAUAACUAUAUCAGUAAUGGUGUCAUAUUUUUUUUGCUCCAACACAUAACAAUAAGAUGGUAAAGCACUAUAGGACUCUUCUGGUGAUCCUCUAAUAGAACUUAGAGCAAUUCUCUAACUCUCCAUGUCUUAUCAUAGCUUAUCCCCACACCGAACUUGUUUCGAAUAUCAGCUACAAUGUCUUUUGGUCGAUAUUGAUGACCAACCCCUUGAUAUAUUUCUCUUAUGAUUUCACCAAUCAACCAACUACUUGCAUGACCAUGAUAACAGGAUAUCAUAUCCAAGCUACAAGUGUGUGUUGAAUGAUAUUUCCUUAUUUGAAAUAGAUCAGAAUUUCCCAACUUGAUUACACGAAGUUGCCACUUGCAUUCUUUAUCGACACAUCAAACAUAUAAUAACUUGGUCAAAGAUUUUAAUGUUUUGAACUAAAACUUUCUUUUCAAAGCAAUCAUGCACAACUUCUUUUGCAAUUCUUUCUUAUUGGAGUAUAUUUGAUGCUCUUCCAUGUAGUCAUCACCAGUUUCACUAUAACCAACUAUAAAUGGUUCCUCUAUGCUUUAUUCUACAUGAAUUUCAUAUUCCAUUACUGUCUUUUUCCAUUACAUCAAUUUGCAUUACUUGGCUAUCCUUGUUCGGGUUGACAUUCAUUCCACCAUCUUCAUCAUCUUUGUUCAUAUUCAAGUUAUGAGAAUCAAAACAAUUAAGUGGAUCAUAGCUCAACCUUGUUCUAUUUUCAUCAUCAAAACCACUCAAAGAUUCACUACUAUUUAUGAAUAUUGGGUCCAUAUUGAUUUCUUUCUCAACCCUAGAUAAAGUAUGAGAGCCAAAAUCAGUGUUGAUGAUUGAUUCAUACCUAUGAUUGUCACUUCUUUUCUCUAUUGUGAUACAUAAUAGAACUGGAAACUUACCAUCAAUACAAUUUAAACGAAUGAAAAAUUUCACAUCUCCAUCAUCUCUUAGCUGUAUAGGAGUGGAUGGUAUAUUGCCAUUGAAUACAUAAUUAAUCAAAAUAUUGUGCUCUAUUGGAUCUACUUUCAAAAUGUGACAAACAAUCUUCAAUAAUCCUUCAUAUGUUGUAGUCUUCUUAAGUUUAAUACUUUUACCUUGGCAACCUUCAAAGUAGUACAUGUUUCCAUUUUGCACCCAAUCUCCUUCAUACAAAAGCAUUAUUCCCACUUCAUUAAUCACUAUAACAAAAAUAAAUAAGUAAAUAAAUAAAUUGAAUUAUUGAUACAAAAAAACAAUAUUAAAAUAGUAGUUAUUUGGAUAAGAAACUCAAUCCCAGAAAGUUGUCGAUUAACAUGUUGAAUUGUACUCAACUAUCUUCAAGUUUUAUAUAUAAAGAACUUAACACUAGUAACGUCUAGUUUUUACAUGUUAAAUACGAGCUUUACUCUUUUCAUACAAAUCUUUUUAACAAAAAAUUUCACUCAUGUUUACUCUAAAAAUUUCAUUUUUUCCAUACAACCAAAUAAUGUUGAGAAUAGCAAAACUAAGAUAAUUUGUUUUCCCAAAUGGGUUUACAUACCUUCAUUCGACCUUGCCAUAUGUUUUUUUUUUUUUAAAUCUGCUUUGCUUCUAUCACCUCAAUUUUGAUGGUGGGUUGCAGUAAUGGUGUAUAGGGACGUACUCACAAUGUUAGUGAGAGAUAUGCAAAUAGAUGUAGUACCGAUGAGAAAGACAAAACUAAAAUAUUUUGCUUUUGGAGAGAUAUCAUGUCUUUGGUGGGGGAUCUUACUCUUCUCUAUUUCUCUACUCUUUUCUACUUCUCUCUAAUCAGUUUUAUUGGUGGGUUACAGAGAUGGUGUAUAUGGAUGUACUCACAGUGUUGGUGAGAGAGAUGUAGUACCGAUGAGAGAGGUAAAACUAAAGUUUUAUGCUUUUGGAGGGACAUCAUGUCUUUGGUGAGGAUCUUAUGUGUUUUUGGAAGGAAAUAAAUAAGGGUAAAAAUGUCCAAAUUAAGUCAUCUCUCAAAACAAUUAACUAGUGAGGUUACUUUUACAAUUUUACCUUUAUUUUGAGUCACCUAUUCAAAUAACGAAAAAAAAGGAAUAGAUUAUGUAAUAAAGUUAUUGGUUACCUUAGUAGCAUAGAUGGCCAUGGCAACCAAACUAGAGGAAAUGGGCAUUUGCAGAACAAUGGGCGUCAAGAAAGAGAAGUUCAAGAAAUAAAGGAAGAUGAUGGGAUUGUAGGUGUGGAGAGAGAUGUGUAUAUAGAAGGAGAUAUUUUGUAAAGAAAUAGGUUGAAAGGCGGUUGUUUGUCAACUUAAUUUGUCUUCUAGUCGGUGGAGCAAUGAAAAUGUGAGUCAACCGUUUUUGAAAUCCAUUUAGGAUUUUGAGAAUAGAGAAUAAAAUACAUGUUCACGAGGGAAAUGCUGAGGAUGGCUGACGAUCAUGACGGCAACUUUGUUGUCCAAAUGUCUCAUUGGGUGAUGGUUAACUAACAAUCAUAGGAUAAAAUCCAUGACUGCUAUAUGUGGAUUUUCUCAUUUGUUAAUGUUCCACCCCAACCUAAAAAGCAAAGCCAAAAAAAAAAAGUCAAUCCUAGAUUGUAAAAUUCAUACCCUUGUCUACAUAAAUGCUAUAGAAAUGUUAAGGGUGUGUUUGGACACAUUUUUAAAAACAUUUCUAAUGUGAUUGUUGACUGGGAAAUUGAUUAAAAAAUGCUACUUAAUCUUAUUUGAUGUUUUUUUGUUAAAGCUUUUGAUUCAUUUUAUUGAUUGUAAGGUAAGGUUGUAAAUAUUGGAUUGAUUAGGUAUAUGAAUGUUAUUUAUUCACAUAUUGAUGUAUAGAUUUGCAAAGGUUCUAGAAUCUUAAUUAAAUAAUUUUUCAAUAGUUUUUUGUUUGUUAAAUAUUGUUUGAUUUGUAAAAUAUUUAGGGAAAUGAAUAUUAAGUUUAUGCUUAUUAACUUGACUAGCCUGACUAACCUGAGCAUAAAUCUAUUAAUCUAAGCCUAACAAAUUUAAACUUGAGUUUAGAAAAAUAAGUUUAUGAAAGAUGGUAUGAAUUUUGACUUCUAAAAGAUGUAGAUAAAGGAUUCUUUGCACCAAAAAGAUUUGUAUCUAUCAUUGGGAGAGAAACCAAAACUUAUGGAUGAAAAUGAAUGGGAUUUGCUCGACUGCCAAGCCUUUGUUGCGAUUAGAUUAACCUUAUCAAAAACAGUUGCUUUUAAGAUAAAAAAACAAGUGCACAACAUGUCCCUCGUGGCCACCCUAACCAGUAUGUAUGAACAACCUUCUUGUGGACCCCGUAUUUCUGCUCAUGCGUUUCCACUCGAUGACGAGCUCACUUUUUUAUUUAAAAAAAUGAUUUAUUUUUUUAGAAAAUGACUUGGAGUCGCUACUUAUUUUUGUUUAAUUUUUAAAGGGUAAACAAAAUAAGAAAGAAAACUCUAAGUGUAACUCCUUAUUUGGAAAAAGUGGCCUGCGAAAAACCUGAUCUGGGUUCGAGGGUCAGGUUACUUAUCGGGAAUGUACGAUAAAGACCGUAGCACGCCUCUAAGUCCCUAAAAUCGGGUCUCUACUAAUAAGAUGAAGCAAUCAUGGCAAUUUGUAAGAAGAUCAAUGGAUACCGAAUGAAAAUCAAAACAAAAUGCCCGAAUGAAUAUAAGAGGCAAAGAACGUACCUAAGUGAUGAACUAAUUUAUUUCAUGGGAAGCAAAGGUUAGCAAACAAACACGAAAUAAUCGCAUGUAUUACAAAGUAAAUCAAGCAAGCAUGGCAACCAAGCAUGGCAAUUAAUUAGUCAAUGAGAAAAUCACACAUGUGGGGCCCCACCAAAACCCGAUUUAUUUUAGCAUAGAUUAAUUCCAUAAAUUUCAUUACUUGAAUUAUAGAAUUAUUCGGGCUUAUUAAAAAUGUGAAAAUCAGAAAAAAUAAAAAUAAAUCAAGGAGAAUUUAUGAAAGAUGUUUGCUGGAAAGAAAUGUGGCAACCAAUUUUAUUAAAAAAAGGGAAAAAUUUAAAAUUAACAAAUAAUAAUAAUAAUAAUAAUAAUAAAAUAAUGAUAAGAAUAAAAAUAAAAUAAAAUAAAUAUAAAUAUAAAAUAAAAGAUGCAUGCUAAGUGAAAAAUGGUAGCAAUUGAUUUAUUAAAACGGGAUUUAUUUAAAACCAAGAGAGAAAAAUUGAAGAAUUAAAAUGAUUUGGAAGCAAGAUUUUUGAAAAUCGAGUUUUGGAGGCAUGCAUAAAAAUAAGUAAACAAAGGAAGCAAGUGCACUUAAAAAAAAAAAAAAAAAGGAACAUAGGGGUGCGCACCUUGUACAUUAGUUGUACGCCGUUUCCGAAAUCACCAAUGGAGCUGGAAAAUACAAGAAGGUGAUGAGUGUACUGAAACUGGAGAUGAGUGAGAACUGACCAAGAAAAAACCCCAAAAUGACCAUGCGAAUGAGGAGCCUUGUGAACUUGGCAUCAAUUCUUCUUUGGGGGUACGAUACCCAGGCCAUGAAAAGUUCAGAUUGCUGGAUGGACACAAGACAGAGAUGAGAAUGAUACUCGGGCAGGCUACAUUAUUCCAUAAAGAAAUGCUUCAAUCUUGCUCAUUCAGAUCCUCUUGACCUUUGAAGAGGUUUCUAUUUCAGAAAAAGUAGGUACUGUAGGUGACACUUCCAAGCUGAUUUGCAUGAGCCUAGGGUUGGACAGCUCAAUUCCUCUGACCAACUGAUACGCAAAUUCCUAUUUCCGGCCGGACUAAGCAUUCUAUAUCCUCCCCCCAGUCCAUCCCCUAAUGAACUCUCUUCAAGAAAUACCAAAUUGCUGUUGGGGAUAAAUGUAUGCCCAAGAUCCAAUCUAUCAUGUAAUCAACUUUAGUUUUAAUAAGGUAUUAAUUCUUUAUUUCAUUAUCAUAUCUGUUUAAAAUAGUUUAUAUGAUAAGGUCCUUGAUUAAAAUUUGAAAAUUGUUAUCAUGAUAGAGAUUAUGAUAAUGAGAAGCAAUUCUUUUAAUAAUUUUAAUCUAAACUGUUCUUGAUCAUAGGAUUAUUGUCAACAGGACAUCAAUAAUCCAGAUAGAUCAAUAUAUAUGUGAUGGUCUUUAUUGGAUAAAGAUUGAUAUAUCUCAUUUGUUAAAUUACAUAUAUAGAUGAUGCACAUGUAGAUGUGAUCAUUGAACUGACUCAACUGAGAAUUUCUAAUGGUUAUCUUUACCUUAAAUUGUCAAUAGGAAUUUCUCAAGAAGAAAUAUAAUAGUUUUCUUUGACCUGAGAUUAUCAAAGUAAUUAACAAGUUAUUUAUUAUAUUUUAAUCCCGGACACCUAAUGCCUUAGGGCACUAGUUGAAUGGAUAUUGGAUAUAAUUAAAUACUUGUAGAAUUAAUGAUUAAUCAAGAAGGAAUCCAUCAACUCGUGGUAAUGAGUUUGAGCUCUAUGAUAAAAAUAAGACCUUGGCCAAGGGCAAUUGAAUGAAUGAAGAAAUGAGUUUCUUAAGUCAUAAGUCAUUCACUAAAUAAAUAAUGUGUUGACUUAUUAGAGUUUGACAGUAAUACCAUACUCUAGAGUUAGCCCAGAGCUGUAAAUGAUGGAAGGAAAUAUUACAUUAUUCUUCUACCGGUUCUUGAAAGUAAAAGAUAUUACUUCAUACUAUCUGGACGUUAAGGAGUGUUGCUAGACGCCUACCUUAAUUAGUAAAUUGAUUUGAUUAAUUUACUACCAGCUUAGUAAUGAACCUACGGGGUCACACACAAACGAGUGUUUUAAUCUUUGCAAAGAGCUAUUUAUUAUUAUUUGAUAAUUAAAUUAGAGAAUUUAAUUUUAAUCAAAUAAAUAAAUAUGUUCUAUGUGGAAUAUUAUUAUAUUCUUUGCUAGCACCAAGAAUAUAAUUAAUAUAUAGAUAAAUAAAAUAAAAUAUUUUUCUUUGGACGUGGAAGUUAGUCCACGAGAAUGUUUGCUAAACAUUUGCAAACAUAUGGGUACAUGCAGCAACUUACAGGAGGGAUGUGGGUUUUGUUUUUAACUUACAAGACUUGGUCAAAGUGUUUUUCAAAUGCUAUUGAAAAUAGCAAAAGAAAAACAAAUGGACCAAUAGAAUCUCUUAGUAGCCCAAAAAAAAGGAGGACACGAUAGAGAUAGAUUAAGUGAUAAAAUCAAAAAAAUCAAAUUAGUUGAGUUAUCUUAUCACUUAAAACAGAAGUUGUAUCGGAUAUGCUAUAUAGCAUAUAUACACAAUCUGAAUAAGGAUCGAUCUAUCUUUAUCCUCCUUGUUUUUACGCCAAAGAAAUACAAAGUGUUGUUCUAUUUUUUUUUAAGUUCCGCGUAUCAAAGGGUUGAUAGCAAAGAUUAAUUUCGGUGUGGAUACACGUAGAGUCUUCAUACAAUUGGAGAAAAAUUUAUGCUUGAAGAAUUGAUAUCCAGGUUAUUAUUUUAAAUUUUUUGAUAGCUGCGGUAUAUAUUUUGAAUGCAAAAUAGAUCAAUUUCCCGCUGUAUGUGUUAUAAAUUUAUUUUAUAACCUUUGAAUUGCAUCCUAUUGGCUAGCCUCCUCAUACCCGUUAUGGCAUACCUCUCCUUCAUCUUUCUUAGCCGAUGACCACCUCUCUUUUCUUUAGGCUCGGGAUCAGAAACUGGAAAAGGUUUAGGUUGUUUUGCAGGAGGUGGCUCCUGCCAUUUCUCAAUCUUCUUAAGGAUCUCUAUUCAAUGGAGUUCAAAAACUUAAACAAUAUGGUCUGAAGGCAUGACAUGGACGAUUUCUGAUUAAAGUUCCGAUGAUUCAAGUAGGAGACGUUCUCAUGGGGGAGAAUCCGAAACAGCGUCUAUGCCCUGAGUCACAAAUUUGUCUAGGAAUUUCAGAUAUAGCAGAUGCUCAGAGGAGAGUGCUUCUUCUUCAACCACAUCUUUCAUUGCUUGAACAUCCUUCCCAAUUGCAUAAUUUGCAUAGAGCUGAUUGGAUACAUCGGGUCAUGCCCUCACCAAUGUCACUCUUCAUUAAACGAGACAGUGAUGGGAGGACAUUGAUUGGUGGGUAUACCUGUCGAUUGUGGAGCUGUUUGUCAAUGUAAAUCUGGUCCUCAGUGGGAGCGGGAUGUGUUAUAUCAUCAUAGGGCAUAGUUAAAAUCGGGAUUUGUGUAAUGGGACCCUUCCUUCUUUCAAUACGUCCAGGCUCCAGCACGUUCGUAAAUUGUCGCCAGAUCAGCACACAUAUACCCAGGAUACCCACGCCUUCCGGGAACUUCUUCUCGGGCAGCAGAUACCUCAUAAAGAGCAUCUGCAUCAGAACUCAUAUCUGCUAGUAUGACAAGAACAUGUUUGCCACAUUCAUAUGCUAAAUAUUCAGCAGUGGUGAGAGCAAUGCGAAGAGUGAUGAUGUGUUCAAUGGUGGGGUCGUUGACCAGGUUGAGGAAUGGAGUCACUCUCUCCAUUGAUCUAUUUUCCUCGAAAUCACGUUUUUGAAAAAAAAAGCUGUGCAGUCUCCAUGUUUCCUCCCAUAGCUGCAAAAAAAAAACAAUGGCAAAGUUGUCCUCUUCCACGUCCUGUAGGAGACUUCCAGACUUCACAUUAUAUCCGAAUGUGGAAACGCCAACACAUCUUCAGCAUGUACUCAACCAACCCGAACGUGAAGCUCGAUAGUCCCCUCAUCAUCCAUUGAUGUCACAGUAUCUAGAGGGGAAGAACCAUCCAGAACAAUUGCAAAUCUUGAUGGUGAGAGAGCCACGAAGUUGGGAUCCUCGCUGAUCAUCACCGCAUGCAUUGACGCGCGUGGACGAUAAGGGAGCCAGGUGUGUCUGCUCAUGUCAAUUCCGACGUGAUUGGCAAAGCGUAAAGGACAUGGAGAGCCCCAUAAGCAACCUCCUUCAUGUCGGGAACUGAGACUCUAUGACCUCCAGACUUGAAGGCUCCAUGAAUAGUCAAAGAUUCGACUUCCUGUAGGUUUGCCACAUCCUGAACAGACCUGAAUUUUCUCUUCUUUCGGACCCUUGUCUCAGAAAAUGGUUCCAUAGCUGUCACGUGUUUCAGAGGCAAAUUGAUGCCUUGGAUUAAGAGGGUCUGAUGAUAGAGUCUUCUGAUUGAAACAGAACUCUUCCAAUAAAUGCUUCUGAAAUGAAUAACAAAACUAGGCCAAAAUAAGGGUGUACACUUCUACAAUAAAUAAGGCAUACCUAAUUAUGAAGCUCUUUAAUUUGAAGAUGCUUGAGAACAAAAAUUUUAAGCAACAUUUGAAUGAAUUUGCGAGUGAGAUAGAUUGCAAGAGGAGCACUACAAAGUAUGUCUAAGGAUACUUAUAACCAUUAGUUGGAUUUCACACUUUAGGCCUACAACUGAAGCAGAGUACAUGGUUAAUUAUGAUAAAAGUUAGCAAAAAGAUGAUUUGGUUGCAGCAAUAUUCAUUAGCAAAUUUAUGAGUCAAACAUAUGAUGAAUGUAUUAAAGUGAAAGACAUAUGGCUAAUUCAAUAUUUCAUUUAAUGACUAAAUAUAUUGUACUUUGUUAUCACUUCAUCAAGUUUUCACUUGAAGAUGGAGUGUCAACAUUUGUGAAGAUACAAGGUAGCAAGAAUCCAACUAACAUGUUGACCAAAAUAGUGAUAAUAGAGAAACUGGAGUUGUGCAUAGCUUUAAUGGGUCAUGGGUGAGGAUGGGUUGUUUAAGUGCACACCAUAUUCAUUAAUCAUUAAAGGAAGAUAUUUAGUUGUACUUUAGUUUUUAAGUGGGAGAUUGUUGGAUUAUAAAGUUUGAAUCAUUCUUAUCAUGCUACAUAGGAGAUGUCGAGGAUUGAAUGACAAGUUUGCCCCUAUUGUAUUUAACCCUUUAUGAUUCAAGGUUUAGUUAGAGAGUGGAAAGAAAAUAGCAUGGCCACAAUUGAAAGGAGGAGAGUUUUCACCAUAGUAACUUUUGUAUUUUCAUUUCAUUAGUGGAUUUUUGAGUGUUAGUGCAUUCGUGAAUGUAUGAUUCACAAUAAUCGUUGAACCAUGUUAAUUUUUUUUCUCUCUCUUAUUUUUGCUUAUGUAUAUGUGCUUAUGUUAAUCGGUUGUGAUUAGAUUAAUUGACUACUUGACUCGAACCAACCGGACUUGCAUGAGUUGCAUCCUUAUGAGGUUAAGGUUUUUGUGGAUAGGGGAUGGGAUGAAGAGGAUGAGGACAUUUUUUGCCCUUUCACAUUCAAGUUUUAUUUGAAAGUUAAAUACAAUUGUAUGCAUACAUUUCAUGUUGUUUGAUCUAAGAAAGAUGGGAAAAAAGAUAAAACAAAUUUAUAUUAAUAUAUAAGAAAAAUGAAUGUCAAUAAUAUGACCAUGUGCUUUAAUUUGAUCUUGUAGUUGAUCUUAGUUCAAGAUGACACAAAUUCUUGAAUAAAAAAUGUGGUCUAAGGGUCAACUAGACUUGAUCUUGACUUUGUUACCUAAAAUGUGGUCUUCAUCUUUAAAAGAAUGAAAGAAAACUACUUAUUUUUUGCUUUAAUUAAUUUUUUUUCAUGGGCUUGCCAAGAAAUGUCGAAUAGUAAAGGAUGUUCAAACUUGUUGAAGAUUCAUUCACUAUUCAAGCUCAUUUGUUACUCAAACUUCCAUCAAAAGGAUACAUGAGCUACUCUUGUUUAAAAAACCUCAUGAAUUUUUGUCCACUCUUCAAUUUUUUUUUUUUCCUUAAAGAAAAUGUUAUAAUGGUUUCAUUUUAAAUGUUCAUGCCAGAACUUCAACUUCUCUACUUGCACUCCUCCCUUUGAAAUCAAGGAUAGUUUGUCUAUGUUUUAGAAAGUUUAAAUAAUGAGACCAUUAUAUUUGACACUUCAAUUCAAAUUUGAAAUAUUGCCAACAUAUGAAUCUAAAGUUUAAAUUUAGACAACACUUAAAAGUUGAUUUGUCAAUCAAAUUCACUUUUAAACUUUUCAUUAAUUCUUAACUUAAAAAUAAAUUAUAUUACCUAGAUUUUAUGCAAUUUAUAAAUUAGUAAAUUUUUUCUUAUUUUUUAAGUAAAUUUAGAUAUAAAUUUUUUUUUUUUGAGGAAUAUAUAUUAAAAACAACACAAAUUAUAUUUUGAUCGGAUAAACCAAACAUAAUUAUCUUACUUUAAACAAAUAUUAAAUACAUCGGUAUAAGAGUGAAAGACUAGGGAUCUGUUUAGUAAUUGUUUUUUAGAACAAUUUUCUAUUUUUCAUAAUAAAAUAAUAAGAAAAUACGUUUGAUAGAAACUAUUUUCUUUUUUCUUUUCUUAAGAUAAGAAAAUAUGAUUUUUUUAGAUAACAUCUUUAAUUAUUUUAUAUUGUUUUCCCUUGUUUUCUAAAAGUUAUCUCAUAAAAUAAUUAUAAAAUGAUUAAAAAUAAAACACAUGAUAUAAGAAUUAUUUUUGAAACAUAUUUUAAAAUAUUAAAAACGGGUUAAAAACAAAAUCAGAAAACAUGUUCUCAAAAAUAGUUUUUCAAAACUAUUUUCGAAAACAGCUAUCAAAUAGUGUCUAAUUAACUAGGUAAAAAGAAAACAUCUAUUUAUUCUAAACAAAUAUAAUUGAAUACAUUAACACGACAGUGUUAACUAAAAAUAUAUUCGAUAAUUAUUACUUCUCUUUCAAAGCAAAUACUACAUAUCACCGUCCAAUAAUUGUACAAGAAAAUAUAUAUUUUCUAAUUUAUAAAAUAAAUAAUAAUAAAGUAGUAAAUAUUUUAAAUAUCAAACAAGAUUGAAGAUUCUAUCCAUGGUAUGGAAAACCACUUUAUUUAGUCACGUGUGAUUGUCAUCUCUGCAACCUGAAACAUUUCCUCUAUUCAUCAUGCAGACUUUCCAGGAGUUCCUAGACCUGGGGGACCUUUACCGCGGCAUCUGGUGAUGGGUGAGCAACCCCUUUGCCAUCGAUGGGCUUCUUGAGGUGGAGCCUUGGGAUUCUCGCGACAACCCACUGGUGGACUCGGUCCAUGGCAUGGGUCUAGGAACUUAUCAAUGUCAACCUCACCAUGUACGUACAUGACCAAAAUCAUGCUGACAAGAGUCAGACAUAUGAGCCAUUUCUUCGUGAUGGAGAGUCCCAUGAUCUCUAUGUUAAAUUCCUUUUUCUUUAGCUUCCAAUGCAUGGCUAGUCAUGUGAAGGGAGUUUAUAUAGAUUUUGGAUAUGGAGACCUUUGGGGAGUCGAAUGUCUUAAUAUAGAAGUGCUUAAAAUAAAGAAGGGCAAAACCCUUUUGUUUAGAUGGUUGGAAAAUGAUUUAGAAAAAUAAUUUUUGACAACUAUUUUAACUAUUUUAGGAAAAUUGUUCGUUAUUGUUUUGUAACGUAAAUAAAAGUUUCUUUUAACCUAUUUUUUUACUAUAAAAAAUUUCAUUUAUUUGACCAAAUUUUUAGUGUCAAUGACUUCAAAAUAUUUCCUUGGAGUAAAAAAUAAAAAAUAAUUUGGUUUAUGAUUGUUAGGUAUUUUUGGGCAUAAAAUAUAUCUUUCACAUUUCACAGUGAUAAAUGUCAAAUAUUUCAUUAAUUCUUUCAAAUCAAUGACUCCAAAAUUUCAAUUUACAAAGUUUUUGCCCAAACUUUUGUUUUCUUUGUUCAAUUCAACCGGUAACAUAAUCUUAGAACAUGCCCAAAUUUUGAUAGUGACCCUAAAAUGUUUUUGAAAUGAAGAUGAUAAAAAAUGUUAAGUAAUAAUAAUAAUAAUAAUAAUAAUAAUAAUAAUAAUAAUAAUAAUAAUAAUAAUAACUAUUGUUUUUGUUUUGUGGUUAUGAGAGCUCUAUGUUUUUGCUAAACUAUUAUGAUGCUUUCAAUGCUUAAUUAUGUUAUAUGCAUGACACUAAAAAUUUCAUUUAGAGAAUAUUAAUUAAAUUUAAUUUAAGUUUUAUAAAAAAUGAAAACAAUUUCAUGAUUAAAAAUAAAUAGCUUUGAAUAAAAUAUGAAUAGUAAUAUUAUAAUAAAAUAAAAAAUUAUUGUUAUUUUUUUAGAAAAAUAAUUGUGGACCCCCCGUUUGGGGCCUCCUCUCUCAGGCAACCUGUUUUGCCAAGUGUCACAGUCCCAUAGGGCCACGUGUCGUCUCGUGGUUGGUGGUCAUAAAAUCAGACAGUGGAAUUGAGGAGCGAGUGAGAGUUUGACACGUGGCAUGGAGAUAUUCUGGCCGUUAGUGAGGAGCGUAUAUUUUCUGUUAGAGGAGAUUCGUUGACAGAGGUGGUGCGUUUUUCUGGAGGUGGAGUGCUUUUCAGGUGGGGCUUUUCCAUUAGAGAGGGGGGCUGCAGAGAUCUUUGAGGAGAGGAGCUUUUGUUUGGUUGUUUAGAGAGGAGGGAGAGAUAUUUUUUAGGGGGGAUCCUGGAGUUAAAAGAAAAGAGAGGUUUGAGGCUACUGAAGGAUUCCAGGGGGAGUUUCGGGAGUUAGAGGAGGAUAACUAGAGAGGAGAGGGGAUUCACAGGAAGCUGGCGAGGAGGAUAGGGGAGCUUGAGAUGAGGGUUUUUGACAGAGAGGCUGGCGAGGAGGAUAGGGGAGCUUGAGAGGAGGGUUUUUGACAGAGAGGUUGAGGGAGGAUUUUUGUGCCUGUUUAGUUUGAGAGAAAACUAAGAGGCAGAGAUAUAGGAGCGUUUCUGUUACAGAGGGCAGGAGGUGAUGCUUUUUCGAGGGGAGCUGCCAGAGAGAAGGGUAGAAAACCAGAGUUUUGAGGAGGAAGCUAGAAGCAAGUUGGAGGUUAUAGAGAGAGCCAGAAAGAAAGGGUCUCUAACAUUUUUCUUCCCGAGAGUAAGUUUUCCAUUGUGUUUCUGCUUCUUUCUUUUUCUCUUCAUAUAUUAUUAUUGGGAUGCAUUGUUGUUGAUCUUUGGCAAUUUAUGCUUUGUUCUUCAUGGCUGACUAUUCCUCUUUUGCUCCUGUUUGUGUUUAAAAAUUGAUUUAACUCCAUUUUUACCUUCUUUGUGGCAUUUUAAAGAAAGAAAAAGACCUUUUAAUUCACCUAUCUGCAAACCCACUAAUGAAGAGGUGAAGCAUAGUCCUUAAUGCUUCAUCUCAUUUUUCUUCCUCCAUGGCUCUGUUUUUGCUACUUUUCUCUCUGCUCUUCGUGUUUGGACUUUCUUGGAUAUGAAGCCGUAAUGGGGAGUGAGGCUAUGGGAUGACGAGACAGUGAGGGAUUUGGACUCCUUGAAUCCGUUUGUCCUGUAGAGGCUACUAAGGGCUUGGUAGAUCAGUGUUUGAGCAUAUGAACAGAGAGUGGUCUACACAGGGGAUACCAUUAUUGCCAGUGAUCCGUGUGGCAGAGAUUAGUGGGCUGUAGAGAGGGGAUCCUUUCUGGAGGAGAAAGAGAACAACAAGAGUAAGGGAAGUUUGGAGCUAGAGUGGCAGGCAAACAGGGAGAUAGAGCUACUGAACUAGAGAAAUUGAAACGGAGCAAAGGAACAAGAGAUGAAUUUGUUGGGAAUUGUCCCAAAUUCCUAAUUAGUAAAUAUUCCUUUUUGUAAAGAAUAUUGUAUAGAAUAUUUCUAGGUUGAUAUAUUAUUGUAAUAUUAGACUUCCUUAUAGAAUAAGGAAGGUUGUUGGAAAUAUCUCUAUAAAUAUUCUAGGUCAUGAGGGGAAAAAGUUAUGAGAUGGAGAUGAGCCUAUAGAGACUAUACGAGGUGGAUAGAGAUGUGAGGAAGAACGGGAGGUACCUGGUGGAGCGAGAGGGCUCGUAGUAAGGUAUGGAUACAAGGAGUGGGGAAACAUGGGAUGUUUCGGGAACCCAAUAGUUGUAUCUGGUUCUAUCCUCUGUAAUAUUUUCUAUUGUAUAGUGGAAUUAUUCUCUCUCAUCCGUGGACGUAGGCAUGGUUAGCCGAACCACGUUAAAACCUCGUAUGUGUGAUUGUGUUUAUCUUUGUGUUCUUGAACUAUCAUUGUUGGCAUCAAAGCUUUCGCUGGCACUACAAUUGGUAUCAGAGCUUGGGUUGAAGAUUUCUGGAAGAGUAAAAAAUCACAAAGCACAUAAGAUGAAAACAAAAGGAAUUUUCACUGAAGGUGGAGUCAAUUGCUCUUUCGUGGUGAUAUGAUACAAAAAGGUUUGUGUCAUGGAGAGAUUGAAGAUUAACUUCAUGUAAUUUGGUCCAAGGUGGAGAUUGUUGGGAAUUGUCCCAAAUUCCUAAUUAGUAAAUAUUCCUUUUUGUAAAGAAUAUUGUAUAGAAUAUUUCUAGGUUGAUAUAUUAUUGUAAUAUUAGACUUCCUUAUAGAAUAAGGAAGGUUGUUGGAAAUAUCUCUAUAAAUAUUCUAGGUCAUGAGGGGAAAAAGUUAUGAGAUGGAGAUGAGCCUAUAGAGACUAUACGAGGUGGAUAGAGAUGUGAGGAAGAACGGGAGGUACCUGGUGGAGCGAGAGGGCUCGUAGUAAGGUAUGGAUACAAGGAGUGGGGAAACAUGGGAUGUUUCGGGAACCCAAUAGUUGUAUCUGGUUCUAUCCUCUGUAAUAUUUUCUAUUGUAUAGUGGAAUUAUUCUCUCUCAUCCGUGGACGUAGGCAUGGUUAGCCGAACCACGUUAAAACCUCGUAUGUGUGAUUGUGUUUAUCUUUGUGUUCUUGAACUAUCAUUGUUGGCAUCAAAGCUUUCGCUGGCACUACAGAAUUCAUGGGUUUUCUGAAUUGUUUUCACUAAGAAGGAGUUCACCCAGUACUCCUAGGCCUAAGAAGCUCGACAUUUCUUUGCAAACAUAAGAAGCACAGGCUGGAACUAUGGAGGCCAUAGGUUUUACAUGGUAAAAAGUGGGUUGACGGAGGAAUUGAGAAAAUAAUAAACCAAGCAAAGCUAUCCUCGAACGAUGCAGGCGGCGAAAUGCCUCUGCUAUCACCGGAAUCUUGAGGAACUUGCUUCUCAAAACAAACUGGUGCAGCCACCAACAGUUUAAGAGACGCACUUAAUUUGUCUCCUAGAGAUAUUGGCCAGCAUAACAACAGGUAUUUGCAUGGGCUUUCAGAGGGCCCAAUGACCAACAACCAGCUGGAUCAAUGGGGCUCUAUCUAACCUCAUCUCCAGCAGGCCUUCCAGAGUUCUGGCUUUGAGCAUCCAAACUCUGAUCAUCCACACCAACUUCAGUCAUCGCAGUCGAGUUCUAAUCCCUCAAGCAGCAGCUAACACAUAGGUGAAGACGGAAGCCUUUCUUAUACUUGUAAGACUAGGAAUCAAAUCAUCAGCUUUGAUACUAGACUAUGCAUUGUUUAGGAUGCCCAGAUGUACACAGAUGUGGAGGUGUACUAUGCGUCAGGGCCUGUCUCGAGGGGAUAGUUUCUUGGCUAGUUUCAUGCUGGUAUGGGGAAAAGUAUUGGAGUGCCGCCCAUGGCUUGGUGGGGAUUAUGCAUUUUUUUAAUGCACAUGGAAUUGAAAAUUGAUGAGAUUGAGGUUGCCCCAGACUCUGCUUCUGCACAUGCUGAAAGCACUGAAUCGUGUGAGGAAAUGUUUUUUUUACCCUAAUGUCUUUACCGAGUUUCAGUUGCAUGGGGUCCUGAUGGAAGGUGACUGGCUUAUGGCUCAAUGGACGACACCAUUUCUAUAUUUGAUGUAAACCGGGUCAAAUUCCUUCAUCAGUCAGAAGGUCACUACAUGCCCGGACCUGACUUUCCAACUGGAGGAUUAAUCAUGGGAAAUAUUGGCAUUUUAGAGGCAUAUCGAACUGAGUGGGAGCAUGGGAUGGCAGUUAAAGUGACAGGCACGCUUCUAGAGGUGAAUGCAGCUCAGGAUUUCCCCUAGAGUUCCUACAAUUCUAGUUGAAAAAUGAGAACAGUGUUGAUACCUUGUCCGUCGGUUGACUUUGAAUUGCAAUAGAUGACUGCCUCUUGAUGUUUCUAGAACGUGGAUCCAUCAUUGGCCUGAACCAUUGCUAGUAUUUAUGCUGCCUGCUUUGAGAGAGCAUGUUCAUUGUCAGCUGAAGGUCGUGGUCAUGAGCUCCGUGUGAGAUAGGCACUUUAUCUUUGCUCAACAAUGACGUCUCAUUAAGAACGGUGGACCCACCUGGGUUAUUUCAUGCCCUUUAUUUUUAUGUGGGAUCGUCUCCUCCAUCAAGUUGACUGGUUCUUCAGCAAAGAAAAUCAAGCUAUUCCUGCUUCUUGAUCUCUGCAUCCUAUUACCCCCACCAUUCACCUAGCUAUGUCAAUAAACCCACUUCUCUCUCUAGGUUUACACCCUUCAAUAUCCAUUAAGUCCAUCAUUCAUCCUCCGCUAUUCAUUUCCCACUCACCCAUCCCAUAUUCUCCCACGUGCAUGCAUCCUCCAGCAUUCUUCCUAAGCCUUAUCAUGAGGUGCAUAUCACCAUUUCCUUAACAUCCAGCCUGCACCAACUUCUUCUGUCAAUGAUACUAGUUGACUUGGAAAUGCUGAAUGAUCUUAAGCAAUUCCAUGGGAUAUAUAUACAUUGUUCUAGACAUUGCUCCAAGCAUGGAAAGGCAAUUUCAGCGUGUUCUCGAGAAACAAAAGAUGAAGUUCAUGCUCAGAACAAAGGUAGCAAAUGUUGACACAUCUGGAGACAUUGUUAAGUUGACACUUGAACCAGCAGCUAGUGGUGAGCAGAACAUACUUAAAGCUGAUUUUGUUCCUGUCCCAACUGGCGUCUGAGCUAUUGAUGAAGUGAUUCCAGGUUCCAUGUUAACUCACAAGACAGAGGAGGAUGAGGUGGCAUGUGUAGAGGUGAUAGCAGGCAAAGAAGGUCAUGUGGACUAUGAUAUGGUCUCUAAGGUUGUCUAUACGCAUCCUGAGAUAGUUUUUUGUUAGGAAGCAAAGAAGCGGAGUCUCUCAAUUUUAGACACGUGUCAUUUCUUCGGGAUGCAGUAACUGCAGUGGGAUGUCUGCAUCCAGUCAAGCCUCUGAGGCAGGUGCUUGCAUGGCCACCUUUGAUCCAAGUGCCAUUUCCCAUUUUGCCAUCUUUAACUUUUUAAAAAUAAUUUUCCAAGUCCUUUUCUCCAAAUAAAUUUCUGGGUUUUAGUUUUUAAAUAAUUCCAACUCCAUGUUUAACUUCAUUCUCAGAGUUUCUAGGUCCCAAAAUCCCAUUCUCCAUAAAACAAAUUGUCAUUUUCUCUUCGGCAAUUCUUUUCCACAUCUUUCUCGUUUUUUUAAAUGUUUUAAAAAUAAGCAAGAAUUAAAUUUCGUAAUUCCAAAUUAUGGAAUUUAUGGAAUUAGUUCAUGCAAAAAUAAACGGGCUUUGGUGGGGGCCCCACAUCAAAUAAAUUUUCAUCAAAAUAAAAGUGAAUUUGAAAUAAUACCAUGCAUGAUAUUGAUGUUUCUUUAUAUGGUUGGGUGAUAUGAGUGAUAUAAUUUGUGGUCAUUACUAUGCACUAAUCCCAUUUUGUGAUAGCGCGUUGCCGUUUGCUAAUCAGGUACGCAUCCACCUCCACUUCGGUUAUCCUCUAUUGCAUAUUCUGAUACUCAUAUGUGCAUGAUUGAUUUGAGUAUUCAUUGAUUUCCUCAUCAUUGCCACGUCAGCUUUAUUUUAGUAGUAGAGACCCGACUUUAGGGACUUAGAGGGGUGCUACGGUCUUUACCGUACCUUCCCGAUAAGUAACCUGACCCCCGAACCCGAUCCGGUUUUUCACAGACCACCUUUUCCAAAAUAAGGAGUCACACUUAGGGUUUUUCUUUCUUAUUUUGUUUACCCUUUAAAAAUAAAACAAAAAUAAGUAGCGACUCCAAGUCAUUUUCAAAUAAUCAAUAAAAACCAAAUUUUCAAAAUAAAAAAAAUCGAGCUCGCCAUCGAGUGGGAAACGCAUUGAGCCGAAAUGCGGGGUCCACAAUAAUAUUUUGGUAUAUGUUAGAAAAAUAUGAAUAUUAACAUCUUCAUAAAAAAAAGGUAUAAUUGAUUUAAUCUGUAAUUAGUUGGAUUAGUUUUUAAAAUUCUAAAUUAUUUUUAAAAAUUAGAAUAUUUAUUAAAUAAUUUAUAUUAUUAAUUAUGUAUCACUUAAUUUAGAACCUAUUUAUAUAGUUAGAAAAUUAAAAAAAAAUGGUAUUUCAUAGAAGAAACAGUAAAGUCAUAAUUUAUAAUGUAUCGAUUUUGGUCUAUUAUUUUUUGUAGUGAUUAGAUUUAUUUUAAGUUCCAAAUUAAUUUUGAGAAUUAUUGAACUCAUUAUCAACAUAAAGUGUCACUUAAUUUGAAAUUCAUUUCUCUGGUACAACAAUUUAUAAUAAUAUAAUUAUAUGCAAAAAGGAAAUAAAAAAAGUCCUUGUAAAAUAUUUUUUAUCCAUAAUUAUGUUUUUUAUUAAUUGGAUCAUUGUUUAAGUUUUAAGUUAUUUCUAAAAAUUAUUAGGCUUGUUAAAAAUUCAAUGCAUUCAAUCUUGUUUAAGUUGUAGUUUAUUUGUGUGGUAAGGAAAAAGAAAAAGAAAAAGAGAAAUAUGGUCCUAUAUAAAGGACAAACAAUAUAUUCAUUUUAAACUAAUUUUUAUCCACAAUGUUUUUAUAUUAAUUAAAUCAAUAUUUAAGUUUCAAGUUAUUUAUGAAAAUUCCUAAACUCGUUAUGAAUUCAAAGCAUUAAGUAUUGCUUAAUUAGCUUAAAUCAAUUAAGUGCCAAAAUAAGCUAGUAUUUGGAAAAAUGACCUCCGCCUUUUAAAAACCUAAAGAAUGCCCUAUUUUGGACUAAAUUACCCUUGAAAAAAAAAACCUUUGAAAUUCAAAAAAGCAAAAAGGAAGAGAAAGAGAACAAACCAAGGGUUCUCUUUUGAAUGGUAGACUACAACACACUCUAUGGUCUUCUGAUAUAUAUAUAUAUAUAUAUAUAUAUAUAUAUGUAUUGCAAUUUGCGUAUUGUUAUUGAUUAUCUGUGUAAAAGGAUUCUAAAAGGUUAUUCAUUUGAUUGAAGUGUGAAUUUUUUUUCUCUAAUUUCUGAAAAAACGCGGGAAAGGAAGAGAACGAAACGAAAUGGAAUGGAAGAAAACUGAAAAGGAUCUUGAAAAGUAUGUUUAUUACUUUGAAAUAGUUUGUUUUUUUGGAUUCUCUCUUUGUUGAUUUCAUACAUUCGCUUGAGGUGUGUGUUUUCUUUCUGCAUGGUUUUAGAAAAAAUAUGAGAAAAAGUAAUGGGUUUAUAUGUUCACUUUUUGUUAAGCAUAAAUAUAAGGGUUUUUCUUUAAUUUGUUAGCAUAUUCCUCAAGUGACAAAUGUGUUGACCAAUUUGGUCUUCUAAAGAGUUGAAUCAUAAUAAGAGAAAUAGAAUUUGUCCCCAUUUUGAUAUUUCUUCCUUGGUGAUUGGAAGAAACAUUUCAUUCGUCUAAUUGGAAAAUGAAUUUGUUUCCUUAAACCCCGCAGGUAGAGAUAUUGAAAGUGUUGCUGAAGUCUUUUUCCAUGAGCAGUGUUGGAAGAAUGGUUUUGAUUUCUUUUCCAAAAUUCAAAACCCUUUUUUUAGAGUAGUUUUGGCUUAUAUCAUAAAGUAAAAAUAAUACUUCUUCUAUGAGCAUUCAUGUCAAUUAUUCUCCUUUUGUGUUGCUUAACUUUUAAGUAAUUGAACCAAUAUGAUAUACAUGAAUAGUCAUUCUUUUCUAGUAAUGACAAAAUUGGAGAUCAUUGUAGUCUUUGCCAAUUGGGUGUCUAGUUUUUUAGCAGUUUGGGAAUUUUUUUCUUUUUCCUAUUUGUAGUUCUUUUCCCAAGGGAUAGGAAGUUGGUUUAAUUGAAAACCUCAAUUUUCAUCAAACAGUUUGCAUCCCUUGCCUAUCUACAGUUUCCAUUUCACUUGUCUAGAUUGAGAAUUAAAUCUCUGCUCUCUCUUGGAUGUGAACCAACUUUAAGAAUCACCCCAUCAAGGUCUAAACCCAGUUUGCUUUUACUAGAUCAUAAGUGACAUUUGCUAAAUUUGGGACCUAGUUGGUCCUACAAUGCAAACCACAACAUUGAAAUAGUAAUCUCUAACAAAAGUCAUGACAAAGAAUGAUCCCAACUAAGGACUGAAAUAUUACUCACAACUAAGAUAUUGAGUGAGAUGAUGCAUAUGCAUAGCCAAAAUACUUCUACCAUAUGCUUUCUAUUAGUAAGGAUGGUCCUUUAGAACUUCAUUUAUAUCUAGAUAUAGAUGCAAGGAAAAGUAAUAUGACAUGGACUCAUGAUUAGUUCUUAAAAUUUAGGCAUGAAUAACCAAAGUGUUUGAACUCAUUAGAAAAUCAUGUGCAUCAUGCAAUCUCUUUCAUCAAUAAAAGAUUUAAAAGAAUUCAAUGAAAAAUGUAGUGUAAGUUUUAUGAAAAUGUAAAUUUCUAAAAAUUGUUUCUAAGGUGAUGUAAAAGAAUGUUAUACAGUGGUCUCUAUUUCUCUCUCUCUUUAUAUAUAUAUACAUAUACUUAGUAUAAACUUAUGGAUUUUAAUAAGUAAAUGGAUGAUUGUUAUUUGAAUUUUUUUAUAUUUAUUUUUUAAGGACAAGGAAAAAAAAAAUUAGAUUUGCAAUAUAGUAUAACUCCAAAAGUGAUCAUCCUAGAAAGUGAACUAAUCAUCUUUAAGGGCAAAUACUGAAGAAUCUAAUGAGAAGGUUUGUAUUUUUGGUAUAUUUGGGAUGUUAAUGUGUUGAUGAUUCUUGUAUAUGAGAUCACUCCUUCAAUAGCAAAAUAUAUAUCUAUUGCAUUUCAUAUGCUAAAAAUAUACCAAAUAAGUUAAGCCUAGAUAAUAAGUCUAUGGAUGAUAUUAUAUCUCAAGUUUGCCAUAAAUAAUGAACCUAUCAAGUUAAGUUUUUUAUAUGUUAAUCAAAAUAUUCAUUUAAACUAAACUAUAGUUAAGUUUUAUAGAGAAAGAAUUUAAUCGAGGUUAAGUUAUUAAAAAGUAAAAAUUCACCUGAACUUAGCCAAGGUUAAGUCUCAUCAACAAAUAACAUAACUGUAGUUAAGUUCUCAGUUAAAAUAUUUGAAACAUGCUUACAAUAUAAUUAAUUGAAUCGGUAUUUUGAUUUUAGUGGAAGUAGUUAAAUUUUUUGUAAUAUAUUUUAGUUCAUGCAGAAUGUUUGUAACUCUUAAUAUAUUUUCUUAAUGUGAAGCAUAAUGUAUGUGACUUUGUAGGCUACCACUUCUUCAACAAUCUUCAUACAGAAAAUACGUAAUGAAGAUCAUUUCCCAUCUAAGGUGGCUUGAUUAUCCCAAAUUAUUGUCAUUGACAACAUAAAGAAGAACUUGAAUGAAACCCAACUAGAGAUGUUUAAAACAUCUUGUUUUGCCCACUUCUUAGGUAUGGUUGAUUUGAAAUUUUCUACUCAAAUUGUUCAUAAUAUGUUGUUACGCCAAUGUGACAUUAAAAAAAAAAUGAUAUGUGGAUACUUGUAAACUCUAAAGGUUUGAGUUUUAGUGCGUUGAAGUUUGCAUUGAUAAUCGGGUUGAAAUUUGGGAAAAUUUCACAAUUUGACAUAACAUCUUUGAGGAUAAGAGAUCAGUAUUUUAAUAGAGAGAAUAAGAUUCGCAAUGAUUGAUUGGAAGAGGUUUUCAUUGCAUUAUGUAAGAAAAGAAAGAGAAUGAGCACAAAGAAGUCAAAAAAUAAGGAAAAGUUAAAUGGGAAAUCAAAUCUUGAUGAAGACAUUGUGAAUUUAGCAUUGUUGUACUUUGUUGAGCAUGUUCUACUAAGAAAAAAAUGGAAGAAUUUGAUAGAUUUACAAUGAGUUCAACUUUUUAAUAAUUUAGAGGAGUUCAACAAGUAUUCCAGUGGGAAAAUUUUCCAUGAAAGAACAUUAUUUGGGUUGAAAAGGGCUUUGGACAAAAGACAAUCAAAAUAUGUAGAGAAAAAAAAAAAAGGAAUGCAUCAUAUGAAGCAUGCACUUGUGGGAUUUCCAUAUGCCUUUCAAAUUUGGGCAUGUGAAGUCAUUCCAUUGCUUGGAAUGAAAUAUGCAAGUUGCAUUGGUAGAAGUUUUCCCAGAAUUUUAAAUUGGACAGGGAUUGCAACUACAAAGUACACUGAGAUUCAAUCAUUAUUUUUAGAGUCAAAUGUGAGUGAUAUCUUAAUUUUUGCUUAUACUUACUUUCUUAUUUACAUAACCGUAUUCUUAUUAUUAAUUGUUUUCUUUCUAUCUUGAAUUAUUAGUUAUCUUUGCAUUCCAUACUCAUUCUGACAUUGGAAGAGGGUAAACAAAAGUAUGUGAAAUGUUUUGAAUUUGAAGCUUAGUCGGAUGAUGCCUUACAAGAUAAUGUGAAUGAUUGGGAGAAAUAUAAAGAUCAUGAGGAAGCUGAGGCUUAUACUGCAGCAGUAGUAGCAAUAAUGAAAGGUGGAAAUGAUGGUGUUAGUUCUAAAUUACCUUCAUUCAAGGUAACUAAAGUGAAAGUUAUUAAUAUUAUUUCACUAUACAUGUUUAAGAAUGUUUGACUAAUGUUAUAAUGUUUUUUCUUAUGUAAAGGAAUUGGUUAUGAUGUUCAUCAACUUUCAAGAAAAGACAGAAGAAAAUUUUAAUGAAGUCCAAACAAAAUUGAAAAAAAAAAAAAAAGUAAGGUUGAUGGUUUUGAGUGAGUUGUUGUUGGAUGUUAGUAACAUGUGUUAGAUUCUUUAUUUUUUUUAUAAAACCAACAACACAUUUUAAAAUAUAUUAAUAUAUUUCUAUGCAAUUUUAGAUUAGAAACCCAAGAAGUGAGUCAUAUAAUGCUACAAUGGGGAAUGGUAUGACGAUGGACUUCAAAUCAAAGUUAGGAAAAUUUGAAACACCGGGAAAAGACAAUAAGAAGGAGGCUUCAAUGGAUGAUGCAUAGAAUGAAACACCAGUUAAUGUUUUUCCAUGAUCUUAUAUUCUUUAUAUUUUUUAAAUUACUAACAAUGCCUUUUCAAAUAUAUUUAUAUAUUUCUAUGCAAUUUCAGGUUGGAAAAUUGAGUAAUGAGCCAUAUACUACAACAAUGGGAAAUGAAACAACAUUGAACUUCAAAUCAAAGUUAGAAAAAAUUUAGACAUCGAGAAAAGACAAUGAUAAGGAUGUUUUGAAGGAUGACCCACCUAAUGUGACAGUAGUUCAUGUUUUCCCACAUCAACUAUCAUCGAAUAUCUUUAAGCGAAGAAAAGAGGUAAAGAAAUCUCAUCUACUGCAAUACCCAUUUACAGAUCCCACAAAGAGAAGGAAGUUAUUAAUGAGUAAGACUGACAUAACAUCAUCAAUCUUUGAUCCAUUGCGGCCACCAUCAAUGGAGGCAAAGGUGGCUUAUACAGAAUAUAUUAAUGAUUAGAUUAAGGAAAAGUAAGUUAUCUACAAUAUUGACUCGAUUAAUUUUUUUUAUGUAAUUUAUGAAGUUGAAAAAUGGUUUAUUUCCUUAUAUGACAUAAAGGUUUGAAGUGAACAUCGAGUAUACGAAGGUGGACCAAAAAUGGUUUCAGAAAAUAAUGAUUCCUGGAGAAUGGCUCAGUGACUCCGUUUAUGACUGUUGCCUACAUUAUUCAAUAAUAUACAGAUAUUGUUGGAUUACUAUUUAUUAUUCCUUAUCAACAUAUUGAUGCCACUUUAUACUUUUUUUCGAAAAAAAGAGGAUACUAAACUCUGAUGUGUUUACACAAAAAUUCACCACCACUGACACAUUAUUUUGGGUAUGCAUAUUAGUGCAUUUUAACUUUGUUUUACUUUAUUUUUAAAGUUAUAUUCACAACUUCUGAUUAUUUUUUCCUUAUGUAACAAAAAGUAGAUGGUUGUUGGAAGAUGAAUCAAAAGACAUGGAACAAAUACAUUUUACCGGAAGAUGACAUCCUCAUCGAUUAUGCCAUGGUUCUUUAUCUUAGGCCUUUUUUUGAAAUGGUCUAAGGUUGAUGUCAUAUAUGUUCCUAUCAAUCUAAGGAGCACACAUUUGGUACUGGGAGUUGUCCACCUUCGUAGUAGGAGAAUUUACAUUUGACUCCAUAAAGUCAAUUAACAAACCCAAUAGAUUGAAAACACUUGUCACACCCAUUGCAAUGUUGUUACCACGUAUCUUAAGAGCUACAAAAUACUAUGGGAAGAAUGGUGACCCCAAGGGUGAACAUGCGUGGGACAUUGAGAGAUUGAACAACAUUCCACAACAAACAAAGGAGUAAGUACAAUAUUUUCCAUGCCAACACACAUAUUUCAUUAUAUAUACAAUAAUAUUUAACAUUGUUAACAUCACUUUUUUGUGUUCAUUCAGUGGUGAUUGUGGUUUUUUUUUUUUAAUCAAAUUUGCAAAAGACCUGAUGCACAGCCAUCCAAUGGAUACACUAAUAGGCGAGCAAAUGGAUUGGUUUCGUAAGAAGAUGGCAAUGGAGUUAUUUUUCCAUAAAGAACUUCCUAUGUGAUCCUACUAUUGUAAAUGGAUUGUAAUUGGAUAGUGGACAAUGUUUCUAUGUAAUGACAUUGAAGUUUUUUGUUUAGCAAAUUCCUAUGUUAUAGCACGUAUUUAAAUAGUUACAUGUUUUUCAUACAUCUAGAGAAAUGAAUGGUUGCAAAUUUAUUUACUUUUAUAAAUAUGACUAUGUUAUGAUUGUUAACAGGUUUGAAUUUAUUGUAGUAAGCAUAAUAAUAGAAACUUAUAUUUCAAUGUAGAGCUCAUAUUUUUUUGCUCAAACUUAACCCUAGUGCAUUUUAGGUGAACAUCCUCAAUUAAAACUUAACUCCUACUAAGUUAUUUAUUAAAAAAACUCAACUUCAGUUUAGUUCAGGACGUUUGUUUUAAUUCAAACUUAACGAGUGUUAAGUUACUCAUAACUUACACUUAACCUUAUUGCAGUUCAGGUGAGUAUCCUCAAUUAAAACAUAACUCCUACUAUGUUCUUUAUUAAAAAAAAAACUUAACUUCAGUUAAGUUCAAGACAUUUGUUUUAAUUCGAACUUAAUUGUUAACUUACUUGUAAAUUAGACUUAACCUUAGUGCAGUUCAAGUGUAUAUCCUCAAUUAAAACUUAACUCUUAUUAAGUUCUUUAUUAAAAAAACUUAACUUUAGUUUCAUUCAGGUAAUUUUUUUUUAACUGAAACUUAACUACUAUUAAGUUCUUUGGAAAAUAAACUUAACCCUAGUACAAUUCAGUUGAAUAUCCUCAAUUAAAACUUAACUCUUACUAAGUUCUUUAAUUAAAAAAAUUUAACAUCACUUUCGUUCAGGUAAGUUUUUAUAACUUAAACUUAACCAUUGUUAAAUUCUUUGUAAAAGAAAUUUAACCCUAGUGUAGUUUAGGUGAAUGUCCUCAAUUAAAGUUGUAUAUAUGAAUGAUCUCGACAUAUAUAAUGUGUUUGAUCUUAACAUCAAUAAAAGAUUAAAACAUAUCCAAAUAUGUAUGAUCAAAUACUAACGAGACUAGUAUUCAAAAAAAAAAGAGUUUACUUGUCAUUUCAAAUGAGUUGGUAUUGAGGGAUGAACUUAAACUUCAUUUUUAAGCUUUAAGUUCAUCAUUUAAUUAAAAGAGACUAAAUCAAAGUACAAUUAUACGUUUUGUGCCCCUAUUCACAAUAUACAAAAAAAAUUACAAUAUCAAAUAUUUUAUAUGCCAAUCAUCAUCUACAAAAAACAACAAAAAAUUCACCAUAAAAUUGGCUUAGUGACAGUUUCAUUCAUUCUCUGAUUGUAAGGAGAAAUCUUGCAUGCCUAUUUCAGUGUAUCCACUAUUAUCAUUCUGAUAAUGCAGAGGGAUAUGUCAUUUGCAUGACUUUCAAUUAUGACCAUAAUCACCACAUCGACCACACCGCCAUUUGUGUUUACUCUCUCCACCUGAAAGGAUUCUUUCAUUCCUUGGUAUUCCUACUAGCUACCUUGUUUUCGGUGGUAAUACAACUCUACUGCUUAUAUCAUCAGGUAUCAUCCAAUCCCUUUGAUGUCCAGGAAGAUAGAUGGACUCAACAUAUGAAGAUAAUAAUGAGUUCACUGUGCAAUAUUUGGAGCAUAAAGGAUAGCAUGACAUAUGUGCAUAUCUACAAGCAACAAUAGCAUGUGAACACGAUAUGUGAUCAAGAUCAAACCAUCGACAUGUGCAUGAAUGAUUAUGUAAAUUCACAUGAUCACUAACACCAUUAUAUUUAACAUUAUACUUCAUCGAGUUGAUUGCUUCAACUUCAUAUGUUGAUGAUGUAUUGUACCUUACACGAAGCUCUCCAUCAGCCCAUGUUGUUACCUAAGUUGUCAUUGACAAUGCUUGUUGUUUACAAUUUGCAAACCAUUUUUAAAGUAAAUUUCUUAACUCUUCAAUUUAUUGCAAAAUAGGAAGAUCUCUACCAUCCUUUAACACAACAUUCAAACUUUCAGCAAUCCCUGUGGUCAUAAUGUUAUAUCUUUUUUUGGUAGAAUGUGAAUGUGUCCAUCGCUUAACACCUGCAUCUAUUAUAUAUGUUGCUGCUCUCAGAGAAAUCAUUUGUAGUUUCCCAAAUAUAAUAUUGAAUUCUGACAACUGGUAUGUAUAAGCAACAUCAUGAAACAACUUAUGGACUUCAACGUUUUUAAACUUUGUUUUGAGGUUUUUCUUCAUGUGAUAAGUGUACACACCAUGGCUUGCAUGAGGAAAAGUUUUCGCACAAAUUUUUCAAUGUUGUCGUGACGAUCUAAAACCACCACAAGAUCAUCAACAUGGCCAAUUGCUCCAUGCAAUUUUUUUUAGGAACCAUUCCCAAGAAGCAUCAUUUUCAAAAUCACCAAUUCUGAAACAUAAAGGGUAUAUCUGAUUAUUUCCAUCCUUACAUGCAGCAACAAACAAAGUUCCUAAGUACUUUGCCUUCAAAAAUGUUCCAUCGAUUGUAAUGACAGGUCUUAUUGAUGUACGAAACCCAUAAAUACAUGCACCAAGAGCCAUCAAAAAAAUACUUAAAUUGAUUGUCGUGGUCAAUAACCAUACCAGUAAUGGUGUCAGGAUUUUUGUGCUCCAACACAUAACAAUAAGAUGGUAAAGCACUAUAGGACUCCUCUGGUGAUCCUCUAAUAGAACUUAGAGCAAAUUCUCUAGCUCUCCAUGUCUUACCAUAGCUUAUCCCCACAUCGAACUUGUUUCGAAUAUCAGCUACAAUGUCUUUUGGUCGAUAUUGACAACCAACCCCUUGAUAUAUUUCUCUUAUGCUUUCACCAAUCAACCAACAACUUGCAUGACGAUGAUCACGAGAUAUCAUAUCCAAGCUACAAGUGUGUGUUGAAUGAUAUCUCCUUAUUUGAAAUAGAUUAGAAUUUCCCAACUUGAUUGCAAGAAGUCGCCACUUGCAUUCUUUAUUGACAAUCCAAUAUAUAAUAACUUGGUCAAAGAUUUUAAUGUUUUCAACUGAAACUCUCUUUUCAAAGCAAUCAUGCAUAACUUCUUCUGCAAUUCUUUCUUAUUGGAGUAUUUGGUGCUCUUCCAUGUAGUCAUCACCAGUUUCACUAUAACCAACUAUAAAUGGUUCCUCUAUGCUUUCUUUUGCAUGACUUUCACAUUCCAUUGCUGCAUUUUCCAUUACAUCAAUUUGCAUUACUUGGCAAUCCUUGUUCGGGUUGACAUUCAUUCCACCAUCUUCAUCAUCCUUGUUCAUAUUCAAGUUAUGAGAAUCAAAACAAUUAAGUGGAUCAUAGCUCAACCUUGUUCUAUUUUCAUCAUCAAAACCACUCAAAGAUUCACUACUAUUUAUGAAUAUUGGGUCCAUAUUGAUUUCUUUCUCAACCCUAGAUAAAGUAUGAGAGCCAAAAUCAGUGUUGAUGAUUGAUUCAUACCUAUGAUUGCCACUUCUUUUUCUCUAUUGUGAUACAUAAUGGAACUGGCAACUUACUAUCUGUACAAUUUAAACAAAUGAAAAUUUUCACAUCUCCAUCAUCUCUUAGCUGUAUAAGAGUGGAUGGUAUAUUGCCAUUGAAUACAUACUUCAUCUAAAGAUUGUGCUCUGGUGGAUCUACUUUCAAAAUGUGACAAAUAAUCUUCAAUAAUUCUUCAUAUGUUAUAGUCUUCUUAAGUUCAAUAAAUUUACCUUGGCAACCUUCAAAGUAGUACAUGUUUCGAUUUUGCACCCAAUCUCCUUCAUAAAAAAGCAUUAUUCCCAUUUCAUCAAUCACUGUAACAAAAAUAAAUAAGUAAAUAAAUAAAUUGAAUUAUUGAUACAAAAAAAAAAAUAUUAAAACAGUAGUUAUUUGGAUAAGUAACUCAAUCCCGCAAAGUUGUCGAUUAACAUGUUGAAUUGUACUCAACUAUCUUCAAGUUUUAUAUAUAAAGAACUUAACACUAGUUACAUCUAGUUUUUACAUGUUAAAUACGAACUUUACUCUUUUCAUACAAAUGUUUUUAACAAAAAAUUUCACUCAUGUUUACUCUAAAAUUUUCGUUUUUUUUCCCCUACAACCAAAUAAUGUUGAGAAUAGCAAAACUAAGGUAAUUUUUUUUCCCAAAUGGGUUUACAUACCUUCAUUCGACCUUGCCAUAUGUUUUUUUUUUUUUUAAAUCUGCUCUACUUCUAUUACCUCAAUUUUGAUGGUGGGUUGCAGUAAUAGUGUAUAGGGACAUACUCACAAUGUUAGUAAGAGAUAUGCAGAUAGAUGUAGUACCGAUGAGAGAGGUAAAACUAAAAUGUUUUGCUUUUGGAUAGAUAUCAUGUCUUUGGUGGGGGAUCUUACUCUUCUCUGUUUCUCUAUUCUUUUCUACUUCUCUUCACUCAGCUUUAUUGGUGGGUUACAGAGAUGGUGUAUAGGGAUGUACUCACAAUGUUGGUGAGAGAGAUGUAGUACCGAAGAGAGAGGUAAAACUAAAGUUUUCUGCUUUUGGAGGGAUAUCAUGUCUUUGGUGGGAAUCUUAUGUGUUUUUAGAGGGAAAUAAAUAAGGGUAAAAAUGUCUAAAUUAGAUCAUCUCUCAAAACAAUUGACUAGUGAGGUUACUUUUAUAAUUUUACCUUUAUUUUGAGUCACCUGUUCAAAUAAGCCAAAAAAAAAAAAAAUAGAUUAUGUAAUAAAGUUGUUGGUUACCUCAGUAGCAAGAUGGCCAUGGCAUCAAAACUAGAGGAAAUGGGCAUUUGCAGAACAAUGGGCAUCAAGAAAGAGAAGUUCAACAAAUAAAGGAAGAUGAUGGGAUUGCAGGUGUGGAGAGAUAUGUGUAUAUAAAAGGAGAUAUUUUGUAAAGAAAAAGGUUGAAAGACGGUUGUUUGUCAUCUUAAUUUGUCUUCUAGUCGGUGGAGCAAUGAAAACAUGAGUCAACCGUUUCUGAAAUCCAUUUAGGAUUUUGAGAAUAGAGAGUAAAAUAUAUGUUCACAAGGGAAAUGCUGAGGAUGGCUAGCGGUCAUGAUGACAACUUUAUUGUCCAAGAGUCUCAUUGGGUGGUGGUUAACUAACAAUCAUAAGGAUAAAAUCCAUGACUGCUAUAUGUGGAUUUUCUCAUUUGUUAAUGUUCCACCCCAACUUAAAAUGCAAAGCCAAAAAAAGGGUCAAUCCUAGAUUGUAAAAUUCAUACCCUCGUCUACAUAAUUGCUAUAGAAAUGUUAAGGGUGUGUUUGGACACGUUUUUAAACACAUUUCUAAUGUGAUUGUUGACUUGGAAAUCGAUUAAAAAAAGCCACUUAAUCUUAUUUGAUGUUUUUUUGUUAAAGUUUUUUAUUCAUUUUAUUGAUUGUAAGGUAGGGUUGUAAAUAUUGGAUUGAUUAGUUAUAUGAAUGUUAUUUAUUCACAUAUUGAUGUAUUGAUUUGCAAAGGUUCUAGAAUCUUAAUUAAAUAAUUUUUUAAUAGUUUUUUGUUUGUUAAAUAUUGUUUGAUUUAUAAAAUAUUUAGGGAAAUGGAUAUUAAGUUUAUGCUUAUUAGCUUGACUAGCCUGACUAACCUGAAUAUAAAUCUAUUAAUCUGAAACUAGCAAAUUUAAACUUGAGUUUAGAAAAAUAAGUUUAUGAAAGAUGGUAUGAAUUUCGAUUUCUAAAAGAUAUAGAUAAAGAAUUCUCUGCACCAAAAAGAUUUGUAUCUAUCAUUGGGAAAGAAACCAAAAUUUAUGGUUGAAAAUGAAUGGGAUUUGCUCGAUUACCAAGCCUUUGUUGCAAUUAGGUUAACCUUAUCAAAAUCAGUUGCUUUUAAGAUAUAUAUAUAUAAAGAGCACAACAUGUCCCUCAUGGCCACCCUAACCAAUAUGUAUGAACAACCUUCUACAAUAAAUAAGGUAUACCUAAUUAUGAAGCUCUUUAAUUUGAAAAUGCUUGAGAACAAAAAUUUUAAGCAACAUUUGAAUGAAUUUUUCUAGUGAGAUAGAUCACAAGAGGAGCUCUACAAAGUAUGUGUUUACUAGGGAUGCUUAUAACCAUUAGUUGGAUUUCACACUUUAGGCCUACAACUGAAGCGGAGUACAUGGUUAUGAUAAAAGUUAGCAAAAAGAUGAUUUGGUUGCAGCAUUCAUUAGCAAAUUUAUGAGUCAAACAUAUGAUGAAUGUAUUAAAGUGAAAGACAUUUGGCUAAUUCAAUAUUUCAUUUAAUGACUAAAUAUAUUGUACUUUGUUAUCACUUCAUCAAGUCUUUACUUGAAGAUGGAGUGUCGACAUUUGUGAAGAUACAAGGUAGCAAGAGUCCAACUAACAUGUUGACCAAAAUAGUGAUAAUAGAGAAACUGGAGUUGUAUGUAGCUUUAAUGGAUCAUGGGUGAGGAUGGGUUGUUUAAGUGUGCACCAUAUUCAUUAAUCAUUAAAGGAAGAUAUUUACUUGUACUUUAGUUUUUAAGUGGGAGAUUGUUGGAUUAUAAAGUUUGAAUCAAUCUUAUCAUGCUACACAGGAGAUGUCGAAGAUUGAAUGACGAGUUUGCCCCUAUUGUAUUUAACCCUUUAUGAUUCAAGGUUUAGUUAGAGAGUGAAAAGAAAAUAGCAUGGCCACAAUUGAAAGGAGGAGAGUUUUCACCAUUGUAACUUUUGUAUUUCAUUUCAUUAGUGGAUUUUUAAGUGUUAGUGCAUUCUGUGGAUGUAUGAAUCACAAUAAUCGUUGAACCAUGUUAAAUUUUUUUUUCUCUUUUAUUUUUGCUUAUGUAUAUGUGGUUAUUUUAAUAGGUUGCGAUUGGAUUAAUUAACAACUUGACUCAAACCAAGCCAACUUGCAUAAGUUGCAUCCUUAUGAGGUUAGGAUUUUUGUGGAUAUGGGAUGGGAUGAAGAGGAUGAGGGCAUUUUUUACCCUUUCACAUUCAAGUUUUAUUUGAAAGUUAAAUACAAUUGUAUGCAUACAUUUCAUGUUGUAUGAUCUAAGAAAGAUGAGAAGAAAAAAAAAAGGUAAAACAAAUUUAUAUUAAUAUAUAAGAAAAAUAAAUGUCAAUAAUAUGAUCAUGUGCUUUAAUUUGAUCUUGUUGAUCUCAGUUCACGAUGACACAAAUUCUUGAAUAAAAAUGUAGUCUAAGGGUCAACUAGACUUGAUUUCAACUUUGUUACAUAAAAUGUGGUCUUCAUCUUUAAAAGAAUGAAAGAAAACUACUUAUUUUUUGCUUUAAUUUUUUUUCAUGGGCUUGCAAAAAAUAUCGAACUAGUAAAGGAUGUUCAAACUUGUUGAAGAUUUGUUCACUAUUCAAGCUCAUUUGUUACUCAAACUUCCAUCAAAAGGAUACAUGAGCUACUCUUGUUUAAAAAACUCCAUGAAUUUUUGUCCACUCUUCAAUUUUUUUUUUCCUUAAAGAAAAUGUUAUAAUGGUUUCAUUUUAAAUGUUCAUGCCAUAAACUUCAGCUUCCCUACUUGCACUACCUCCCUUUGAAAUCAAGGAUAGUUUGUCUAUGUUUUAGAAAGUUUAAAUAAUGAGACCAUUAUAUUUGACACUUCAAUUCAAAUUUGAAAUAUUGCCAACAUAUGAAUCUAAAGUUUAAAUUUAGACAAUACUUAAAAGUUGAUUUGUCAAUCAAAUUCACUUUUAAACUUUUCAUUAAUUAUUAACUUAAAAAUAAAUUAUAUUACCUAGAUUUUAUGCAAUUUAUAAAUUAGUAAAUUUAUUAUCAAUAGAAACCAAAUAUAAUUAAGAUACGUUAUAAUAUAAUUAACAUAUAUUCGACUUUUAAUCAUUUUUUCUUAUUUCUUAAGUAAAUUUAGAUAUAAAUUUUUUUUGAAGAAUAUAUAUUAAAUACAACACAAAUUAUAUUUUGAUUGGAUAAACCGAACAUAAUUAUCUUACCUUAAACAAAUAUUAAAUACAUCGGUAUAAGAGUGAAAGACUAGGGUCUGUUUAGUAAUUGUUUUUUAGAACAGUUUUCUAUUCUUCAUAAUAAAAUAAUAAGAAAAUAUGGUUGAUAAUCAAAAACUAUUUUUUUUUUCUUUUUUUAAGAUCUAAAAACAGGAUAUUUUCAUAUAACAUCUUUAAUUAUUUAUAUUGUUUUCCCUUGUUUUCGAAAAGUUAUCUCAUAAAAAAAUUAUAAAAUGAUUAAAAAUAAAACACAGGAUAUAAGAACUAUUUUUGAAACAUAUUUUAAAAUAUUAAAAACGGGUUAAAAACAAAAUCAAAAAGAAUGUUCUCAAAAAUAGUUUUUCAUAACUAUUUUCGAAAACAGCUAUCAAAUAGUGUCCAAUUAACUAGGUAAAAAAAAAACAUUUAUUUAUUCUAAACAAAUAUAAUUGAAUACAUUAAUACGACAGUGUUAACUAAAAAUAUAUCCGAUAAUUAUUACUUUUCUUUCAAACCAAAUACAACAUAUCACCAUCCAAAAAUUGUACAUGAGGAAAUAAAAAUACAUGUUUUAUAAUUUAUAAAAUAAAUAAUAAUAAAGUAGUAAAUAUUUUAAACAUCAAACAAGAUUGAAGAUUCUAUCCAUGGUAUGGAAAACCACUUUAUUUAGUCACGUGUGAUUGUCAUCUCUGCAACCUGAAACAUUUCCUCUAUUCAUCAUGCAGACUUUCCAGGAGUUCCUAGACCUGGGGAACCUUUACCGCGGCAUCCGGUGAUGGGUGAGCAACCCCUUUGCCAUCGAUGGGCUUCUUGAGGUGGAGCCUUGGGAUUCUCGCGACAACCCACUGGUGGACUCGGUCCAUGGCAUGGGUUUAGGAACUUAUCAAUGUCAGCCUCACCAUGUACGUGCAUGACCAAAAUCAUGCUGACAAGAGUCAGACAUAUGAGCCAUUUCUUCAUGAUGGAGAGUCCCAUGAUCUCUAUGUUAAAUUCCUUUUUCUUUAGCUUCCAAUGCGUGGCUAGUCAUGUGAAGGGAGUUUAUAUAGAUUUUGGAUAUGGAGACCUUUGGGGAGUCGAAUGUCUUAAUAUAGAAGAAGUGCUUAAAAUAAAGAAGGGCAAAACCCUUUUGUUUGAAUGGUUGGAAAAUGAUUUAGAAAAAUAAUUUUUGACAACUAUUUUAACUAUUUAAGGAAAAUUGUUGGUUAUUGUUCUGUAACGUAAAUAAAAGUUUCUUUUAACCUAUUUUUUAACUAUGACAAAUGUCAUUUAUUUGACCAAAUUUUUAGUGUCAAUGACUUCAAAAUAUUUCCUUGGAGUAAAAAAUAAAAAAUAAUUUGGUAUAUGAUUGUUAGGUAUUUUUGGGCAUAAAAUAUAUAUCUCACAUUUUCACAGUGAUAAAUUUCAAAUAUUUCAUUAAUUCUUUCAAAUCAAUGACUCCAAAAUUUCAAUUUACAAAGUUUUUGCCCAAACUUUUGUUUUCUUUGUUCAAUUCAACCGGUAACAUAAUCUUAGAACAUGCCCAAAUUUUGAUAGUGACCCUAAAAUGUUUUUGAAAUGAAGAUGAUAAAAUUAGUGUUAAAUAAUAAUAGUAACUAUCGUUUGUUUUGUGCUUCUGAGAGCUCUAUGUUUUUGCUAAACUAUUAUGAUGCUUUCAAUGCUUAAUUAUGUUAUAUGCAUAGCACCGUAAAUUUCAUUUAUAUAAUAUUAAUUUAAUUUAAUUUAAGUUUUAUAAAAAAAUGAAAAUAAUUCCAUAAUUAAAAAUAAAUAGCUUUGAAUAAAAUAUAAAUAGUACUAUUAUAAUAAAAUAAAAAAAUUAUUGUAUUUUUUUAGAAAAAUAAUAUUUUGGUAUAUGUUAGAAAAAUAUGAAUAUUAACGUCUUCAUAAAAAAAGUAUAAUUGAUUUAAUCUGUAAUUAGUUGGAUUAGUUUUUUAAAUUCUAAACUAUUUUUAAAGAAUAGAAGAUUUAUUAAAUAAUUUAUAGUAUUAAUUAUGUAUCACUUAAUUUAGAACCUAUUUAUAUAGUGAGAAAAUUUAGAAAAUAUGGUAUUUCAUAGGAGAAACAGUAAAGUCAAAAUUUAUAAUGUAUCGGUUUUGGUCUAUUAUUUUUUGUAGUGAUUAGAUUUAUUUUAAGUUCCAAAUUAUUUUUGAGAAUUAUUGAACUCAUUAUCAACAUAAAGUGUCACUUACUUUGAAAUUCAUUUUUCUAAUAAGACAAUUUAUAAAAAUAUAAUUAUAUGCAAAAAAGAAAUAAAAAAAGUCAUUGCAAAAUCCUUUUUAUCCAUAAUUUUUUUUAUUAAUUGGAUCAUUAUUUAAGUUUUAAGUUAUUUCUAAAAAUUAUUAGGCUCAUUAAAAAUUCAAUGCAUUCAAUCUUGUUUAAGUUGUAGUUUAUUUGUGUUGUAAGAAAAAAAAAAAAAAAAAAAGAGAGAAUUAUGGUUCUAUAUAAAGGACAAACAAUAUAUUCAUUUUAAACUGAUUUUUAUCCAUAAUUUUUUUAUAUUAAUUAAAUCAAUAUUUAAGUUUCAAGUUAUUUAUGAAAAUUUCUAAACUCCUUAUGAACUCAAAGCAUUAAGUCUUGCUUAAUUUGGAGAUUAUUUGUUUAGUAAAAUAUUUUUGCAAAAAUAUGAUGAAAUGCUAAAAAGAAACUAAACAAGUUGUUCGAAAUGAAUUUUAAUUUAUGACUUUCUAAUACUAUGAGUUUCAUGACUUUCUAGUACUAAUUGAACAAUUUUUGAGUUUUAAAUUUUUUAAAAAAAUUAAUAAAUUCUAUGUAUCAAAUAUAAUUUAAUUUAAAAUUUAUUUAUUUAAUGAAAAAAUUUAGAUAAGCUAAAGAAAAUUUAAAGAGCACAUCUAAUUUAAAGAUCAUAUAAGAUAUAUUGAGAUUUUUAGCAUGGAUAUUGGAUCAUGGAGAAAGAAGAAAAAUGAUAUUAUUGAAUAUGGAGAGAGAGAAAGAACGCUAGUAUGUUUAAUUUUAUUUGGUUUUUUAUGAAUUUUUUUUUAAAUCUAUAUUUUCCUUUGAUUUUUAAAAAUAGAUGAAAACUAUUUCAUUUUGUUUUUUAAAACAUAGAAAUAGAGAACAAUGACAAAAUAAUAUUAUGAAUUUUGAAAACAACUUUUUAUUUUUAAAAGCAAAAAAAAAAAAUAUUUUUAAAACCAAAUAGCUCUAAGACUUGUACACUUGUAGCCCUACCAUAAUUUGGAUGCACAAAUAGCGUGAAAACUAGUGUUAAGGAGCAUGACAUGCAUUUCAAGUCCAAAUCCUACAAGUUUAAACUUUAAUGAAAAUUGUUAGUUUAACGUGAUAUCAAAGCUUGAUUUGUCGUAAUUUACAUUUUCCCUAUUUAUUUGUUGGAUAUGAAUGUCUGUCUCUCCAUGUGCGGGUACAAGCUAGACUGAUAUUCAUUCUAAAAGCUUCAUUUUUGUGAGAGAAAAUGAGUGAUAUGGGUAGAAAAUUUAGGGCAUUUUUCAUAAGCAAUAGAUGGAUUCAACAGGCUUAUAAAUACAGGACAAUGCAGCAAGAAAUGUAUCUCUUGGGAUUUUUUGUGCUUCAAAAGAGUGCUAGCACAGAAAGGAAAUUAUCAACUUUUUACAUAGUACCCUGAAGCACAUUAUAGAAAGAAAAAUAGAUACAUGGACAGACAGUUGGGAGGCACGCAUCAAAUCCUUGAAGGAAUCAAGGGGAUGGUGUUUUGCAGAUAUGCAGAAGCAGCUCCAACCCCACUUCCCAUCUUCACCGGGUAUCCCACAUCCUUAAGUACCAUCUCCACCCCAGCAAGACACCCCAGCAGUUGCACCUGAAGAAAAAAUCAUUCAAUCCAUUAAUUACAAGCCUAUAAAACUUUGAAUGAAAUGAAAAUUACCUAUUUUAUUGAAGGCUGCAAAGCAUUUGUAUCUUGUCAGUUAAGUUUUCUAAUCCUUCACAACCAAGAAAGAAAGUUUAAGCAUUUGGGGUUUACUCACAUCGGAUGGGGUUAAAAGUUCUGUAUGUAUGAACUCCUUUUAACCUUAUAGAUGUCUUAUAAAAUUAUAAGGGUCCUUCAAGUCUAGAACAGACAAUGUCCAUACAUCCCUGACCCUGUAUGGGAGUUUGUUUGGCCUGCAAUCUUAUGGUUUUCCAACUAAUCUCUAGUAAUACUUUUAAGAUUCAAGCUAUCUAAUAUCAUAUAGGAAGAUGGGAAAUGAACCAUACAUCAUUAAGGUGGCCGAGAUGGCCUAUUCUGAAAACCUUUCCAGCAACUUUGUUCAGGCCUAGACCUAAGCUUAAGUUGUAUCUCUUCCAUGCCCUCUUGACGAUCUCCGUACUAUCGAUGUAUGGAGGCACAACCACAGCAGUGACGGUGUCACUGAACCAUUCCUCCCUUUGGGUGCAAUUCUUCAGGCCCCAUGCCUCCACAGCAAGCCUGCAGUAUCAAGAGAAGGCCCAUAGAAUUUAUAAUUCAGGUACAACGAACAUUCACAUUGUGUUAGGAGGAAGAAUAUUCACCUUGUUGCUUUGCCCAAACGGCUAUGCCUUUCAAUCACAUUGUCAAGUCCUUCCUCAAAGAUGAUAUCCAGAGCUGCUCUCAUCCCAUACAGCAGUUGGAUGGAAGGGGUGUAUGGCCAAAAUGUUCCCAAUUUAUAGAACUUCAAGUAGUCAUUCCAGUCAAAGAAAAAUCUCACUGAUUGUGCAGAUUUGCUUGCCUCUAGAGCCUUGGGGCCUGCACAUACAAUCCCCAUUCCAGUGGGAAGAGAAAGAGCUUUCUGAGAGCCGGUUAACGCCACAUCCACUCCCCAUUCAUCCAUACGGAAAUCAAGGGCACAUAUGGAUGACACCCCAUCAACAAGAAAGAGUGCUGGAUGACGGUACUCAUCUGAUAUUUCAAUACAAAAAAGAACGUUAAAAAUGAGAACCCAAUAGUGGAAAAUGACAGAAUCCUAAUGUGAAGUUUCCUUGCAGAUGAAGAUGUGGCCUAGAAAAUGAAUUCUUACCAAGGAUUCUCCUUACUGCAGCCAAAUUGUUGGUAACUCCAGUAGCGGUCUCAUUGUGAACAAUACAAACAGCCUUAAUAGUGUGUGCUCUGUCUGCUGCAAUUUUUUCUGCUAGAAUCUCAAGGUUAGCACCUUGGCCCCAUUCACUUUCUAUGACAUCCACAUUGAACCUAAGACGUUUCUGCUGGUCGAUCCACAGCAAACUGAAUUGCCCAAUCAGGAAUGAUACAGUUCGAUCUCCAGGAGACAAUGUGUUUGUAAGUGCACUCUCCCAUGCACCAGUACCUGAGCCAAGACAGCAACAACAAUAUGUAACAUAAAUGAAGAGUAAAUUAUCAAUCUUCCAAUGACAGAAAAGGAGAACCAGAAGGAGAGUUAUAUUGUGCUGCCAUAGCCAAACGAUCGUUUGAUCUAUGCAUGCAAAUAUCAAAGGAUGCCACAGAGAAAUGGAAGCUUCAAACCAUCCUGAUGAUUAAGAUUUCUGAAGAAAGCAGACUGUUAGUGAAUGCAGUACCUGUGGUGGGAAUGAGAAAUGGGGUUCCAGUAGUUGUCUUGAAGAUCUUCUUAACAUCCUCAAGAAGGUCUUUGGUCAAUGCUGGAAUUGGUGGAGCACGAUAAUCCUCAUUGUUCCGGUUCAUGGCCCGUAUGACAUGGUCUGGGAUAUUGACAGGCCCCGGAACAAAGAGAUGAUUUGUUCCUGGUGCAAAAUAGCGGUCCAUCUUGCCCUUCUUGAAAUCUCACUGCUGAGGUAAAAUUUUGAGAGAACACCUUAGCUACAAUGAACCAAUUAAGGGGGGAAAAAAAGAGAAAAACCAACUGAAAAUCCGCAAAAGUCUGUUAAGAAAAUCUGUCUUUUCAUUCAUUUAUAGGUUUGUAUUAAUAAAAGAACAGAGCUAGAAAGAAAAAACCAGAAUUUUCCUCUCCCCUCGAUCCAUUACAAUCAGGGGCCUAGCAAACAUAAAGAAAUUUUGAAGUGAAGUAAAAUCAGAUGUUACCUAGAUAAGACAAGAAAGAAGCUAAUACUUCUUCAAAAGAGAAUUUCAUUGUAAAUCCAAAUCCUGGUCUGCAAAUUCAGAUUGUGUGCAUAUUUAUAUUGGUUCUGAGUCUUCUGACAUAUGUAACAACAAGUACUAGUUUGGAAGAGUGCAAAAAGGAUAAGAAGAAUACAAAAACUGAAAUGGGUAGAGACAGUUUAGACAAAAACACCAUGUCAAGGACCUAAAUGGAGAAUAUGACUCCUAUUUUUUCCAGAUUGAGACUUCAUGCAGUUUAGUUGAUAUGACCAGCCAAGAACUUACCAACCAUAUAAUUGUGGAUAAUUGUUGGAACAAGACCCAAGUUCUUAGAUCAAAUUUUUCUUAAAUUUCGUUCGGGUAAAUGAAUGAAAUAUGUACACAAAAUAAAUAAAUAAAUAAUCUAAUUCUGAUAAACAGCAGGAAAUGACUCAAAAAUCAUUCUGCAACUUCCAGUUUUUGCUUUAGUUCCUGGUGAAAUGUAAUUAUCUAGACUUAUACCAUGCAUCAGAAUGGUCAUGAACUACACCUAUCAACCUUUACAUGACAUUAAUAAAACAAAAGAAGGUUGGAAAAUCAUUCUAUCAAAGAAAAAAGGGACAAUUACACUAAGAAAAUUAACUGUUUGUUUCUCAAGAAAUAUCUUUUCAGAAAAGUGAGGGACCUUUUUAGCGAGAACUAAAUGGAUUGAAGAAGUAGGAAAUCCUGAACAUUCCAUGAAAUUAAACUUAGUGGAAGCUGCAAUAACAACUGAGCAAGGAGCAAUAUGAUUCUCCAAUGACUAAAAAUCAAAGUACUCAUUUCUCAUGAGUUCAAAAUCAUAUUAAGUAUAGUUUCAAGAAAAAUAUAUCAUAGCUCAGCCAAAAAAAAGGGGGCAAAAAUCAUGGGUCUUGUUGUUUGGUACCAAGACAAUAAAUUACAUCAAACAAACCACUGAUCAGAGCCCCUGUUUCUUAUGUUGUAUGAAUAAAAGACAAUCAUUUCAAUACACCCUAAAAAGAAUUUCCCAUCUUACAAGAGCACACACUUUCCUAUUUCCCAACCAGGUUUUGAUGCCUCCAUAGCCUUUUCCCAACAUGACAAAAAGUAGUAUCUUCACCUUGGAAGAACCCAAACAAGCCUGAACUCUCCACAAAUCACCAAAAGUUUUGCUAAGUAUACUUCAACAUACAUACCAGUCUAAAUUAAACCAAAACCCCAAAGAAAAAUAGAACAAAAGAACAUAAAACACAACCUUUUCAAGCUGAAAGCAAUCAGAAUGAAUAAAAAGAUAGUGAAAUAAGACACAGAAAUGAAUGAUAAAGAGUUGAGAAGAGGAGAGCAAUAGAUUAUACCUUAAGGUGAAAAGAGUGGGGGUUGAGGGAGUUAGGCAGAGGCACAUAGAAAAAGAGGGUUCAGAUAUGAAAAGGCCAAAGAGGAAGAGGAAUUGAUUUUAUAAGUAGGCGGGAGGCCAAUCAACAUUGCAUCUGGCCCCCACUUUCCUCCAGUGUGGCAGAUAAGACUUGGCUUCUAUUAGAAUCCUGGGGCUGCCAUUCAAUAAUCUCAUGUAUGACGUGGCAGCAUACUACUGUGCCUUUUUUUUUCUUUUUCUUUUUUCCUUGGAUUUGCACUAACAUAUUUAACUAUUUUGUUUUUGUUUUUCCUUCUAGGUUUUGAAAUUUUCAUUGAGGUCCCUAUGUUAUCAUGCAAUGUUCGAGAUACCUCAAAAGAAAAUUUUAAAUCUUAUAUAUUUAUUUAAACUAUCACCCACCCGGUCUUUUGUAUAGACACAUUCUACAUUCAAUUUAUACAUCCUCACGGUCUUAAAACAUGUAUAUAUAAAAUAUGAUUAUAUAUGAUAAAGAAUCAUGAUAGAUGAUAUUAAAAUUGACAUUUAUUUAAAAGUGUACGAGAUUUGUCACCUUUUUUUUCUUAUUUAUGAAUCGGUGAUAUUCUCCCUCCACUACAAACGAGCAAACGUGAGCUCCAACCUAUUGGGAAGUUUAUAGAAUUAAGGGAUGAUUUAUUUCUUAAACCAAGGACAAAAAGGAAACAAAGUGAAUGAAGUAAUAGGCAAGACUAGAAAAUAGAGAGAAGAGAGGGGCAAAUAUGCUAAAACAUUGAAAAAGAAGGGGAGUCCAAAUCCAAAAGAUGAUUACUUGGCAGAAAAUUGAAAAUUCUACUAGUUUUUAAUAUGAGAGGCUGAGAAGGAAAUAUGAAAAGAUAACAUGAUAAAGGGCUGUGUCAGCCACACCCUCACUUGUGGGAACCAAGGCCACAUGCAUACCUCAUCUUGGAUUGUUUUUGUCUACAUCCUCUUUGCCUUCUCAGGUCUUGUGUGUGAACAUGUGGCUAUGUGGCCCCCUUUUAUUUUUGGAAUGAAAUGGUAGUUUUUUAUAUGGGUCUAGUAAAUCACCAAAUGGACCCUUUUUUUUUAUAUGUUCCAAAUUCGAUAACCAAUCCCACGAUGUUAUGUGUACAUCUUCAAGUCCAUACCCACACGAUGUCAUGUGUACAUCUUCAAGUCCAUUCAUAUGUAUCCUAUAACUUAAUCCAAAUUUGUUUUGACGCUUGAUCUAAAUUUUAUUAUUUACAUUUAAGAAUUUAAGUAAAGAGCUUAAUAGGUUGGUAGAAAAAUAAGGUGAUGAUGUACUACAAUUGGUAACUGUGGUUUUAAAAUCGUAAAAAAUAAAAAUAAAAAUAACAAAGUGGAAGUUGACAUGAGGAAUUAUUUGAUGAAUGUUUUUAAUGCAAAUUUAGAUGGAGAUUUUUAAAUAAUAAAAAAAACAAAAAGAUUACUUUGAUUGUAGACUUAGGGUUGGAUAGUGUUAGUACAUCUUUUUUCCAUCCAACUUACAACAUAAAUUUUACAUUUUUGAAAUUUAUUAAGGAGGUAUUUUUGUGUAAUUAAAAUCUUAAAAAUAUCAAAAUCAUUUUUUAAUUAAAAAUGUUUUAUCCUAAAUAUAGAGCAAGGAAAAGUAAUUAUUUAUAUUUUUUUUUCUUCCAUGGCUAAAGGUGAGGGUCAGAGCAUGCAAUCAGGUAAUGUGAAUGGUUCAGAAUCCACUGAAACUUCUGGUAUCAUGAAGGAAUCUUCAGCCAAACAGCACGCCUUUUUCUUUGUCUGGUCCUUUAUUUUACAACAUGUCUUAAAUUUUAACAUUUUUUUAAAUAACUUUUAAAAACACAAGAUAAAUUUGAUUUAUGUUUUUAAAAAUGAAAAAUAAAAAGCUUAUCCAAACAACAUUUAAGAGUUUCUUUACCAAUUAUUUUUUUAAAUAAUUUUCUUUCCAAGAAAAGAAAAGUACGAUUGGCAACCAAAAAACCAAAAAAUUAUUUUUUGUUUUUAAAAACGGAAAAUUGAGUGUUUUCAAGUUGUUUUCAAUUGUUUGAACUUAUUUUCUAAAAUUUAUUUUAAAACAUAACUAUACAAAUAUAAAAAAUAAUUAAAAAUAUUAUAAAUAACAAUUUAUUUUAAAACAUAGAAAACAAUUUUAAAAUUGGUUUUACUUUUAUUUGGCCAAAAGUCAUAGAUGAAAUCGUUAACAAUUGUUUUCAAAAACUAUUUUUCAGAAUUGUUCUUACAAGUACUUUCUAAAUAUAGUGCAACCACUCACCCAAUGAACCAAACCCUUUUGCAUUUGGAGAUGGACUUCCAAAAUAUUCUUGCACACAAAAGAAACUACCUUGCCACUCAUCCUAUGAACCAAACCCUCUUGCAUUUGGUGAUGGACAUCCAAAAUAUUCUUGCAUAUAAAAGAAACUAUAAGCGCAUUUGGUAGUGAUUCUAAAAAGUGUUUCUAAAUUUUUUUAAAAAUAAAAAUAAAAAUUUUCAAGUAUUAAAAAGACUAGAAAUACUACUAUCGAAUGUUCGAUGUAUGAAAUUCCCUUGUUUCCUAUCUAGGAGCUAUUUUACCAUAAUGUUAAUGUGAGAACAAUUUUAUUAUAGAUUCAUAGUCGUCCAUCUUAUAUACAAUCCUUGCAACAACUAAGAGAUAAUAUGGGACUAAUUGAGGCAUCACCUCCCUUACUUCAAUCAUUCAAUUAUGAUAAUGGAAAAUCAUUUCAUCUUUUUAGUUGAACUUUAGGCCUGCAAAAUUUCUAGGUACACCUUACAUAACUUUCGACAGUCCUCUCAUAAAGACCCAUUCAGGGCUAAUUGAGCUAAUGAGAGAGGCUAAUGGAAAUCAAGAUUUAUCAGGUACCUUCUGUCAAAUCAGAAAAAAAACAAAUAGAGGAAAGCUAUUGGUAGGGAAGAUAAGUUGCAUGUGAUGAAACUUAAUAGCAUGAGUUUAAGAUGAUAAUAAGAUAAUAAUUCAAUGUAUUUAUAUCAUGAGUUUAACAUGCCAUUUCCUCCACAAACAUCUACAUACAACAACGGAGGAAAAUGCAUAUAUCAACAUUUCUAAGGAAAAUUUUCAAAGGAGAGGAUCAAGAUUUCAAUGAUUCAAAACUGAUAAUGUACAAUUCUGAAAAGGGCAUAAUACAUAUAAAUGUCUCCCUCAUGUAAAUGUAAUUCAAAUGAGUGAGAAGUAAAUCCUUUCCUAAAUUUUCCCUAUAUACGUAAACAAAUCACCGGCCUCAUUUGAAAAGGGUUAAAAAGAAAAAGAACAAAAACAAAACAAAAAAAUUUUGGCGAGACUCCCAUCUCCUCCUUUAGUCUCUGCACAUAAAAGGAUCUUUGGCUUUUUCUCUCAGCCACCAUGUUUCAUGUUUGUAGCAAUUCCCCACUGAUCGUAUCCAACUUCUCGAAAGGGAUAUUCAAAGUUUUAUUCCCAUGGACGGAAAAAAAAUCCAGAGAAUGUCAAUGGCUGAAGUAAUAAAUUCCAACUGAGUGAGCAAUUUUUUGCUUCACUCUCUAAUUAGCGGGCUCUCAUCCAAUCAAAGCAUCCUAAGACUACUUGAUAACUGAUGAGAAACCUUGUCGGGGAGGAUAACCACUUUGACGCAUCCUAGAAGGCUUCUCAUUACCAAAACGUCUGUUAUCAGUUGGUCCUGAUCCAAGAAUCCCCAAAGAAUUUGGAUCGGGUAAACGGGAACCAUUGCUCAUUGGCCUUUGAGGCAGGGGCUGAGUCAGGGAAUGAGUGUUAAUAUUAUCAGCUCUUCUCCUCCGUUUCCAUGCUUCAAAUUUCCCAGCAUCAUGACUCUUAGAAACUGGUUCUGCUGUUUGAUAGGCAGACAUAUUUUUGUACCCUCUUGGUGGUCUCUCACCAUGGCGAUGAAAAGAAGGGAACUGACCAGGAUCACUGUCUUUGUCACCAGGGCCCCAUGCAGAACCAUUGACAUGAGAUGAUCCUACCCCUCCAUCCUCAUCUUGCUCCUGUUUAAGUUUUGAAUGAAUCUGACGAAGCUUCUCCCCAGACAAAUUUGAAAAAGUUGAGAUGUAAUUCCACAACCUCAUGAUCAUUCCUGUAAAUGAAACAGUGUGAGCAAGCAUGUUAAGGCAUCAAAAGCAUGGAUGAACAAAUAAUUCAAUCAGGAUGAACAAAAGCUUACUGUCUUGUUUAUAUUGUUCCUUGUCAUGCUCCAGAACAAUUUGGUCUAUCCUUCGUCCAAGAAGCUGCAAAUACUUCCGAAUUUUUGAAAGCACCUGAAGAAAAAUACACCCGAUAAAUACAUAGUUCUGUAAUAGAAUAAAGACAAUGGCCAGUAAAAAUGGUAGACAAGAAAUGAGAUGUACCAAAUCCUUUGGAAGAUUAGCACUAGUAGUUUGUAAUUUGUGAAGACGGUUCAGGGUCUUAAUCUCCGUCUUCAUGACAUCUUCACACCAUUCCAUCCAUUUCACUUCCCUGAACUGCUCAUAUACUUCUUCAUUACCGGACAUUUCACCCUCCUCUUUCACUAAAGGUUCAACUCUAUGGGGUUUAUGGGAUCUAUCCUUCCUCAUUUGAACGUUAGUUACAGGAAAACCAGGUUUUCCUUUCCUGUCCUUGCUGCGAGAUAUUGAGAUAUUCAUAAGAUUCUCUCUCUCCUUCUCCUUUUUAGAAGUCUUGCGACUAGCUUUGGUAUUGGUGUUCUUCCCACCAACAGCUACAAGUUCCUGAUUAAAAACACCUCUGGUCAGUUCUUGCAAUCCAGAAUCAAAGCAGCAAUUUGUGGGAAGAUGGAAACGGAUAAGAGGAGAAAUGAAGAUAUUCCAGGAAACCUAGAGGCACGGCCUUAGGUUAAAAACAGAAAAGAAAGAAAAGAAAAUUUGAGGAAGUUGGCUGAGAUGAUACUUUUAUGUACAUUUCUGGCAUAACCACCAACAUGGACAGUGUAUGUACACACACAUAAAUCCCUCCUAACCCAAUCUUAUCAUCAAUCACCUUUAUCCUAAAAAAUGGCACUCCAAGUUCUCAACAAUUCUUUUCAUAAGCAACACAGAAAUAAUUCAAAAUUUUUGAAGGGGUACAACAGAAAUAUAUCCUUGUACUGCUCUUGCCCAAUGCACAUGUUGGUGUUAGUAUGAUAUCAUCAUGUAAAAAAUGUCAAUAAUUUUAAAUUAAACCUUAUUUUCCAUUUUAUAGUUAUAUUCUAAAUUUAUAUAUGCAUUUAAGUAUCACCCAAUGUGUUUGGGGCAUGUAAGACCUAUAUUGAGCAUUUUUCCAAAAUUUGUCACCAUUUUGAACUCCUGGACCAAUUCUAGGCAGGUUCAUCAGUUACAAGUGACUAGGCUCUCACUCUUUCUUCUUCUUUUCUUUUUUUUUUUUUUUUUUUUUUGCAUUUUUGUUCAUAGCAAACAAAAACUGAACAAAAAUUUUAUUAGAAAAGGGGCCUAGUCAGUCCUAAACACAAGAUAUAAACACGCCCAAGGGUGAAACAAGAAAAGAAGGGAGAACGCAAAAGAAUACAAGCUGUAGCUCCUAGUCAGUCCUAUCAAUGCAAUCCAAUAGCAUAAUAUUGGCAUUCCUAAAAACAACACUAGACCACUGAAACAUAGAUUCAAGGAAAAAAAACAUAUCAGCAACUAAUCAGAGCACUCCUCUUAAAUCAUGCUAUACACUCUCAAUGCACACCAAAACAAACAAAGAGGGACUGAAUCUUGCACCAUCCUACACUGAUUGCCCACACUUCUACCAUGCCACCCCAGCAGUAACUCUUUAAACAACCAUGGAAACCCGCACUGAAUUUGAAACAAAGAGAGAAAAAGGUCCUAAAAACAAACUAGCCUAAUGACAAUGAAUGAGAAUAUGAUUUGUAGACUCCUUAUACCAACAUCUCUGUUUUUUUAUAAAUAACUAUUCCACAAAUCUUCACUGAUUAAAAAAAAAAAAAAAAAAAGCUCUUACACAAAUCUUCUUUAAGACAGCAAGUCAGGAGCAACAAACUACAGAUUACUUGUAUCAAUUGUUUUAAUAGAUUGACCUGCAAAGCAUUUUGAACUAUUGAUUAUUAAAAUAGACAUACACUAAAAAUCAUUUAAAAUGUGGUGCUUCCAAUUAUGCAGUCAAUUCUCACACCCAUAUUCUGUUUUCAUUUUUAAUAGAAUUUUUCGCCCAUAUUCUCCAUUCCAUGAACUAAAUUCUUCAACAGGUUGAGAUUAUCACAGCUCCCAUACAGCAUGAACCCAAUCAGGGAUGAUUACUAUUUUCCAAACCAAUUUAUUCUCACUAGAAAAGGGCCGAUAUUUAGCUCUCAACAUAUGAAGCCAUUGGAAUAAGUAAACCAUUAAUGAAUGACAGAACAAAAAUAAAAUAAGAAAUGAAAAUCCAGACUCCUUUUUGCACUGCACAGUGGGGCAAAGCAGCAGUUCGCUAGCAGCAAAUUAGUACAUUGCUUUGACUCUCAACUUAAAUAUUUGACUUUUCAGGGGAAGCCAAUAUCUAGCAAUCAUAAAGAAUCAACAAAGUACUCCAGAGAAAGUACAUUUACAGGCGAUCAAUGUGAAUUUUAAGCAGAAGAUGGGCCAUUCAGUAACACAGUUUAUAGGUAAACACUGAAACCAUCUUUUAUAACAUUGUGUUUUUUUUUUUAACCUCUUUCCUAGCUGAUCCGUUUCCUAACAUAAUAAUCACUAAAAUCUGUUUUCUGCUAACAACAGAACAAAAGUUGGAGAUUGCUAACAUAUGCUGAACAUUAAAUUCACUGCCUCUGUAAUUUAUACUGCCUAUGCAGAGUACCCAUUUCCUAUUAUUUUAUUACCCUACCAACAAAUUUACCCUCGGUAUGUUUACGUGUUUAGUGCUAUAAUUCAGCAUAAAAGAUUUUAGUUGACAAACAAUGCUGAAGCAACUCUCAUUCAUCCAAGGAAUGGGCAUAAGUGAUUGCCUACCAUUUCCAGAAGUGCAGAAGCACGGUCUUUCAGGUUGGGAGCACGAGGUAGGAAGGUUUCGUGGUGUUGAAGUUCAACUGGAGCGAUCUUUUUUGUGAGACCCAGCCUUUCAUCUAAUCUUAUCUUUUCCCAAUUGCCAAAUCCAUGAUAAUGUAUUCCAAGAAGCAAUCUGGCAUCGUCAACUAAUGACAAUAUCAAUAGUUAAAAGUAUUACAAUCAGAAAAACAUAACUGAAUUUCCUUUCUAUCAAAAAAAUAAAGAAAUGAAAAAUAUAAUAGAAAAAUGAUAACACUUACUCUGAUUCCAGCCACAACCUUUAGACCAAUUUGAAGGUUUGAGGUACAUUAACACCCGGAACUGGGCAAUGGGAUCUUCAUAGCGACUGAUGCGCUUAGCUAGGAGCUGAAGUUCUUGAACACGGUUAAGUACUUCAUUAGCUUUUACCGGGACACCAAAAAAGUCCAACAUAGGCCCCUAUAGAGGAAUACCACAUGAAAAUGUUAAACCACUAAAAAAUGCUUCCAAAACAAACAAGAUGCAGAUAUAAAAUUCAAGUAACAAUCUGUGACUCCAGAAACAAUCUUACAGCCAACCUUUGGGUCUAGAUUUCCUUCUUUAACUGCCUCUCUACACCCAUCAAUUAAUGCAUCAAAAAGCUCAAUUUGUGCUUCAGUUGGAGCUGCUUCAAUUGUACCACCAACCUCCAUGACAAUUGAGCCAAUUUGACUGGGGUUUCCAAAUUUCAAUACCUGAUUUCAAAAGGAACUAAAAAUUAAGCAAUUGAAGUUGUAGUGUACAAUGCAAAAAGAAAACAAAAUUUUAUGGCAUGUGACCAAAGAUCCAGCUUUGUAUAUCACAGAUGAAAAUGCAGAAUCCUUGUCCACCAUGACACAAGUAUUCUGAUUUUAACCCAAAUACUUGCACAUCUUGCAAGGAAUAGUCAAAACUAAUUAAUCAAAAGCCAAUUUUCUAGCAACCUCCUGUAAGGUGCAACCCCAAAGACAAGGUUGAUGAAUAGGACAUUACCGCACGAGAAAAACGUGAUGCAUCUCUCUUUGGCAAGUUACCAUAAGACCAACCCCUUACUUGAGCAGCCGCUCCCUCAAUCCUUGGCACUAAAUGAACCAAAUAAUCUGCUUUGCGGCGCUUCUGAGCUCUCUCCUGUGGUUCAGCAGCCUUCUUUUUCCUUUUACUAAUUCUCUCAGGUUGAUUAGCCUCAGCAUAGCUCUUGGUAUUUCUUGCAGCACGUGGAGCUAAAGCAUCCUAAAAGGGAGUAAAAAAAAAUUUAACAGAAAACUUGUAAGAAACAGAAUCCUCAGACAAAUAUAGAGAAUAGUCAGUUGCAUUUCAGAUUCAAUCUUAUCAACACAACGUGUUCAUACUUCAGCUUCCGCUACAGCUUCUGGUUUUAUCCAACGGGACCAGAAACUCCCAUCAUCUUCAGCACUACCGAAAUUUGCAACCUGGGUAUAAUAAAAUAAAAUAAAAAAAAUUAAAAAAAAAAAAGAGAUCUCCUCAGGAAAAUGCAAAGGGACCGACUUGCUAUAACAUGAAAGCAGAGACAACAAGAAAUCAAACACAAGCAACAAAUAACCACACUUAAAACCUCCUCUAACCCAACCAAACCCCCACCCACCUCAAGAGAUGGGAAAAAUAGAACAAAAAAUAAAGCACAGAACAGUUUCAAGCCCCAAGGGUGAUUGCUAUAUGCUUACCUUAAAAGCACUCAAUAAUUCAUUCCCUUCCUCUCCAGUUUCCUUCUCUUCUACUUUCUCUGCUCUUUCAAGAAUUUCAUCAAUAUCCAUACUUAAGAGCCUCUUUUUGCUUUCUUCUUCAUUUUUGUCUUCCUUAAAAAGUUCCUCCGCCCCAAACCUUAAAAUAGCCGACAGCUCAUUCUGCAAUCAAGAAAAGAAAAUGUUGGAUGGAGCAAUCACACUAUACAACCAAAAAAAACAGCAAUGCAACAUGUUCCUAAAAAUAUAAAAUGACAUAGGAAGAACUACGGUUGCAAGGAAGAUGAACAAAAGAGAAAUCGAGAAGAUGAUGGCAAUGAUGAUGACUUCAAUUAAAAAACAACACCAACAAAGCUUCAAAAUCCAAAACCAUCUCCAAUGUAAUCCAAUAAGAACAAUUGUUUUACAAUGUAUCCUUACUUUGUCAAAGUAACUCCCCUUUUUCGAUUCUUUCUUCUCCAGUCUACCUUCUGCAUUUAGUUUUUGAAUCACCAAAUGAUCAAGUACCUAUAAAGAAAAAAUGGGAACAUAAGAAAAAACAUGUAAAUUGUUUGGCCUCAAUUAGUGAAAUAGUAGAGACCAUAUAAUCCACCAUGUGUGCAAACAGACAUGCUUUUAAAUAUAAACAGUAUGAAAAGAAAAGGAUUUAAGCAUAGACAAAGAAAUGUUUGGUUUACCAUCUUUUGCUUGGCUCGCUUCAGAAUAUUUUCCUCAACACUUUUGCUUGUAACAAAUCGGUAGAUGUUAACUACUUCUCGUUGCCCAAUUCUAUGAGCCCUACUCAUUGCCUAGUGCAUAAAGCUAUAAUAAGUAUAAUUGAGAAAAAUAUAACCAACUACAUGACCAAACUAAGGGACAUCCAGUCAAAACCUGUAAGUCAUUUUGGGGAUUCCAGUCAGAAUCAAAUAUAAUAACUGUGUCUGCAGUUGCAAGGUUAAUGCCCAGGCCACCAGCACGGGUUGAAAGGAGGAAACAGAAAUCAUCACUUCCAGGUGCAUUAAAAUGAUCCAUUGCCUGCUGACGCAACUCAGCCUUUGUACUACCAUCAAGCCGCUGAAAUUGGAACCCUCUAAGUGACAUAUAUUCUGCCAGUAUAUCCAACAUUCUAACCAUCUGCAUAAAACAAUCUUGUCACUUAAAUAGCCAGUACAAUUGUAUCCCUAAAUAAAGAUAGUUUGUUAAGACAUAAUUUUGAUCAAUAGACGACUAAUCUUGAUCAACUUUCAUCUAAAUAUAAAGGACACAUGGUACAAUAAAUAAAUCAUAAAAAAAAAAAAAUUAAUUUAUGUAUGUAAACUGUAAGCAUAGUUGACCCUAAUAAAUAUUAGCCAAAUAUUGUUAUGAUCUCAUAGGCAAGCACACACCUAAUCAAUAAGGAAAACAAAAAGACCUACAUGACACCAAGGUGCAAUUUUGUUGAUGAUUGCAUGCUUCAAAGAAAAUUUAAUGGAUUUUUUUUCCUUCAGUGGUCUAAAGAGGAGAACAAAUUGUUUGAGUAUAAUUUUAAGGGGGUAACUCACUAAAUACCUUACAAAACUUAAUUUCAUUUUUAUAUUUCAUAUCUUUUUUUUUAUGAAAUAUUUUAAAUCCUCUUCUAAUUAAACAAUUUUCAACUUUGUAUACCAAUCCUUAAGACUUCCCAUUUCGUAUGGAGAUAUAAGAGCAAAAGAUUAUGAAGUAGAAGAGGGAAGAAGCCCUCUUUACACCACUUCUCUAAUAAGCAGUAAGUACAACACCAAACAGCAGGAGAGUUGAAAAUUUAAUGUCCCUUUUCAAUGCAGAAGGCAUAAUUUGGAUGUAAAUGGAAUAUUUAGUUAAGCCACCCAUCUUGUUCCUUUUGGAAUAGAUAUGGCAUUGCCAGAACCAGGUUUGUAUAAGCAUCAUAUAGGGUACUAUAAGCAUUACCCACUUCCAACAGAAACUAAGAUGAUAAAGCAGCAAAAAAAAAACAUAAAUGGGAUUAUGCACAAUAAAAUCAUAGUCUCUUUUCAUGACUCCCAAGUGGAAUAGAUUAAUUCAAGAGAAAGGAUGAUAUCAGCUAUUACCAAAAACCAUGUAAUACCUGGCCCAACAAUUGCUAAUACAUUAGUCAAAAUGCACAAUAGUUGGCAACACAAACCUGAGAAAAUAUUAGAACACGAUGAUUCGUCUCAUGCAAUUUCUCAAGUAGCUUAUCAAGUAAAACAAGCUUCCCACUGCUUAAAAUAAGCCUCUCCAGUUUACCGCAGUCAUUGGUACUUCUGUUCCCACCAUAACCAUGGUCUGCGCUUUCAAAUAGAAAAGGAUGAUUGCAGCAUUUCUUCAAUUCUACAACAAUAUUUAGAAGUGAAACCUGCAAUUUUGAAAGGAUUGAUAUAUGUCAAAGUUCAAUUACAAUGGAAUGGGGAAAGAAUAGCCAUGAGUAAAUCAAGAGUUAUUCAGAAAGUUAAAUCUCUGGUCGGUCAAGUCAUAAAAGCAGUAUAUUUUGAUCAUUUUAGCAAGGUCAUGCUCGAAUCUCACGAUAACAACUAAAGCUAAAAAUCAUAGACAAUAAUAACAUAUACAGAUAAUAGGCACCAUCUAACUUCGUCAAGGAGCUGUGACAAAAGUACCCAAACCUAAACAAUUUAAAUAAGAAUAUGUUGUAUAUGUACUAACCUGAUUCCCACGAACUCCUUUGUUCAAGUCAUGGAAAUUGCGUUCCAAAAUCCACUUAUAAUACCUAUGAAUGUAAGUACCAGGUGAGAAUAGAGAAAACUGAUAUAACCAGAAAUGAUACUACUUCAUACAAGUUAAGGAUAAUACUAACUGUUUUUGAAGAGGGGACAUUUCAACCCUAAGAAUACGUUCAAUUUUUGGAGGCAAAGACUUCUCUACAUCCUUGAUAACUCUUCGAAGAAUAUGGGGCCUCAAUUCCAUAUGAAGAUUUGCAAGCUACAAAAAUAAAUAAAAACAAAAAAUAAAUUUAAAUUCCAGUUCUAGGUGUAGUGAAAUUGGUACUUUGUUGAAUGAAACUAAAAUUUAUUGGGUGAUGAGCGAGGCAAAGAAAUUGUGUAAUGUAGAUAACCAUAAAUGUACCUCCAUUUCGUUGAAUGAGCUAAGAUUCUUGUAAUUCUGAACAAAAUCAUCUUUGUUCUUGAAUUUAUCAGGAUCAAGGAAGUGAAGUAGAGCCCUAAAAUUCAAAAGAAAAAGAAAAUAAAAGAGAUAAACUAAAGAACCAAGUACCUAUGCUUGUGCAAAGGAGAUAUAUAUGGCAUCAAUAGUAGCCAGUGAAUCCUUUCAAAAAAAAUAGACAAAAGGAAAAUAAAAAUCAGUGGAGCCACUAACUUUCUUUUACCAAAAAUAAUAAAAAAUAAUACUACUACAAUAUUGUGGAGAAGGCCAUGAAGUAGAGGUAUAAUGUGGGGAUGAGGGCCCACUAAAAAGGGCUCUGGCAGAUGGCAGUAGGGUGUAGCUUUCAGGUCCUCUGGAAAAGGUUGAAGAAGGCCUAAUGGGUUUAAAGGUGAGAGUAGGGGUCACAGAUAGUGGGAGGGACCAGGAGGGGUUAGUUCCCUCAGAAGAUUGGUCCAACAGUAGCCUAGCUAUUUUUUUAGCAAGUGUUUGGGCAUGCCAAUCAAGGGCUACAAGGUAGAAAUGUUGACUCUCCUAAGAAAAUUGAAGGCAAGAAUGGAGUCGAAGGGCCAAGUCAAUGCAAAGAGGAGGAAAGUAUACACUUCAAAAUUUAGAAGACAGUUAUGGAAGUUGGAGUGCUCAGUGAACUAUAAUGGAGCAAAAGGAAGGGGAAGCAAUAAUUGUUCAGCAUGAUGGGAGCUGGUUUCAGUUGGUAAAUGAAGCCGAGAAUUCUCUCUUGUAAUAUUAGAGAGGCCAACAAUAGGGAAAAGAGAGAAUUUAAUGUCUUCUUAUUAGAGCACAAAAAGCAAUCCUAGUUUGUUUACAAGAGACGAAAAUCCAAAAAAUGUCGAUGAAGAUUGUGAGAAGUUUAGAGGUGAGAUUUUUUUUUUUUUUAUUUAUCAGAAACGAAGAAAAAUGUAUUAAUAAAAGAAAAGAUACAAGAGAAGGAAAAGGGGUGAGAAUAUUUUUAGAAUGGGGUGUUAUGGAUGAUAAGGAUACAGCCAGAGGUGGUGUAGUUUUUUGGAACUACAGGAUGUUAGAGCUUGUUGGUAUGGAAGCAGGUGGUCUUUCGAUUUCUUAUCAUUUAAAAUAUUAUGAAGAUGGCUUUGUUUGGAUCUUCAUGAGGGUGUAUGGGCAAACUAUAAGGAGGGAAAUAGAGUUUGUGGGCUGAGUUAGAGGCAAUUAAGGGUUGUGCAAUGAUCCCUGGUGUACCAGGGGAGAUUUCAAUCUCAUCAAGUUCUCGAGGGAGUGUAGUAGAGGGGAACGUUGUCUACAGCCAUACAAAGAUUCUCGGAGAUCAUUGAGGAGCUCAUUUACAUGAUCUCCCAUUGUCGCAAGGCCCAUUUACUUGGUGUGGCGACUUGAGCAAUCAAUCCAUGUCAAGAUUAGAUCAAUUUUUGGUGUCUAAAGAGUGGAAAAGUCAUUUUAGUGUGUUGAUGUAGUGCUCCUUGUCGAGGCCUACGUCAGAUCACACUGUUUUGUUAGAUGGGAGUGGGAUGAGGAAUGGCAGCUCACCUUUCAAGUUUGAGAAUAGGUAGCAGCUGAAGGUGGAGGGAUCUAAAGACUUGCUCAAGCUUUGUUAGAUGGGCUUCAUUUUAGAGGUUUCUAUAGUUUCAUUUUGGCUUCCAAAUUGUAAGACUUGACGGCAAGUUUGAAUGUGUGGAACAAAGAAGUCUUAUGCAACAUUGCAAUCCAAAAGGAAUUGACCUUAAAUCAGGUGGGAUUCUAGCACUACAAAGAGAGGGAAUUAAUCCUCUCUCAAGGGGAGGUUGAAACUAGAAGGGUAUCAAAGGAAGAAUAUGCAUGAUGACCUCAUUGGAUGAAGCAAAAAACACGAGAGAUUUGGUUGGAGGGGGAUAGAAAUGCCAAGUCUUUUCACAAAAUGGCUAAUGUGCAUAGAAAGAUAAUUUUUUUAACCAAGAUAAAACUAAAUGGGGAGUGGCUCUCUAAGGAGAAUGAGAUAAACGAAGAAGUGGCACAGGCUUUCCCGGUUCUAUAGUUAGAUCUGGAUCAAACAUCAAUAGCAUAUCUUUCAAUGCUUUGGAAAGACGAGAGACAGAUGGUUUAGAGGGGCCAUUGGUAGAGGAGGAAGUAUUCACUGCCCUCUCAAAUUUAAUUGGGGACAUAGAUCCAAGCCUUGAUGGGUUCUUUAUGGUUUUUUGGCAAUUUAGUUGGAACUUCUUAAAAGGUGAGAUGAUGGGUUUCUUUAGCAAGAACCAAGGAGAUUGGCUUGACUUGGAAUAAGUUACCCAAGGAGACUCAGGUUUAUUUUAGCAAGAACAGGGCUAAACAUACAGACUAACUGCACUUGAUGAACGCGGGAAAAUGUUCGUACUCAAGAAACAUGUUCAACAUACAAGCAUUCUAAAACCUAGAUGUUUACACCUUGUUUGGGAUUACUUCUUGCCUUUGGAAUUAGUUAGAAGUUAAAACCAUGAUUCAAAGCGAAAAGCGAUGAGGAACUUUUUACUCUCUAUUCAUGUAAUCAAGGAUUUUAUCCUGAAAUGUGAGAAAUGAUAUGGAGAAAUGAAAGACUAUUAAGGCACUGAUUAGAUCUUAUAGGGUUAAUCUUGUGUGUCUGCAAGAAACAAAGCUUCAGCAAUUGAAUUCUCAGUUAGUGAGAAGUUGGGGUGUGUGUAGAUUUCUAGAUUGGGGAGUUGUGGAAGCCAGAGGUUUUGGAGGUUUUUCGUUUUUUGGGACAGCAGGGAGCUUGACCUACUUGAUAUGGAAGUUGGUGUUUUCUCUAUUUCAUGUCGAUUCAGAAACUGCAAAGACGGUUUCACUUGGCUUUUCUCAAGGGUGUACAAUCCUGUCCAAAUAGUGGAAGUUUGGGCCCUCAAUCCAAUUUGAGUGGGGAUAAAGCUCCAAGACCAAAUGGCCCUUUUUGUUCAAAAACAAAAGAUGUAUUAAUUACUAUAAAGAGGUCAUGAGAAGGAUGAGAAAUCCUCUCUAUAAAAUACAAACCUGAUCAAACACCAAAAAAAUCUCCGCUUUACAAAAAGAUUUGGACAAAAAAAGGGAAAAGACUAUACAAGUGGUACAUCUCCACAAGCUCAUCUAGGCUCCUCGCAAUGUAGGCCCAACGCUAAGGGGUACCCGAGACCAAAUGGCUUCACCACGGCAUUGUAGCAGUUCUGUUAGGAGUUUGUUAAAUAGGAGGUGAUGGGGUUCUUCAAAGAAUUUUUUUAUAAUAGCUUUUUCAGAUCAGUAUUAAUGCAACUUUCUUGGUCUUAAUCUCGAAGAAUGGUGAUGCGGAGGACUGAAAAAAUUUCAGAUCAAUUAGCUUAGCAGAUGGCUUUUUUAAGAUUUUGAUAAAAGUCUAGGCUAACUGACUCAAAAAAGGUUGUGGGACAAGUGGGCUUAAACUAUCAACAUGCCUUCAUAGCCAAUGCGGCCAUUGAGUCAAUGUUGAAAAGCUCCAAUAAAGGAGUUAUUUACAAAAUGGAUAUUAAGGAGUAUGCCCAUGUCAAUUGGGAAUUCCUAUUGGCAAUUUUGGAGAAAAUGAGUUUUGGUCUUAAGUGGAUGAGAUGGAUCAAAUGGUGUAUAUCAUCAGAAAAUAUAUAUGUGCUUUAUUAACGGGACCCCAGUUGAACUAAGUUGAGAAAGGGGGACACACUUUCUCCCUAUUAUUUAUCUUGGUCAUGAAGGUGCUUUGUAAGAUUCUAAGGAGAGCUAGGAAUGGGGUUUUCAUCAUGGAUUUCGAGGUGGGUGGUAGAGGGGGCGAGGGGUUAGAUUUGACUCAUCUUCUAUUUGCUAAUGAUACUUUAAUUUUUUUUUUUUUUUUUUUUUUUGUGACUAAUCAAAAGCAUUUAGAGUAUCAGAGCUAAUUCCAAUUGAAGGAACUGAUAACAUGGAGGCCCUUACCGCUACUAUGAGAUGUGGGACGAGGUGCAAGAAAGAUCUCAAAGAAGGCUUGCCAUAUGGAGAAGGCAAUAUCUUUCCAAAUGAGGGAGAUUUAACUUAAUUAAAGGUAUAUUGUCGAGUCUUCCUAUCUACUUCAUGUCUUGUUCAUAACCUUUAAAAAGGUGAGUCUAAGAUUGGAGUAUAUCCAAAGGAACUUCCUUGAGGUGGGGCUGCAUCAAAGGAAAAGCCUCAUUUGGUUAAUUAGUCCAUAGUUUGCUCAAAUAAAAAGAAUGUGGGCCUUGGCAUUAGGAAUCUCUCUUCUAUAAACAAGGCACUCCUUAGCAAGUGGUGCUAGAGAUUCACAUCUCAAUGUGAGUCGCUUGGAAGAGUGUUACUGCAUAGAAGUUCAAGGAAGAAGGGGGAUGGUGCUCAAAGGCAAUGGGGGAUGGUCAUGGGGUGGGUGCGUGGAAGGCUAUUAGAAAUGAGUGGGAGUCCUUCGUUAGAACUCACUCCAUUCCUCGCAACAAUAGAAGAAGGGACUAAUUCUAGAAAAAUAGAUGGUGUGGUGACUCAUCCCUGGAAGUAUCGUUUCCGUCUCUAUUAUCUUUAGCCAAUGAUAAAGACUCUUAGGUAGUAGGAGCAAGGAGGAAAGGGUGAUCUAUAGAGCCCCUGCUUCUCAAGGCAUUUUCAUGAUUGGGAGAUUAAAGAAGUGAUGACCUUUCUACAAAUAUUGCAGAAGAGCUCAAUUUAGAGUGAGGAAGAGGACAAAUUGGGGUGCAAGGAGUCCAAAAGUGUUGUGUUUUUAGUGAAAUCUUUCUUCCAUUCUUCAGUUCAAGAAAAAAUGAGUUUUUCCCCUCUCAGCAUGGUUUGGAAUCCAUGGGUACCUGUGAAGGUGGGAUUCUUUGCAGGGUAAGCAACUUGGGGGAGGAUUUUAAUGACUGAUCAGCUUAAAAAGAAGGGGAUGGACAAUGCCUAAUCGUUGCUUCACAUGCCUAUGACAUUUGGUUCUCUCUUUUUGGUGUUGUUUGAGUGAUGCAUUCCACCAUCAGAGAAAAUCUUUUGAGCUGGCACGUUCUUUCGUGGGUAAAAAUGGAAAAAAGCUUAAAGGACUGCUCCUUUAUGCUUGUUUUGGGGAGCGUGGAAGGAAAGAAAUAGGUCUUUUGAAAAUUCAGAAGAAUCUGAUCAGAAAAUCAGAUCUUGUUUCAGGAACUCCUUUUUGGAAUGCAUUACAGUGUACAUAGAUGACCAUUCAUUGUCCAUGAUAAACUUUGUUGCUUGGCUUAGCUUAAUGUAAGGAGAGGGAGGUUGUCUUUUGUGUUUCUCUCGUUUCUCAGCACACCUUUUGUUGGUGUCACAUGCACACACCAUGUGUACAUUGCUGCACCUUUGCUUAGGCAUCUUUGAUAUAUUUAUGCUAUUUGCCUAUAAAAAAACAGGCAAUCUUGAGAUUAUGGAAUUUACGCUAAACAAAAAAUGGCUCCCAAAUAAGCUAAAAAUGGGAGAAGCAACACUUCCAUGUUAAACUCUUUUUGAAGCCAGAGCACUUUUACUAAAAAAUAAUGUGAGUGGCAAUACAAGAAAACCUAGAAUAAGAGAUGAAUGCACUUACAAAAAGACAAUAGUACAAAAAAUCAGGACACCAUGAGAAAGCCUAGUUGGUUUGGUCAAGAUAUACAAAGCACUGAAGACAUCUUGAAUGGGAAAAGAUUGGUAGGGCAGGAGAGAAGAAAAACACCAUGGCAUGUGGCUUAACCAAUGAUAAAGCCUUAGAGCUGCAGCAAUGAAAGAAUUAUAUAGAAAGCUAACUAGUUAGGUGUUGGGCUGUCCUUUGCAUCUGAUUGAGUAUCUUGAUUAAAGCAAAAUGAAGACUACCGAAGACUAUGAAGACAGAUUUAACCUCAAAGUAAUGUUUUAGAAUCAACUGAACUAAACAUGGAUUGCAAGUUAUCCAAAACAACAGGAGUAGUGAGACAGCAGAAAGAUUUAUUGCCCUUCUAACAGUAGAUAAACUAUGUGGAUUGACCCACUGACUCUUCAUUAGAAAAGGAGGCAUAAUUAUAAAAUGACAUUUAUAGAUAUGCAUGUGACACUUAUGAUCAAAAACUAUAAAAAUCAAUCAAAGAAUUUGAAACAACUUUGAGCACCGGAACCCGCAAUCUUCACAAUAAUUUGAGGGGAAAACCAAUUACCAAAGCUCUUCAACACUGUUCUGUAAUGGAGUACCAGUGAUCAGCAACUUGUUCUUGGCACUGAAUUCCUGCAGAAAAGCAAGGCAUCAUCUAGCAUUAACCAAAUAAGACUCAUCAACAAAAAUAAAUAUUAUUUAUUGAAAAGACAAAAGCCAGAAAAUUAUAAUGAAAUAUGUGUACCCAGAGGAUUGUUUACUAUUGUGCUUCAUAAAUAAAAGGCCAACGUAAACAUAUCAUUAAGAAAUACAGCAUACCGAGAGGGUUGUAUACAAUUGUGCUUCACUGUUCUUUAACCUGUGGGCUUCAUCAACCAUGAGGUAGUUCCAUUUGAUCUUAGAAAGCACAGCCUUGUCCUUCAGAACUACUUCAUAAGUAGUCAAUAAAGCAUUGAAUAGAAUAGUCCUGCCAGUUUUCUUAUUAGUGUAAAAUUCAUAUUGCUGACAAACCUGCAAAUAAAAAGUAGCAAAAUUAUAAAUAAAUAAAACAAAAUAAUAGAUAUUUUGAUAAGGACGCAAGUAUAAUAGGGAAAUAACAAUUCAGCAGAAUUGUAAAUAGAAAAUUCUCNAUUUAUCUCAUAAGUCNNNNNNNNNNNNNNNNNNNNNNNNNNNNNNNNNNNNNNNNNNNNNNNNNNNNNNNNNNNNNNNNNNNNNNNNNNNNNNNNNNNNNNNNNNNNNNNNNNNNCCCCCCCCCCCCCCCCACACAUCCAUUUCAUUUGCAAAGCAAUAAACUAUUUAACUGGAUCAACCCAAGUCUACCAACUCCCUCAACAACUCUAUCGACACACCAAAAACCAUUUAACUGCUCCUCAUCCCAUUUAACUGGAUCAACUGUAAUUCCAACUCUCUUGCCAAGAAGACAGCCAGUCACCACUAAUGCAAGAGAAUAUUCAUUAACACAAUUGUUAUAGGCGACAAAAAUUUAUUGGAGGCGCAUAAAUAUAACUCUUCAACCAUCUAUCUACCUCCUCUCACUCCACAACAAAAACAACAACCACCACCAUACAAACACACAGGCACACACAAAGUCAACACAAACACUCUCUAUACCCUGCCUCAAAGGAACAACUCCUCCCCAUCCUUUUGUCCACGCAGUGAUGAACUAUUUAACUGGAUUAAUGCCAACUCCACCAACUCCCUUGUCAACACUACUGCUCCUUCCACCAAUGCAAGCACAUUUUCAUAAACACAAUUGUUCUAGAUGUCAAGCAUUUAUUAAAAGUUUAUAGAAGACAAUACUUCUCCGAUCACACACAAAACCACCUAAAGUUGGAGCUUUUUCCACCAGUAGCAACUGAAAAGAGAGUUAAUAAAGAUGGCCUUCCCAUAUAAGACAAUCUCUCCAGAUAGACAUACUUGUAUAAAAAGUGCAGUCUUAGAUCCAUUGUUUUAUCACUGCACUAUUUCUGAGUUUUUCCAGGGAUUCAUUCUGAAGAGAUAUUCCAAAUAUUUACAGUGUUUUCUCCCAGGGUUAUGUAGGAGAGUUAGGAGACCUUGUGGAAGAUUAGAUUCAAUAGAAAUGUUUGUCUCUUUCAGGAAAAAGAGUGACCCGUUGAUGAGCUGUGGGACAGAAUGUGCUUUGAAAACUCUUAGGGUAUCUAUAAGGAGAGAAACCAAAGAACCUUUGAACUAACAGACUACACGAUUUUACGCUUCUUCAUGUACAUGUUUGUGGAAUGGAUUAGGGUACAUAUAGAGUCUACUUCUUUGUCCCUUUCAGAUUUCAUAGAUUGGUUGGGCUGUAAGUGAAGCGAGGGUGUUGUUUUUGCCUAUCCCUCCUUUUUUUGGCCUUGUAUACAUCAUGUAUACUUCAGCAGCUUUUUUGGCACUUUUAAUACAAUUGUUUUACUUAUCAAAAAAAGGGUAUCUAUAAGGAAAGAGUUUGCUAACAUCCCUAUAAACACUAUUGCAAUGGAUUGGGAUAUAUUUGUCCAACUAAACAAAACUGAGUGGGGUAUCAUUGUCAAUGGUUCAUAUCUGCAGUGGACCACCUUAAGCUCAAUUUCAAUAAAUGUUCAUCUGAACAUCAGGUCAAGCAGGUGCCUAGGGCAAUAUUGAAAUAAAAGGAAUGAGCCUGUUAGCUCAUCUACAAAAGUGGUAAUGGAUUCACUAUAGCAAUGAAGUUAUUAGCCACAUUUGAGGCUUAGAAAGAGGUGUAGGGUUAAAGGAUUUUUUUUUAUAUAACCGCAAAACCUUCCAUGGCCGAGCUCUUCAAACUCUCAAUGGGACCCAAAUGUCAAGGUAUUGACUAUGCCCACCACAAUCAACACCAGGUAAUCUAGGGCAUUCAACCAAUAGCAGGAAUUGAGCCUAGGACCGUGUGCCUCUACCACACAUCCUAGCAUUCACCUUAAUCAAUUGUAUACCCUGAUGGAUAGAAAGAAGUCCACAGUGACAAUUGUUUGAAUGUGGACAAGGCAUAUAAACCCUAAGGCCUACUCCUAAUGCAUGGAUCAUAUCAUUUUUUUGAUGGGUAAACACAGAAGAGAAUAUAUUAAAUAGAAAAGGAAGCCCGAAGGGCAACCUAAGGCAUUUUACACCCAAUCCCCCCUUACUUUUAUCCAAGCAUACAACCCUCCAUUUAACAAGAUAAAUUUUCCUCUCCAAAGCCCCCCCACCCCAAAGGAAAUCCCUUUGGAUUUGCUUAAGUCUCAAUCUAACCGAUCUAGGCAUACGCAAAAUUGACAUGUAGUAAAUAGGCAUGUUCGACAAAGUGCUUCGAAUAAGAGUAAGUCUCCCCCCUUUAGAUAUAUAUUGCCUCUUCCACAAAGCUAAUCUCCUCUGUAACCUCUACUCCACCCCAUCCCACACCACCACUGAUUUGUGAGGUACACCCAAAGGAAGCCCUAAAUAUAAGGAAGGGAGCUUCCCCACCUUACACCAAAGCUCAAGAGCCAGCUCCUCCAAAUUCUCCACCCUCCCUACGGGAAGAAUCUCACUUUUAUCCAGAUUAAUUCUUAAACCAAAUAUGACUUUAAACCACAUUAACACCCAGCUUAGGUGAGCCAAUUGGCCCUCAAAGGCAUCACAGAAAAUCAGCGUGUCAUCAACAUACAGCAGAUGGGUGAAUUGAACUCCCUCACCACCCCUCCCUUUAACCCUACAGCUAGUCAAAAAGCCCCCACUAACCGCUCUCUUGAUCAAACAGCUCAAGGCCUCCAUACCUAUUACAAAAAGAUAGGGUGAAAGGGGGCCCCUUGUCUCAACCCCCUGGAGACUGGGCAAGACAUGAUUCCUUAUUUACAUGGCAACCCAGAUCCACUAAUCAAGAAACUGACAAUCUCAUGAAAGAAAGCCACAACAUAUAUUGUGUUGAUAAGAGACAUUUACCCUCCUUGCAGUGUAUGGAUUACAUUUACGGUUUAUUGUAUUGUAUAAUUUGUAUGGCUAUUGGGUUUUUACCUUUUAUGCUGAACACAUAGUAAAAGGAAUGCAAUUUAACACUUUCAAGGUUAUUAAAAUAAUUUGAGUCAAGCAGGAAUUUUUUGUUUUUUUAGAAUUCUGAUAAUUUUUUUCUCAAGUCAUGUGGCCCCAUAAUAAAAUCAGUAUAUGUACCAAACUCAAACUUUCCAUUGAUAACAAACUAUUUUAAUUAUCAAAAUAUAAAAUAAAAAAUAACAUAGUCACCAUAAUUAGGAAAUAAUGAAACACAAUUUGCUUGGUCCAGAAAAUGCCUUUUUUUUUUUGGCCAGGGGGCAAUUCUUUCUGUACAUGCCAAAGAUAACAAACAACUAUAAAUCCUGACAGCAUAUCAACAUCAACCCACCCAAUACAAAGUAUGACUCACCUCUCGGCUAGCACGGGUCCCAACAUAAACAAUGACAUUCAAGUCAGGAAGCCACUUCUUGAAUUCUUUUGCCCAGUUUGAUAAAGUCGAUAAUGGUACAACAACAAGAAAUGGUCCAUAUAUUUGUUGAGCAUUCUGUAAGAACAAAUGAAUGUUUCCUUGGAUUAUAAGUCUACAAGGAACUACAAGAAAAAAGUAAUAAUAAUAAUAAUAAUGACAACAACAAUAACAAUAAAUGAUAAUAAACACAAAAGCAAUAAUAAUACUACUAAUAAUAACUACUAGAUGCUUACCUGCAAAAACCCAAGCAUAGAAACUGACUGCACAGUUUUGCCAAGACCCAUUUCAUCAGCCAAAAUAACAUUAGUAUCAUUUCUCCAGCUGUUCUAUGAAAGAGAAGCUGAUUAGUAUAUAUGCUAAAAUUAGAAUAUUAUAUUUAAAGUACAUUUUUUUAGUUUAAACUGAUCAUUCUAAAACAAAAGAAACCAGCAUACCUGUUAACAAGAAAAUUCAAGCCUUCAAGCUGAUAAUCACGAAGUUGUCCUCCCUUUAACCACCCAGGCUGCUCAUCAAGCUUCCUUAAACUUGCUAAACAGAAAGAGUAUUCUCAAGUUAUAUAUUAUUUGUGUUAUUUGAUCAGACAUGCAAGUACCAUAUGGUUGAAAAGGAAGAAAAAGGAAAAAAAAGGGAGGAAAAAUUUUGAAGGUUUUAUUAACAAAAUAAUGUUGGUGUUUGAGAAACAAUAUGAGAAUAUACCAUUAAUGAUCAAUCAAUCCAUUCCACACUUAAAUCACUUGGCUCAAUGGCUCAAGCUUUUGUCGAAUUUUGGUGGUAAAAAUGGCUAAGGAUUAAAGAUAAAAAUCAAAGUAAAUGAUAUAAGAUAGAUUUAAGAUAAAAAUCAACCUUAAUGAAGAUUUUGAGUUAGUUUCUCACAUGCUAUGGUAUCACAGUCACUUUUUUCCCUUUUACAGAAUAAAGGAAAUUUUAUUAUCAAAGAAUGAAAGACACAUGAGCGAACUCUUCGCUUAUGAUAAGCAUUCACAUCGCAUACAGAACAUAAUUUGCAGCAAGCGGAUGACAUAGAUAGCUGCUAUAACUAGGUUUUGGGAUAAGGGUGUAUAUAUAUAUAUAUAUAUGUCACUAGCAAUAAUUGUAGGAAAGUUUCACUUUGAGACCCAUACAAAAUCUCAUGAUGAGAAUCAUAGGAAAUUUAUCCUCACAUUAAGGAAUAGAGGAUCUCAAGAUCAUUAGGAAGUAGAAAAUGGAUAGGAAGGAAAUGAAUUUCCCACAUUCAUCAUAAGCAGAAAGCAAAUGGGUUUAAGCUUGAUUAUCUGAAGCAGGAAGCAGUAACAUCUCCAAACGCUACAGAGGUUUUAAAAAAAGUAAUUCAAGUUCUACAAAAUUGUUGGGCACCAAUGUACUGAUAUGUGAUUGAUACUUCAGCAGUAAUUCCAGUUUUUUGUCAUUGAUGCUAAUAAGAACAAAUGUUGGGCAAAAGAGGCAUAAACUUUUCCUUCACCAUUUUAUUUGUACUGUAUGGUUUCUACUCUCUUCUUUCUUCCUUCUUCCAGUUGUUCAUGCAAAAACAACCAUCGAAUACAAUUUAACUAAUUCAACUUGAUCUAGGGCAAACCUCCGACAGAAAGUAAUGACUAAAAAGGUUCUCCAUCAAACCUUCAGAACAAGCUUUUAAAUACAGUUGAACUGAGUGCUCCAGAUCUUUUGAAUUUUAUUAGACCAUUAGAAGCAUUCUUAUGAUUCUUGUGCCUUUCCUAAUCAGUAAGACACUGAACAAUAUUGCAUAGCAAUCCAUAGCAGAGGUUCUCUUUACAGUGUCCAAGGUAAAGUCUGAAUAUUUCCUAGUAGGUUAGUCAGGUUGGAGAAUUCAAAACCCAUACACACCAGUUGGUUGAUGUUUUUUGAGGUUGAAGCUGUCAGUGAUUUCAGAGGCUCAGAGGUAUUACUCAUGAAAUUUUGGCAACUACUUGAGCUGCCUGGCUCAUAACCAAUCAAUAUUCAAGAUGAGCAUUACCCAUAACAACCCAUAGAGGCCAUGCUUCAUAUGAAUAAACCUAACAUUUAUUGCCAGACACAUUACAAUUAUUACAGGGGACUUCAAAACAUCACCAGUAAGGCUGUAACCAGAUUGGAGACUGACCAAACCACACUCUUUUUUUUUUGACAGUAAUCAGACAAAACAAUCUUUACUUAGAAAAUGAGUACAUUUUACUGACAAAGAAAACAAAACAAUGCAAGCAGGAUGGUUUAUAUUCAGGUCAAGAAGGAAAAAAAAAGUAGAAAAUAAUUAAAUAAAAUGAAGACAACAACACUACCCUCAAGAUCUGAAGACCCAACUCCUAUUGGUGACUUAAAAUGGCCCAUAUGGUGCUCCAGGGAUAUGUCUCCUUCCUAAGUUAAGAAUUCCACUUCAUUUACUGAACCAAGCUAACUGCACACAAUUAAGCUCCAUUUUUUAUUUUUUUUUGAUAAAUAAACACCAAAUUCAUUAAAAAUUAAAAAACACCCCCAAGGACGCCACAAUUGAGCUCCACUUCUAUCCUAUCAUAUGGUCCAUGAUCACAUUUGAUGGAUAAACAAGCCUCCAAGAUUCCAGGGCAUCAGAAAGCACCCAUGCGAUGACUGUUUAUUAGGUAUUCUAGCAAAAGCACUCCAGAAACCUGGAAACUGGUAAUUUUCCUGAGGCCAGCUAGGAUUGCCAACACCUCAGCCCUAACAGAAUCCCCCUCAACAACCAGCUCUGAGAACACAUCGACAACCUCAUCCAAACAAUUCUCAAAGAUAACCCCAACUGAUCAAUAGCUUCUUAAAAAUAAUGCCAGAUUGCCAACUAUCAUAUAAAAUAGAAAGAAGAACCAAUACUCCACAUUGUUAGUGUUAUAAAGGCAUUGUGAGGAAAUGCUUCAGUUAUCAACUAACAGAAAUAGAAUUAGAUAGGCAAGUAAGCCACUUUUCAGUUUUCACCUCAAAAACGGUGAUUAUUAUUCUGCAAGUUAUCAAACCUAGACAUAAAACCGACAAUUUGAACCAAGAUAAGAUGCGACUAAGGAACUAUACGGACCUUUACUCUUCUUACGCUGCAUGUCCACCAUUUUUCCUUGGAUGGCAGCUGCAGCUUCACGAGCCUGUUUAAAAAAUGACAGAUCAGGGAUUUCAAAGAGUAUAACAUCCAUGCUCUUAUUUAACAAGAGAAUCAUCUAUAUUGAUACUUGCAGCAAAUACAAAUAAAAUAAAGAAUGGAACAGUAAUUAAAAAGAGAUCAAUGACAAGCAAAAUUAAUGAACUGUAUGAUCAUAAAGAAAACUGGGGAGCUCUAAUAUAACUAAGAUGAUCUUGAAUUACCAUAGGUUAUGAAUCUAAAUACAUUUAGUUUAGUGAUUAGUGGUAAAACGAAUGUAAAAGCUAUAGCCAUAAAGGCAACUAGAAAGAAGAAAAAUUAGCAAAGCACUUCUAUAAUUCAACAGUAUGUGACCAAAAAAACAACCAUUUGCAUGUAUUUUGGCAGAGAAAUAAAAACAUUAAAUUGCAUGCUACCUUGUACUCAUCAAUAGCAUCUUGAGCAAAUGCAAUAUCUACAUCCUUCUCCCUAAAAUGAAACAAAUCACCAUCAUAAGCAUUACAGCUUCCACCACAGAAAGAAAUGAACAAAAUAUUGCAAGCGCCAGAAAAGAUACCAGCAGGGAAUAGAAGCAGAAGUAAUUUAGUAGCUUUUUUUAUUUUCUUUUCUUUUUUUUCUCGGAGGGUGGUGGGUGGGGGGAGGAGGGAGGAGGGGUUGGGGGAGUUGUGUGUUGAAAAUAACUAUAGUGUGUGGGUGUGUUCAAGUUUCAAAAUACCAUGUUGCUUCAGCAUAUGAGAGUCCCUGCCACUUGACUAAAUACUCUGGCAUCACAUCACCUGAGCCCUCUUUACCAAUUCUGUAUGCAAUUAUUCUCUCCACCUGCAAAUGCAUUUGAGAAACUAAGCAGAGAGAAUUACAAACUUGGAGAAGUAAUCCAAAAUAGUAACAAGGUUACAAACAAAAAACAAAAAAUAAGAUCAGUACAGCAAACCUGACUAUUUUGUUUAAUGAGGUCUAAGUCCAUUUCCUUGCUUACAUCAUUGACUUCAAUCUAAUAGGUAAACAAACGCCAAAAGAAAAAAAAAAAGGUUAAUGGGUUUCAUAUAUAUAACUCAAGAAUCAGGUUUAUUUCAUAUCAAUUUUAACUCCACUACAGAAUAAAAAAUAACAUAGAAUUAAAACUAUGAAAAGAGAUUAAUGGGUUGUAAUGCAUACGAAAUAAAUGUGUAAUUACUCAAUUCCACGCCAUAAUCUCACAUUAAUUACCAACUGUUGGCAAGUUGGCAUGAAGCAGUUCCAAAGAGAAUUAUAGGCAGAAAUGUUAAGGUUGCAUCAUUAUUAUGUCACAUGAGUGCACACAAUGAAAUUAAAAUCCGCCUACAAAAAGAGAACAGCAUUACUCUAAUUCAGUGAUUGACAGGGUCUCGAGGAGACUGGAUGAAUUGAAAAAGGUCUUUUAGUCUCUAUGGGAUAGAAUUACUCUAAUUCAAAGUUGCUUGUCCUACAUCCCUAAUUAUUUCUUACCUUUUUUAAAGAUUCCAGUGUAAGUAGUCUCUAAGAUUGAGAAAUUACAAAGAAAUUUUCUCUAGACGAGAGUUGGGGAGGGUAGAAAAGAUCAUCUCAUUGGUUGGGACCUAAGGUGUAAGCCUAAGGAGUAUGGAGGUCUGAGACUUUAGAUUGAUCUCUCUGAGGAAUUGUGCUUUCUUAAGGAAAUGGCCUUAGAGAUUCCCUAGGGAAAGUUUUAACCUUUGGCAUCAAGUUUUUUUUUUGUUUUUUUUUUAUUAUUUUUUUUUUAUGAGUAAAUCAAGAGUGUAUUAUAAACAAAAAAUGUAAAAACAGCGCUCCAAAGUACAUGAGAGGUAUACAACGAACGCUUCAAAGUGCAAAAAAAGGACCAACAAAAACUACGCUCCCUUCAAAAAGAACUCACCUAAUCCACAAAAUCUGCAAUUGAAGAAGGACCAGAAAUUAAAAACAACCCAGACCAAUCCCAUAGAUUAUAAAGAAAAGCAUGUUUUAGUCCUUCAACAGACUGUUCUUCAUUCUCAAAAACUCUUAUGUUUAUUUCCUUCCAAAAUGGUCCAAAAUAAGCAAAGAGGAGCUGCCCACUACACCUUUUUUCUCCUUUUACCAACAAAAGAACCAUUUCAUCUUAAAAGCGUGUCUCUAACAGAAGGAAGUAUCCAAAGCACACCAAACAGGGAGAACAAAAGAUUCCAUA